rnacentral:lncRNA from 1 species
UUUUUUUUUUCUUCUGUUUUGUUUUUAUUUAAUCUUUUGCCACUGUUUUGAAAUAAAACAAAUUCAAAAACAGUGACAAAAUUCCCCUGAACAUUUUAUUUAGCACAAUGGAAUUAUACCAAAGCACAUAAAAAUGUUUCAGUUAUUUGAACAUAUAUUCAGUAAUAUUUGGAUAUAAGUUCAAAUUCAAAAUAGUAUUGAUUUAAAUUCAAAGUCCCAAAAUAAAUCCUUUUAAAAUGUUCAUUAUUUUUGGUUUAGAUCAAAACCCUUGCCAAAAAUAUUAAACAUCUAAAAAGAACAUUUUGGAACAAUGAAUGAGAUUUUAGGGUUUUUGCCCUUCUUUUAUUUAGGGUUUUGAGGCUUCUGACUUCCUCAGUUCAAAUUUUAGAAUUUAAACAUGAUGCACAGAUGAAGCUAGCCUAGAGCAUUACCAGAAGCUAGGGAUGUGACAAAGAUAUGACUCUAUAUGAAUGCCUCCGGCGGUGUACCAGGAUGGUGCAAUGAAUCAAGAGUGACAUGUAUGAAAAAUAAUGCAUGGUGGCUUUGCCACAAAUACGAUGUCAACUACAUGAUCAUGCAAUGGCAAUAUGACAAAAGUAAUGUAUGUCAUGAAUAUAUGAUGGAAGUUGCAUGGCAAUAUAUCUCGGAAUGGCUAAGGAAAUGCCAUGAUAGGUAGUUAUGGUGGCUGUUUUGAGGAAGAUAUAAGGAGGUUUAUGUGUGAUAGAGCGCAUUGUAUCACGGGGUUUGGAUGCACCGACAAAGUUUGCACCAACUCUCAAGGUGAGAAAGGGCAAUGCACGGUACCGAAGAGGCUAGCAAAGGCGGAAAGGUGAGAGUGCGUAUAAUCCAUGGACUCAACAUUAGUCAAAAGAACUCAUAUACUUAUUGCAAAAAUUUAGAAGUCAUCAAAAAUCAAGUACUACGCGCAUGCUCCUAGGGGGAUAGAUUGGUAGGAAAAGACCAUCGCUCAUCCCCGACCGCCACUCAUAAGGAUGCACAAGCCAGGUACACUUCAUGUUUCAAAUUUGUUACACAACUUUAACCAUACGUGCAUGCUACGGGACUUGCAAACUUCAACACAAGCAUUUCUCAAAUUCACAACUACUCAACUAGCACGACUUUGAUAUUAUUACCUCCAUACCUCAAAACAAUUAUCAAGCACCAAACUUAUCUUAGUAUUCAACGCACUCAAAAGAAAGUUUCACAUAUCUUGAAUACCAAGUAUAUUAACAUGAAGUAAAUUACCAUGCUAUUAAAGACUCUCAAAAUAAUAUAAGUAAAGCACGAGAGUUCAUAUAUUUCUUCAAAAUAAAACCACCAAUGUGCUCUAAAAGAUAUAAGUGAAGCACUAGAGCAAAUGAAAAACUACUCCAAAAAGAUAUAAGUGAAGAUCAAUGAGUAGCUAAAUAAUUAUGCAACUAUGCAAGGACUCUCUCUCAUUAAAUAAUUUCAGAUCUUGGUAUUGUAUUCAAGCAGCAAGAAAAACAAAAUAAGAUGACAUUGCAAGGAUAGCACAACUCAUGUGAAGAAGCAAAAACUUAGGCUCAACCGAUACUAACCGAUGAUUGUUGAAGAAGAAAGGUCGGAUGCCUACCAGGGCAUCUCCAAGCAUAGAUGCUUGAGACUUGUUGAAAUAUUAUCUUGGGGUGCCUUGGGAAUCCCCAAUCUUGAGCUUUUGUGUCUCCUUAAUUCCUCUCAUAUCAUGGUUUCUCUUUUAUCAAAAGCUUCAUCCACAACAAACUCAACAAGAACUCGUGAGAUAGGUUAGUAUAAACCAAUGCAAAACCUUAUCAUUUUCUACUGUAACAAAUUACUAACAUUAUUAUUCAACAUUUAAUACUAAAUGCCUCUGCAUAUUUAAUACUCCUAUCCUCAAAUAGAAUCAUUAAACAAGCAAACAUAUGCAAACAAUGCAACCAUAACAGCAAUCUGCCAAAACAGUACAGUUUGUAAAGAAUGCUAGAGUAUCAAUACCUCCCUGACUCCAAAAAUUAUGAAAUAAAAUUCCCACUGUAAUAAAUUUAUCAGAGCUUAAUAUGCAAAAAGAUUCAAUGCUAUACCACUCUCUGACUUUUCUAGGGAAUUUUUUCAACAGCGGUAAACUUUCUGUUUUCAAACAGCAACAUGUAUACUAGCAAAAUAAGCAUGGCAAAGGCUAUCCUUGACUUUUUUUAUUGAAACUAAAGAUGCAAAACAUUAAUAUAACUAACAAGAAGCAAAAACUAACAAAAGAAAAUGAGGCUCCAAGCAAAACACAUAUCACGUGGUGAAUAAAAAUAUAGCUCCAAGUAAAGUUACCGAUGAACAAAGACGGAAGAGGGGAUGCCAUCCGGGGCAUCCCCAAGCUUAGGCUCUUGGUUGUCCUUGAAUAUUACCUUGGGGUGCCUUGGUCAUCCCCAAGCUUAGGCUCUUGGCACUACUUAUUCCAUAGUCCAUCGAAUCUUUACCCAAAACAUGAAAACUUCAACCACACAAAACUCAAAACAAAACUCGUAAGCUCCGUUAGUAUAAGAAAAUAAAACCACCACUUAGGUACUGUAAUGAACUCAUUAUAAAUUCAUAUUGGUGUAAUAUCUACUGUAUUCUAACUUCUCUAUGGUUCAUAACACUUAAUACUAGCCAUAGAUGCAUCAAAAUAAGCAAACAACACAAUGAAAACAGAAUCUGUCAAAAACAGAAUAGUCUGUAGUAAUCUGUAUCAAACAUAUACUUAUGGAACCCCAAAAAUUAUGAAAUAAAUUGCUGGACCUGAAUAAUUUGUCUAAUAAUCAUCUUCAAAAAGAAUCAACCUAAAAUCACUCUUCAGUAAAAAAAUGGCAGCUAUUCUCGUGAGCGCAAAAGUUUCUGUUUUCUACAGCAAGAUCAUAUAAACUUCACCCAAGUCUUCCCAAAGGUUCUACUUGGCACUUUAUUGAAACAAAAGCUAUAAAACAUGAUUAAUACAGUAGCAUAAUCAUGUGGACACACAAAAACAGUAAGGGUAAAUAUUGGGUUGUCUCCCAACAAGCGCUUUUUUAAUGCCUUUCUAGCUAGGCAUGAUGAUGACAAUGAUGCUCACAUAAAAGAUAAGAAUUGAAACAUAAAGAGAGCAUCAUGAAGCAUAUGACUAGCACAUUUAAGUCUAACCCACUUCCUAUGCAUAGGGAUUUUGUGAGCAAACAACUUAGGGGAACAAUAAUCAACAAGCAUAGGAAGGUAAAACAAGCAUAACUUCAAGAUUUUCAACACAUAGAGAGGAAACUUGACAUUAUUGCAACUCCUACAAGCAUAUGUUCCUCUCUCAUAAUAGUUUUCAGUAGCAUCAUGAAUGAAUUCAACAAUAUAACCAGCACCUAAAGCAUUCUUUUCAUGAUCUACAAGCAUAGAAAAUUUAUUACUCUCCAUAUAAGCAAAAUUCUUCUCAUGAAUAAUAGUGGGAGCAAACUCAACAAAAUAACUAUCAUAUGAUUGAAAAUUAAGAUCAAGAUGACAAGUUUAUGUUGGAAAUAUGCCCUAGAGGCAAUAAUAAAAGCAUUAUUAUUAUAUUUCUUUGUUCAUGAUAAUUGUCUUUAUUCAUGCUAUAAUUGUGUUAUCCGGAAAUCGUAAUACAUGUGUGAAUAACAGACACCAACAUGUCCCUAGUAAGCCUCUAGUUGACUAGCUCGUUGAUCAAUACAUAGUCAUGGUUUCCUGGCUAUGGACAUUGGAUGUCAUUGAUAACGGGAUCACAUCAUUAGGAUAAUGAUGUGAUGGACAAGACCCAAUCCUAAACAUAGCACAAGAUCGUAUAGUUCGUUUGCUAGAGUUUUUGCAAUGUCAAAGUAUCUCUUCCUUCGACCAUGAGAUCGUAUAACUCCUGGAUACCGUAGGAGUGCUUUAGGUGUAUCAAACGUCACAACGUAACUGGGUGACUAUAAAGGUGCACUACAGGUAUCUCCGAAAGUAUCUAUUGUUUUAUAUGGAUCGAGACUGGGAUUUGUCACUCCGUAUGACGGAGAGAUAUCACUGGGCCCACUCAGUAAUGCAUCAUCAUAAUGAGCUCAAAGUGACCAAGUGUUUGGUCACGGGAUCAUGCAUUACGGUACGAGUAAAGUGACUUGCCGGUAACAAGAUUGAACGAGGUAUUGGGAUACCGACGAUCGAAUCUCGGGCAAGUAACAUAUCGAUUGACAAAGGGAAUUGCAUACGGGGUUGAUUAAAUCCUCGACAUCGUGGUUCAUCCGAUGAGAUCAUCGUGGAGCAUGUGGGAGCCAACAUGGGUAUCCAGAUCCCGCUGUUGGUUAUUGACCGGAGAGCGAUCUCGGUCAUGUCUACAUGUCUCCCGAACCCGUAGGGUCUACACACUUAAGGUUCAGUUACGCUAGGGUUGUAGGGAUAUGUAUAUGCAGUAACCCGAAUGUUGUUCGGAGUCCCGGAUGAGAUCCCGGACGUCACGAGGAGUUCCGGAAUGGUCCGGAGGUAAAGAUUUAUAUAUGGGAAGUCCUGUUUCGGGCAUCGGGACAAGUUUUGGGGUUAUCGGUAUUGUACCGGGACCACCGGAGGGGUCCCGGGGGCCCACCGGGUGGGGCCACCCAUCCCCGGGGGCCACAUGGGCUGUAGGGGGUGCGCCUUGGCCUGUUUGGGCCAAGGGCACCAGCCCCACAUAGGCCCAUGCGCCUAGGGUUUAAGGGGGAAAGAGUCCUAGGAGGGUAAGGCACCUCCUAGGUGCCUUGGGGGGGAGGGAAACCCCCCUUGGCCGCCGCACCCCCUAGGAGAUUGGAUCUCCUAGGGCCGGCCACCCCCCCCUUGGCACCCCUAUAUAUAGUGGGGGAGAGGAGGGACUUCAUACCUUGAGUCCUUGGCCUUUGGUUGCCUCCUUCUCCCUCCCCAACACCUCCUCCACCUCCUUAUAGCUUAGCGAAGCUCUGCCGGAGUACUGCAACUCCAUCAACACCACGCCGUCGUGCUGCUGCUGGUGCCAUCUCCCUCAACCUCUCCUCCCUCCCUUGCUGGAUCAAGAAGGAGGAGACGUGGCUGUUCCGUACGUGUGUUGAACGCGGAGGUGCCGUCCGUUCGGUGCUAGGAUCUCCGGUGAUUCGAAUCACGUCGUGUUCGACUACAUCAUCCCCGUUCUUUGAACGCUUCCGCUCGCCAUCUACAAGGUAUGUAGAUGCAUCUAUUCACUCGUUGCUAGAUGAACUCCUAGAUGAUCUUGGUGAAACGAGUAGGAAAAUUUUUUAUUUUUCUGCAACGUUCCCCAACAGUGGCAUCAUGAGCUAGGUCUAUGCAUAGUUCUUCUUGCACGAGUAGAACACAAUUGGUUGUGGGCGUAGAUUUGUCAACUUUCUUGCCGCUACUAGUCUUAUCUUGCUUCAGCGGUAUUGUGGGAUGAAGCGGCCCGGACCAACCUUACACGUACGCUUACGUGAGACCGGUUCCACCGACUAACAUGCACAAGUUGCAUAAGGUGGCUGGCGGGUGUCUGUCUCUCCCACUUUAGUUGAAGCGGAUUCGAUGAAAAGGGUCCUUAUGAAGGGUAAAUAGAAGUUGACAAAUCACGUUGUGGUUUCACGUAGGUAAGAAAACGUUCUUGCUAGAACCCUACUUCAGCCACGUAAAACUUGCAAACAACAAUUAGAGGACGUCUAACUUGUUUUUGCAGCAAGUGCUUUGUGAUAUGAUAUGGCCAAAGUUGUGAUGAAUGAUGAAUGAUCUAUAUGUCAUGUAUGAGAUGUUCAUGCUAUUGUAAUAGGAAUCACGACUUGCAUGUCGAUGAGUAUGACAACCGGCAGGAGCCAUAGGAGUUGUCUUUAUUUUUGUAUGACCUGCGUGUCAUUAAAGAACGCCAUGUAAACUACUUUACUUUAUUACUAAACGCGUUAGUCAUAGAAGUAGAAGUAGUCGUUGGCGUGACAACUUCAUGAAGACACGAUGAUGGAGAUCAUGGUGUCAUGCCGGUGACAAGAUGAUCAUGGAGCCCCGAAGAUGAAGAUCAAAGGAGCUAUAUGAUAUUGGCCAUAUCAUGUCACUACUUAUAUAAUUGCAUGUGAUGUUUAUUAUGUUUUAUGCAUCUUGUUUACUUAGAACGACGGUAGUAAAUAAGAUGAUCCCUUACAAAAUUUCAAGAAGUGUUCUCCCCUAACUGUGCACCGUUGCUACAGUUCGUCGUUUCGAAGCACCACGUGAUGAUCGGGUGUGAUAGAUUCUUACGUUCACAUACAACGGGUGUAAGACAGUUUUACACAGCGAAAACACUUAGGGUUAACUUGACGAGCCUAGCAUGUACAGACAUGGCCUCGGAACACGGAGACCGAAAGGUCGAACACGAGUCGUAUGGAAGAUACGAUCUACAUGAGAAUGUUCACCGACGAUGACUAGUCCGUCUCACGUGAUGAUCGGACACGGCCUAGUGGACUCGGAUCGUGUAACACUUAGAUGACCAAAGGGAUGUCAAAUCUGAGUGGGAGUUCAUUAUAAUUUGAUUAGAUGAACUUAAUUAUCAUGAACUUAGUCUAAAAUUUUACAAUAUGUCUUGUAGAUCAAAUGGCCAACGUAGUCCUCAACUUCAACGCGUUCCUAGAGAAAACCAAGCUGAAAGACGAUGGCAGCAACUAUACGGACUGGGUCCGGAACCUGAGGAUCAUCCUCAUAGCUGCCAAGAAAGAUUAUGUCCUACAAGCACCGCUAGGUGAUGCACCUGUUCUCCCUGCAGAACAAGACGUUAUGAACGCUUGGCAGGCACGUUCUGAUGACUACUCCCUCGUUCAGUGCGGCAUGCUUUACAGCUUAGAGCCGGGGCUCCAAAAGCGUUUUGAGAGACAUGGAGCAUAUGAGAUGUUCGAAGAGCUGAAAAUGGUUUUCCAAGCUCAUGCCCGGGUCGAGAGAUAUGAAGUCUCUGACAAAUUCUUCAGCUGUAAGAUGGAGGAAAAUAGUUCUGUCAGUGAGCACAUACUCACUAUGUCUGGGUUACAUAACCGCUUGACUCAGCUGGGAGUUAAUCUCCCGGAUGAUGCGGUCAUUGACAAAAUCCUCCAGUCGCUUCCACCGAGCUACAAGAGCUUUGUGAUGAACUUCAAUAUGCAGGGGAUGGAAAAGACCAUUCCUGAAGUAUUUGCUAUACUAAAAUCAGCAGAGGUAGAAGUCAGAAAGGAACAUCAAGUGUUGAUGGUCAAUAAAACCACUAAGUUCAAGAAGGGCAAGGGUAAAAAGAACUUCAAGAAGGACGGCAAGUUAGUUGCCGCGCCCAGCAAGCAAGCUGCCGGGAAGAAGCCAAAGAAUGGACCCAAGCCCGAGACUGAGUGUUUUUAUUGCAAGGAAAGUGGUCACUGGAAGCGGAACUGCCCCAAAUACUUAGCGGACAAGAAGGCCGGCAAAACCAAAGGUAUAUUUGAUAUACAUGUAAUUGAUGUGUACCUUACCAGUAAUCGUAGUAACUCCUGGGUAUUUGAUACCGGUGCCGUUGCUCAUAUUUGUAACACACAACAGGAGCUGCGGAAUAAACGGAGACUGGCGAAGGACGAGGUGACGAUGCGAGUCGGGAAUGGUUCCAAGGUCGAUGUGAUCGCCGUCGGCACGCUACCUCUACAUUUACCUACGGGAUUAGUUUUGAACCUCAAUAAUUGUUAUUUUGUGCCAAGUUUGAGCAUGAACAUUGUAUCAGGAUCUCGUUUAAUUCGAGAUGGCUACUCAUUUAAAUCCGAGAAUAAUGGUUGUUCUAUUUAUAUGAGAGAUAUGUUUUAUGGUCAUGCUCCGAUGGUGAAUGGUUUAUUCUUUAUGAAUCUCGAGCGUAAUGCUACACAUAUUCAUAGUAUAAGUACCAAAAGAUGUAAGAUUGAUAGUGAUAGUCCCACAUACUUGUGGCACUGCCGCCUCGGUCACAUAGGUGUCAAACGCAUGAAGAAGCUCCAUGCUGAUGGACUUUUAGAGUCUCUUGAUUACGAAUCAUUUGACACGUGCGAACCAUGCCUCAUGGGUAAAAUGACCAAGACUCCAUUCUCAGGAACAAUGGAGAGAGCAACCAACUUAUUGGAAAUCAUACAUACUGAUGUGUGCGGUCCAAUGAGUGUUGAGGCUCGCGGUGGCUAUCGUUAUGUUCUCACCCUCACUGAUUACUUGAGUAGAUAUGGGUAUGUCUACUUAAUGAAACACAAGUCUGAGACCUUUGAAAAGUUCAAGGAAUUUCAGAGUGAAGUUGAGAAUCAACGUGACAGGAAAAUCAAGUUUCUACGAUCAGAUCGUGGAGGAGAAUACUUGAGUCACGAGUUUGGUACACACUUAAGAAAAUGUGGAAUAGUUUCACAACUCACGCCGCCUGGAACACCUCAGUGUAAUGGUGUGUCCGAACGUCGUAAUCGCACUCUAUUAGAUAUGGUGCGAUCUAUGAUGUCUCUUGCCGAUUUACCACUAUCUUUUUGGGGCUAUGCUUUAGAGACUGCCGCAUUCACUUUAAAUAGGGCCCCGUCGAAAUCCGUUGAGAUGACACCGUAUGAAUUAUGGUUUGGGAAGAAACCUAAGCUGUCAUUUCUAAAAGUUUGGGGAUGCGAUGCUUAUGUCAGGAAACUUCAACCUGAAAAGCUCGAACCCAAAUCGGAAAAAUGCGUCUUCAUAGGAUACCCUAAAGAAACUGUUGGGUAUAUCUUCUACCUCAGAUCCGAAGGCAAGAUCUUUGUUGCCAAGAAUGGGUCCUUUCUGGAGAAAGAAUUUCUCUCGAAAGAAGUAAGUGGGAGGAAAGUAGAGCUUGAUGAAGUAUUACCUCUUGAACCGGAAAAUGGCGCAACUCAAGAAAAUGUUCCUGAGGUGCCUGCACCGACUAGAGAGGAAGUUAAUGAUAAUGAUCAAGAUACUUCUGAUCAAGCUCCUACUGAAAUUCGAAGGUCCACGAGGACACGUUCCGCACCAGAGUGGUACGGCAACCCUGUCUUGGAAAUCAUGUUGUUAGACAACGGUGAACCUUCGAACUAUGAAGAAGCGAUGGCGGGUCCGGAUUCCGACAAAUGGCUAGAAGCCAUGAAAUCCGAGAUAGGAUCCAUGUAUGAAAACAAAGUAUGGACUUUGACUGACUUGCCCGUAGAACGGCGAGCCAUAGAAAAUAAAUGGAUCUUUAAGAAGAAGACAGACGCGGAUGGUAAUGUGACCAUCUAUAAAGCUCGGCUUGUCGCUAAGGGUUAUCGACAAGUUCAAGGGGUUGACUACGAUGAGACUUUCUCACCGGUAGCGAAGCUGAAGUCCGUCCGAAUCAUGUUAGCAAUUGCCGCAUUUUAUGAUUAUGAAAUUUGGCAAAUGGACGUCAAAACGGCAUUCCUUAAUGGUUUCCUUAAGGAAGAAUUGUAUAUGAUGCAGCCAGAAGGUUUUGUCGAUCCUAAAAAUGCUGACAAGGUGUGCAAGCUCCAACGCUCGAUUUAUGGGCUGGUGCAAGCAUCUCGGAGUUGGAACAUUCGUUUUGAUGAGAUGAUCAAAGUGUUUGGGUUUACACAGACUUAUGGAGAAGCCUGUGUUUACAGGAAAGUGAGUGGGAGCUCUAUAGCAUUUCUCAUACUAUAUGUAGAGGACAUACUUUUGAUGGGAAAUUAUAUAGAACUUUUGGACAGCAUUAAGGCCUACUUGAAUAAGAGUUUUUCAAUGAAGGACCUUGGAGAAGCUGCUUAUAUAUUAGGCAUCAAGAUCUAUAGGGAUAGAUCAAGACGCCUCAUAGGUCUUUCACAAAGCACAUAUCUUGAUAAGAUUUUGAAGAAGUUCAAAAUGGAUCAGUCCAAGAAAGGGUUCUUGCCUUUUUUGCAAGGUGUGAAAUUGAGCUCAGCUCAAUGUCCGACCACGGCAGCAGAGAUAGAAGAGAUGAGUGUCAUCCCCUAUGCCUCAGCCAUAGGUUCUAUUAUGUAUGCCAUGCUGUGUACCAGACCUGAUGUAAACCUUGCCGUAAGUUUGGUAGGAAGGUACCAAAGUAAUCCCGGCAAGGAACACUGGACAGCGGUCAAGAAUAUCCUGAAGUACCUAAAAAGGACUAAGGAAAUGUUUCUCGUUUAUGGAGGUGACGAAGAGCUCGUCGUAAAAGGUUACGUCGACGCUAGCUUCGACACAGAUCUAGAUGACUCUAAGUCACAAACCGGAUACGUGUAUAUUUUGAAUGGUGGGGCAGUAAGCUGGUGAAGUUGCAAGCAGAGCGUCGUGGCGGGAUCUACAUGUGAAGCGGAGUACAUGGCAGCCUCGGAGGCAGCACAUGAAGCAAUAUGGGUGAAGGAGUUCAUCACCGACCUAGGAGUCAUACCCAAUGCGUCGGGGCCGAUCAAGCUUUUCUGUGACAACACUGGAGCUAUUGCACUUGCCAAGGAGCCCAGGUUUCACAAGAAGACAAGGCACAUCAAGCGUCACUUCAACUCCAUCCGUGAAAAUGUUCAAGAUGGAGACAUAGAGAUUUGUAAAGUACAUACGGACCUGAAUGUAGCAGAUCCGUUGACUAAACCUCUCCCAAGAGCAAAACAUGAUCAACACCAGAAUUCCAUGGGUGUUCGAUUCAUCACAAUGUAACUAGAUUAUUGACUCUAGUGCAAGUGGGAGACUGUUGGAAAUAUGCCCUAGAGGCAAUAAUAAAAGCAUUAUUAUUAUAUUUCUUUGUUCAUGAUAAUUGUCUUUAUUCAUGCUAUAAUUGUGUUAUCCGGAAAUCGUAAUACAUGUGUGAAUAACAGACACCAACAUGUCCCUAGUAAGCCUCUAGUUGACUAGCUCGUUGAUCAUAGAUAGUCAUGGUUUCCUGGCUAUGGACAUUGGAUGUCACUGAUAACGGGAUCACAUCAUUAGGAUAAUGAUGUGAUGGACAAGACCCAAUCCUAAACAUAGCACAAGAUCGUAUAGUUCGUUUGCUAGAGUUUUUGCAAUGUCAAAGUAUCUCUUCCUUCGACCAUGAGAUUGUAUAACUCCUGGAUACUGUAGGAGUGCUUUGGGUGUAUCAAACGUCACAACGUAACUGGGUGACUAUAAAGGUGCACUACAGGUAUCUCCGAAAGUAUCUAUUGUUUUAUAUGGAUCGAGACUGGGAUUUGUCACUCCGUAUGACGGAGAGAUAUCACUGGGCCCACUCAGUAAUGCAUCAUCAUAAUGAGCUCAAAGUGACCAAGUGUUUGGUCACGGGAUCAUGCAUUACGGUACGAGUAAAGUGACUUGCCGGUAACAAGAUUGAACGAGGUAUUGGGAUACCGACGAUCGAAUCUCGGGCAAGUAACAUAUCGAUUGACAAAGGGAAUUGCAUACGGGGUUGAUUAAAUCCUCGACAUCGUGGUUCAUCCGAUGAGAUCAUCGUGGAGCAUGUGGGAGCCAACAUGGGUAUCCAGAUCCCGCUGUUGGUUAUUGACCGGAGAGCGAUCUCGGUCAUGUCUACAUGUCUCCCGAACCCGUAGGGUCUACACACUUAAGGUUCAGUUACGCUAGGGUUGUAGGGAUAUGUAUAUGCAGUAACCCGAAUGUUGUUCGGAGUCUCGGAUGAGAUCCCGGACGUCACGAGGAGUUCCGGAAUGGUCCGGAGGUAAAGAUUUAUAUAUGGGAAGUCCUGUUUCGGGCAUCGGGACAAGUUUCGGGGUUAUCGGUAUUGUACCGGGACCACCGGAGGGGUCCCGGGGGCCCACCGGGUGGGGCCACCCAUCCCCGGGGGCCACAUGGGCUGUAGGGGGUGCGCCUUGGCCUGUUUGGGCCAAGGGCACCAGCCCCACAUAGGCCCAUGCGCCUAGGGUUUAAGGGGGAAAGAGUCCUAGGAGGGUAAGGCACCUCCUAGGUGCCUUGGGGGGGAGGGAAACCCCCCUUGGCCGCCGCACCCCCUAGGAGAUUGGAUCUCCUAGGGCCGGCCACCCCCCCUUGGCACCCCUAUAUAUAGUGGGGGAGAGGAGGGACUUCAUACCUUGAGUCCUUGGCCUUUGGUUGCCUCCUUCUCCCUCCCCAACACCUCCUCCACCUCCUUAUUUCUUAGCGAAGCUCUGCCGGAGUACUGCAGCUCCAUCAACACCACGCCGUCGUGCUGCUGCUGGUGCCAUCUCCCUCAACCUCUCCUCCCUCCCUUGCUGGAUCAAGAAGGAGGAGACGUGGCUGUUCCGUACGUGUGUUGAACGCGGAGGUGCCGUCCGUUCGGUGCUAGGAUCUCCGGUGAUUCGAAUCACGUCGUGUUCGACUACAUCAUCCCCGUUCUUUGAACGCUUCCGCUCGCCAUCUACAAGGUAUGUAGAUGCAUCUAUUCACUCGUUGCUAGAUGAACUCCUAGAUGAUCUUGGUGAAACGAGUAGGAAAAUUUUUUAUUUUUCUGCAACGUUCCCCAACAGUUUAAUGGUUAUCAUUAUUCUUUAAAGCAUACGUGUCAUCACAAUAAUCAUCAUAGAUAGGAGGCAUGCUUUCAUCAUAGUAAUUUUGCUCAUCAAAGCUUGGGGGACAAAAAAUAUCAUCUCCAUCAAACAUAGCUUCCCCAAGCUUGUGGCUUUGCAUAUCAUUAGCAUCAUGGGUAUUCAGGGAAUUCAUACUAACAACAUUGCAAUCAUGCUCAUCAUUCACAUAUUUUAUGCCAAGCAUUCUAUGUAAUUAUUCUUCUAGCACUUGAGCACAAUUUUCCUUUCCAUCAUUCUCACUAAAGAUAUUAAAAAGACAAAGCAUAUGAGACAAACUUAACUACAUUUUUUUGUAGUUUUCUUUUAUAAACUAAACUAGUGAUAAAACAAGAAACAAAAAGAUUCGAUUGCAAGAUCUAAAGAUAUACCUUCAAGCACUCACGUCGCCAAAAAGAGCUUAGUUGACGGGGUGUGAGUACCGUUUACCUAGCCUCCCCGGCAACGGCGCCAGAAAAGAGCUUGAUGUCUACUACACAACCUUCUUCUUGUAGACGUUGUUGAACCUGCAAGUGCACAGGUUUGUAGGACAAUAGCAAAUUUCCCUGAAGUGGAUGGCCUAAGGUUUAUCAAUCUGUAGGAGGCGUAGGAUGAAGAUGGUCUCUCUCAAACAACCCUGCAACCAAAUAACAAAGAGUCUCUUGUGUCCCCAACACACCCAAUACAAUGGUAAAUUGUAUAGGUGCACUAGUUCGGCGAAGAGAUGGUGAUACAAGUGCAAAAUAGAUAGUAGAUAUAGGUUUUUGUAAUCUGAAAUAAUAAAAACAGCAAGGUAACGAGCAAUAUUAGUGAGUGUAAACGGUAUUGCAAUGAUAGGAAACAAGGCCUAGGGUUCAUACUUUCACUAGUGCAAGUUCUCUCAACAAUAAUAACAUAGAUAAAUCAUAUAACAAGCCCUCAACAUGCAACAAAGAGUCACUCCAAAGACACUAAUAGCGGAGAACAAACGUAGAGAUUAUGGUAGGGUACGAAACCACCUCAAAGUUAUUCUUUCGGAUCGAUCAAUAAAAGAGUUCGUACUAGAAUAACACCUUAAGACACAAAUCAACCAAAACCCUAAUGUCACCUAGAUACUCCAUUGUCACCUCAAGUAUCUGUGGGCAUGAUUAUACGAUAUGCAUCACACAAUCUCAGAUUCAUCCAACCAACAUAAAAGUACUUCAAAGAGUGCCCCAAAACUACUACCGGAGAAUCAAGAACGUGUGCCAACCCCUAUGCAUAGGUUCCCAAUGUCACGAAACCCGCAAGUUGAUCACCAAGACAUACAUCAAGUGUUCUCAUAAAAGACUCAAUCCGAUAAGAUAACUUCAAAGGGGAAACUCAACUCAUCACAAGAGAGUAGAGGGGGAGAAACAUCAUAAGAUCCAACUACAAUAGCAAACCUCGGGAUACAUCAAGAUUGUGCCAUAGAGGGAACACGAGAGAGAGAACUCAAACACAUAGCUACUGGUACAUACCCUCAACCCUGAGGGUGAACUACUCCAUCCUCGUCAUGGAGAGCGUCGGGAUGAUGAAGAUGGCCACCGGUGAUGGAUCCCCCCCCCCUCCGGCAGGGUGCCGGGAAGGGCUCCCGAGAGGUUUUUGGUGGCUACAGAGGCUUGCGGCGGCGGAACUCCCGAUCUAUCUUUUGUUCUAGAAGUUUUAGGGUAUGUAGGUAUAUAUGGGUGCAAGGGGUACGUCGGUGGAGCUUCGGGGGCCCCAUGAGGCAGGGGCGCGCCCCCCACCCUCGUGAGCACCUCCCGUAUCUUCUGACAUGGAGUCCAAGUCCAUCAAGUGGGUUUCCUUCCAAAAAUAACUUCUCCAGUUGAUUUCGUUCCGUUUUGACUCCGUCUGAUAUUCCUUUUCCUCGAAACACUGAAAUAGGUAUAAAACAACAAGUCUGGGCUGGGCCUCCAGUUAAUAGGUUAGUCCCAAAAAUAAUAUAAAAGUGGAAAAUAAAGCCCAAUAUAGUCCAAAACAGUAGAUAAAGUAGCAUGACGCAAUCAAAAAUUAUUGAUACGUUGGAGACGUAUCAGAAUGUUCUGCCAAAGCUUGGCUGAAUCAGUUGGCCCCUGGAAGCAUUCUCAGUUGGGAUGAGUUGGCCCGAGUGUUUACCAGAACAUUUGAGGCCACCUGCGAGAGGCCUGCUGGUUUGCCGGAAUUAUAGCACUGCAUGCAGAAAUCGAAUGAGACCUUGAGAGAUUAUCUCCAGAGGUGGAUCGCUCUGCACCACACAAUGGAGAAUGUAUGUGAUCACCAAGCAGUCUAUGCCUUCAAAGAAGGCGUUCGCUAUAGAGAACUCAAUCUGAAGUUCGGUCGGACCGGAGACAUAUCUCUGGCUCGGAUGAUGGAGAUUGCCACAAAAUAUGCUAACAGCGAAGAAGAAGACUGACUCUGGAGCGGCAAACACAAGUCAGUCGCCCAAGACACCGGAGGUGGGAAUUCCAGUCGGAAGCAGAAGCGAAAGGUUGAGGCAGCAGGCCCUGCUGAGGCAGCAAUGUUGAACCAGGGAAAGUUCAAAGGAAAUCCCAAGGGGCCCUGGAACCCUAAGAAAGUAAAGGAUCAAGUUGGAAAUGAUGUACUUGAUUUGUCGUGUCAUGUACACAAUAAGAAGGACGAAGAGGGGAAUCUGAUUCUCCCCAAGCAUACCACUCGACGGUGUCGACUCCUCAUUCAGAGUUUCCAGAAGAAAGGUCAGCCUAGUGAAAAUGAAAAAGAAUCUGAUAAGGAAGAAGACAAGGAUGAGGAUGACAGUUAUCCCAAUGUCAAUGCCACUUUAAUUAUUUUUGCUGACGUCGAGAGCAAAAGUCGAUUGAAAGUGAUCAAUAGGGAAGUGAACAUGGUUGCUCCGCCAACAAAGACAUAUUUGAAGUGGUCAAAAAACCCCAUAACUUUUGACUAGUCCGACCACCCAGCGCAUGUUGCCACCCCUGGGCAGCAAGCUUUGGUGGUCGACCCAGUCAUUGGGGGCACCCGACUAACCAAGGUUCUGAUGGAUGGUGGCAGUGGCCUGAAUAUCCUGUACGAUGAGGCCCUCGAAGGGAUGGGCAUCUCGAUGUCCAAGCUCAAUGAGAGUAACAUGCGAUUCCACGGAGUCAUCCCAGGAAAGAAAGCCGAUUCACUCGGUUAGAUCACUCUUGACAUAGUUUUCGGCGAUGAGAAGAAUUAUCGCAAGGAUAAGUUGACCUUUGAGGUCGUGGAUUUCAAAAGUGCGUACCAUGCCAUUUUGGGCCAACCCGCAUAUGCCCAGUUCAUGGCUCGACCAUGUUAUGUGCUCCUCAAGUUAAAGAUGCCCGGACCCAAAGGCGUGAUCACGGUCACUGGGAAUCGACAAAGAGCAGAAGAUUGCCUCCAGAAAGGUUGUAAGAUUGCUGAUGAAUAGAUGGCAGCAGUGGAAUUUCAAGAGUACCAGAAGAAUGCAGAUCCGAGUGAUUUGUUGUGUGCCAAAAAGCCUGCCUCUGAGUCUGCAUUUCAGUCGGCUGGUGAAACAAAACCAGUUCACAUUCACCCGACCGACCCCAAUGCUACUCUGACCCAUAUUUCAACAACACUUGACAGCAAAUAGGAAGAAGCGCUCAUCCAGUUCCUCCGUGAGAACUGGGACAUCUUCGCAUGGAAACCAUCUGACAUGCCAGGUGUACCCAGGGGACUGGCUUAGCACCGUUUGCGAGUCGACCCAAAAGCAAAAGCCGUUAAAGAGCAUCUCUGUCAGUCCACCACGGAGAAGAGGAAGGCGAUUGGUGAAGAAGUGGCUCGGUUCCUGGCAGCAGAGUUCAUCCGCGAGAUAUACCACUCCGAGUGGCUCGCCAACGUCGUCAUGGUUCCCAAGAAAGAUAAGUCACUUCGUAUGUGUAUUGGUUUCAAGCAUAUCAAUCGGGCCUUCCCGAAAGAUCACUUCCCUCUGCCCCGCAUCGACCAAAUAGUCGACUCAACUGUGGGAUGUGAGCGCUUGUCCUUUUUGGAUUCGUAUUCCGGGUACCAUCAGAUCUGUCUGUAUGGACCCGAUGAGAUAAAAAGAGCUUUCAUCACCCCAUUCGGCUACUUUUGCUAUGUCAUCAUGCCCUUUGGCCUUAAGAAUGCUGGCGCCACUUUCAUGCGCAUGAUUCAGAAGUGCCUGCUGACUCAAAUCAGUCGGAAUGUGGAAGCAUACAUGGAUGACAUAGUGGUUAAGUCACACAAAGGUUCCGACCUGCUGAAUGACCUCGCUGAAACCUUUGCCAACUUAAGAAGAUAUGAUAUCAAGCUCAAUCCAUCAAAGUGCACAUUCGGAGUCCCAGGCGGAAAGUUACUCGGUUUUCUCGUUUCUGAACGGGGGAUCAACGCAAAUCCAGAGAAGAUUGGCACAAUCCUCCGAAUGAAACGCCCUGUGCAUGUGCAUGAUGUUUAGACGCUUACUCGUUGUUUGGCUGCAUUGAGUCGAUUCAUCUCAUGCCUCGGUAAGAAGGCACUACCUCUCUAUCGACUGAUUAAGAAGUCUGACAAGUGUAAGUGGAAUGACGAAGCUGAAGUAGCGUUUGAAGAGCUCAAAACCCUGCUUUCCACCCAGCCGGUGCUUGUUGCUCCAGUCAGCAAGGAGCCUUUGCUGCUUUACAUCGCAGCCGCUGGACAGGUUGUCAGCACAGUGCUCACAGUCGAGCGGGAAGAAGAAGGCAAGGCCUUCAAAGUUCAAUGCCUAGUGUAUUAUAUUUCUGAAGUUUUGACUCCGUCCAAGCAAAGAUACCCUCACUAUCAGAAGCUUGUUUAUGGAAUUUAACUGACCAUGAAGAAAGUAGCUCAUUACUUCUCAACCACUCAGUUUCAGUAGUCAGUGAGGCUCCACUAUCAGAAAUCCUGAACAACAGAGACGCAACUAGUCGAGUGGCAAACUGGGCAAUUGAACUCCUUCCAUUAGAUAUCAAGUUCGAGGCAAAGAAGGACAUCAAGUCCCAGGCGAUAGCAGAUUUCCUUGCAAAGUGGACUGAACAGGAGCAACCGACUCAGGUUCACUCAGAACAUUGGACUAUGUUCUUUGAUGGCUCCAAGAUGUUGAAUGGCUCCGGUAUAGGAGUGGUUUUGGUAUCCCCAAGGGGCGACAAUCUCAACUAUGUCCUCCAGAUUCACUUUGAUUCAUCAAACAAUGAAGCUGAAUAUGAGGCACCUCUAUAUGGGUUGCAUAUGGCCAUUUCACUCGGCAUCCGGCGCCUGAUGAUAUACGGUGAAUCAGACUUAGUGGUCAAUCAGGUGAUGAAGGAAUUGGAUAUCAGAAGUUUAGCAAUGAGCGGUUAUUGCAAUGUAGUGAGGAAGCUAGAGAAGAAGUUUGAGGGGUUAGAGCUCCACCACAUACCCUAAAUCAAGAAUCAAGCCGCUGGUGAGCUAGCGAAGAUAGGAUCCACUAAGAAACCUAUCCCCAGUAAUGUGUUUUUGGAGCACCUCCACACCCCGUCAGUACAGGAAGAUCCCUUCAAGAAGAGCCCCCGCAACCAAUAAGUUCGACAAACCCGACUGAAAUCGAAAUCCCAGUUGUGGUCGACUUGGUCAUGGAAGUCUUAGUGGUCACGCCCAACUGGACAGUGUCGUAUAUCGUGUACAUACUCAGGAAAGAAAUCCCAAAAGAUGAAGAGGAGGCUCGCCAGGUCGUUCGACGAUCAAAGGCUUUCACCGUGAUAAAAGGGCAGCUUUACAGAGAAAGUGUCACAGGAGUGGCUCAACACUGUAUUACCCCGGAAGAAGGCCGAAUGAUUCUAAACGGGAUCCACUCGGGGACAUGUGGUCACCAUGCGUCCUCUCGGACCAUCGUGGCCAAAGCAUACUGAGCAGGAUUUUAUUGGCCUCGUGCAAAUGAGAUGGCGAAAGAUAUAGUCGACAAGUCUGUAGGCAGUCAAUUCUACUCCAACAUGUCCCACAAGCCCGCGUCAACCUUGAAGACUAUUCCACUCGUCUAGCCGUUUGCAGUCUGGGGGUUGGAUAUGGUUGGACCCUUCAAAACCGGAAGAAGUGGUUUCACUCACUUGCUCGUAGCAAUCGGCAAGUUCACCAAGUGGAUCGAAGCCAAGCCUAUCAAAAACCUCGACUCAAGCACUGUCGUCAGCUUCAUCAGAGAGUUGAUAUUCAAAUAUGGAGUCCCUCACAGCAUUAUCACUAAUAAUGGCUCAAAUUUUGAUUCUCAUGAGUUCAAGGCAUUUUGCACUUCCCAAGGCACUCGGGUCGACUGUGCAUCCGUUGUGCACCUGCAGUCGAAUGGGCAAGCUGAAAGGGCGAAUGGAUUGAUCCUUCAAGGGUUGAAACCCCUACUGAUGCGCGACCUCAAGGACGCUGCUGGAGCUUGGGUGACUGAGUUGCCAUCCGUCCUCUAGGGUCUAAGAACAACGCCAAACCGGUCUACUAACCGAACCCUUUUCUUCUUGGUGUACAGUGUUGAGGCUGUGCUUCCGAGUGACUUGCUGCACAACGCUCCCCGAGUGGAACUCUUCUCAGAAGCUGAAGCUGAGCAGGCAUGCCAAGACGCAGUGGAUCUCCUAGAACAGGAACAAGAGAUGGCUCUGAUCUGGUUGACCAUUUAUCAGCAAGAUCUGCAUCAGUUCCAUGCUCGUAAUGUCAGAGGGCGAGCACUCCAGGAAGGAGAUCUUGUGCUCCGAGUGGAUCAGAAACGGCCGCACAAGCUCGCUUUGGCCUGGGAAGGCCCCUUCAUCGUCACCCAGGUGCUUCACAAUAGAGCAUACCACAUCUACAACAUAGCCAAGAGGAUGGACGAGCCACGUGCGUGGAACGCAUAGCUACUCCACCAUUUCUACACAUAAAUCCCUCGGAUCGACGAGUUGUAAUAAAAGUACUUCAGUUUGCUUAUCAAAGACAUGAUUUCUGUAGUCACAAAUUGUUUGUUUUCACAUAUACUUGUGUUCAAAUCCCCCAGUGGGUGCUUAGCCGCGAACCUGAUUCGCCUAAGUUAAAAACUACUCCGAGUGGAGAGCGAUCCUCCCACUCGGGGGCUUAGCUCUGACCCUAUACUCGCCUAAGUUAAGAAACACUCCGAGUGAAGAGCAAUCCUCCCACUCGGGGGCUUAGCCGCGACCUUGUACUCGCCUAAGUUAAAAAAAACUCUGAGUGGAGAGUGAUCCUCCCACUCGGGGGGCUUAGCCACGACCUCGUACUCGCCUAAGUUAAAAAACACUCCGAGUGGAGAGCGAUCCUCCCACUCGAGGGGCUUAGCCGCGACCCUGUACUCGCCUAAGUUAAAAGACACUCCGAGUGGAGAGCGAUCCUCCCACUCGGGAGCUUAGCUGCGACCCCAUACUCGCCUAAGUCACAAAGAUCCUCUGAGAUGAAUCACAAGUACAACGUACACUCCACCCUGAUCUGCAAGGACGGCGAGGUGUCAAUUGAACACAUCCUCUGAGCUACGUCACAAGUACAACGUACGAUCCAUCCCGAUCCGCAAGGACGAUGAGGUGUCGAUUGAACACAUCCUCUGAGCUGUGUCACAAGUACAACAUACGCUCCAUCCCGAUCCACAAGGACGAUGAGGUGUCGAUUGGACACAUCCUUUGAGCUUCAUCACAAGCACAACGUACGCUCCAUCCCGAUUCGCAAGGAUGACGAGGUGUCAAAUGAACAUAUCCUCUGAGCUACGUCACAAGUAUAACGUAUGCUCCAUCCCGGUCCGCAAGGAUGACGAGGUGAUGUUCGAUCACAUCAUCAAUUCCACUCGACGGGAAGUGGAAAGGUCAAGUCCCACUCGGGACCAAAAAUAUCCAAAAGCGAUAAAGACAAAGCCAUCGUAUUCGAAGAAAAUCAAGUUUAGAUAAAUCCCGCAAAAGUUCAGAACAACAACGGGAAGAAGUACUCAGGUAUCAGGCCUAAAAGAGUUUAAUGGUUACAUAACCACUCGGCAUUCUGAGGCAAAUAAAGGUGGAGCAUAAUGUUUGUUCACUCGGUGGGAGGAGGACUUGCCGGCUCGACGAAGCUGUCAAGGUCGAUGAUGUCUGUGAUAUGGGUAGAGGCGUCAAGGAAGGUGUCCAUGAAAGACUAGAAGCUGAGCUUCUUAGUGUUGUCAACCUUGAGGGCCGCCAGCUUGUCUUCUCUAACAUCCUUGCAGUGGACUCGGACCAACGACAAAGCAACAUCAGCACCACAGCGAGCAGACGACUUCUUCCACUCCUGCACUCGACCAGGGAUCUCAUUCAGUCAAGUCAUCAGGGACUCGAGAUCUUUUGGGAGUUCUGCUUGAGGCCAGAGUUCAGCGUCAAUCCACGACAUUGCCACCUUCAGACGAGCGAGAUAGUUCAUAGCACUAUCUAGAUGAUACUCCAAUCAUAGCACACUCAUCACGAUGUCAUCUUUGAUAGGAGAGUUUAUGGGGUCAAGACCUGUCUCGACCCGCCCAGUUUCUGCUUCGAAAUCUUGACAAAGUUCUGCAUAGUCAGAAAGGUGGUGAGUUGACAGUUCAAUAAGAUGCAUCAGUCGACAUCGACAAAUCAGUCGGACAAAGAGAAAUACCUUCAAGCUUCAAGACCAGCUUCUCAGCAAGCUGUCCCAGAUAAGCCUCCAGUUCACCUUUCUUGGCCUUGAGACUUCCAACCUCGUCAGUCAGGGUCUCCUUGUCCUUCUUUAGAUUCUCAACCUCCUGGUUGGCCUCAGCAACAACAGUCUUCAGCUUGGAGCUCUCCUCUUCUAACUUGCUGACUGAGGCCAGCUUCUUAUCGGCAAGUGUUGUUUUCUCUCGCGCCUCCUUCUGCGAUGUGGCAAGGUCUUGAUCCUUCUUCUCUAGAGCCUCCUUCAUUCUUCAGACGAGCUUGGAUUUGUUGGUUUUCACGAUGCACAUAUGUUCGAGUGAAGUCACUCGGUUCAAGAGACUAAAAAAAUCAUCAGGAGGACAGUCGAUGAUUUAUUACCUCCCAUGGUGGCCGCUUCUUCCUGGGCCUUCUUGAGAUUCUUAUUGGCCAUCUCCAGAUCGAAGUUGAGGCUGAUCUGCUUCUUCUCUAGUUCAGCAAAUUGAGCCCCAAGAUCACAGGCUUUCUACGAUCAACAAAUAAGAUAUGUCAGUCGACAGGAACAAAAGUCAAUCACAGCGACAAUUGCUCUAAGACUACCGUCGAAUCAAACACUCAACGGUAGUCUCGGGGACUACACCCAGUGGGUGCACUUGGCGUGCCCCCACUGGUCCGGUUUUCCACUCUGCAUGGUCUGCCCAGCAUGAGUAUGCAAAAAAAAGAGCUUCUCAGACCCUAAUCGACUACCAGCAGUCGACCUUGGUCUCGGGGACUACACCCAGUGGAUGCACUUGGCGUGCCCCCACUGGUCCAGAUUCCACACGGAUUGUGAUAUUCAACCAUGUGAAAGAACAAUGAAAUAACAUUCGACAAAGACCCCCGCCGCAUCAAACACUCGACGGUGGUCUCGGGGACUACACCCAGUGGGUGCACUCUGCGUGCCCCCACUGGUUCAGAAAAACACUCGACUCAACCUAGUCGACUCAAGUGGAAGUACUAUUCAACACUAAGUCAAAACACGCAGUGGGUGAUUGGAUGCGAUUGGAUGUGAAAUGAAAACCCAUGAUAGAUGCACAUAAAGGUUCCAAAACACUCAUCCAGGGACACCUUACGAACAAUAUAGUAGCAGUUGCAAUUACCACUAGUCAAGGGACCAGUCGGAAAUCAACUAACCUUGACGCUGGCAUGCACAACUGUGCUGGCAUUAUAGGCAACCUGACUGGCCUCAUGCACCACCUUCAUCUUCUCCAUCACGAGGUUUGCCUGGAGAAGGGCUUCCCUGGCAGCACUCGGCAGGUCGUCUGGAGUGUGAUAUGCAGCAAAGAGCGAUGACGACAAUACAGUCGGAGAUGCUACAGGAUCUGAAGCAUGGAGCUAUGCAGGCGAGGCGGAGACUUGAGGAGUCGAUGCCGAGGGACGUUCAGUCGACAGUAGAUUGGCGAAAGAAACGUUGGCCCGAGCCGGAUCUCUGGAUCACUAGACCACCAUCUUCGGUGCUGCUGUCGACUGAGACCCUUGGCCUGCAGUCGUCCUCCUGCUUAAAGCCCUGCCCCUCCUUCCCAUAGUCUUCAGGGGCGCUUCUUCUUCGUCAUCUGGAAGCUCAACGACGUCCCGCGGAGCUGCAACAAAAAGCAACCGUGAGAGUUCAAUCGACCGACAACCCAGUCGGCAGAACAAGUUCAAGAUGGCAAGAGCGUACCAGCUUUGGAAGUAGCCGCGUCAUCAACCUCCUCAUCGCCUGGGGCCUUGUCAACAUCCAUGGAGGUCGCGGAGGUUGCUGCACUGAAAAUUUCAUAAUCCAUUCGGUCAGAGCAGGAGUAUGAGUCGGUAGGGAAACACAGAAAAAUGGGACACUCACACAGAAGCAACUGGAACAUCCAUCUUGAUUCAAGACUUUGAAGGAGCGACCUUGGGCUACUUGGAGACCUUCUCUGAUGGCUUCGGAGUCAAAGUCUGAGUGCGCUUUUGCACUUCUGUACUCGGAGCCACAGUCUUGCCACGCCCGCUUGCUGGAUCAUGGAAUUGCUUGGGUCGGCGCUCUAUGCGAGGUGGUGAGUCGACCUCCUCUUCAUUGUCUGACUCAUCACUCUCUUCUUCAUCAUCUUCAUCAGGGGAUUGCCAGUCGCCGCUCUCUUCUGCGCUGUCCUCUCCCUCCUGGGCUUGUCCUGGGCUUGUUCCCCAUUGGGCAUCGAAUACAUCUCAGUGUAAACCUGCAAGGCGAGAAGUUAGUCAGACAUCAGUCAGAUUCAGAAACAGUUGCAAGAUAGAUUGAAGUACACUCGGUAUCAAAGAUCAGACCUUGUCCGGCUGGUCGUCAGCAUCGAAUGGAUCGACUCUCCUGGCCCCCUUGGGGUUAUCCUUGUUACCGCUAAUGCUUUUCAGCCACAGGGCCACCAUCUUGUCCGGAACCUCCUCCGGGUGGACCCGAGCGAUGUCGUUAGCUCCCGAGUACAUCCACAUCGAGUGGUCACGGGCUUGGAGCGGCUGGAUGCAUCGACUGAGGAACACCUCUAAUAAAUCCAUGCCAGUUAUGCCAUCACGAACCAACUGGACUACCCUCUCGAACAACAUGCUCGUCUCUACUUUCUCUGUCAUAGUCACGGUCAGUGAAGAAGGUUGCUAGGCUCGAUCUAAUGUAAAAGGAGGGAGACCGAUCGACUGACCGGGGGUCGCAAUGUCCUGGCAGUAGAACCAGGUCGACUGCCAGCCCUGACCGACUCGGUAAGUGUCAUGGUAGGAAAAGUGCUCCUCUUCCUCAUCUGGAUCCCCAAACCUACGCACAUUUGGAUCACGUGCGUCCUCUCGUCAAUCAGAUUCACCUUCUUCAUGGUAUGGGGGCGGAUUGUAAAGAUGUGCUUGAAGAGACCCAGUGCGGUCGACAACCCAAGAAGUUUUCACACAUCGACACGAACGCAGCCAGAUACUUGAUGGUAUUGGGGGAGAAGUGGUGGAGUUGAGCACCGAAAAAGUUCAAAAAGCCCCGGAAAAAAGGAUGCGGCGGAAGGGAGAAGCCACGGUCAACAUGGGUAGCAAGAAGGACGCACUCACCCUACCGUGGCUGAGGUUUUGUCUCGCCCUCCAGCAGCCUCGCCGCCCCGGCGGCGAUCAAACCGGUGGUGGCCAGAUCUUCCAGAUCUUCUGGCUGGAGCGUAGAUCGGAUCCAAUCUCCCUGAAUCCAAGCCGGCGGUAGCACAGACCUCAACGAUGACCCCCGAUUCAUAUUCUUGCGCUUCAUCAGUGCUGUUGCAUUCUUUGUGUGCUCCAGCACCGCCGUCUUGUCCUUCACCAUGGGGAUGGGCUACACACUGAUGGAGCAGUGGCGUCGAGGGCGAGAGUAGAUGCGGUGGAGAGAUAGAGGAGGAAGAAGGGGAAUGAGAGUGCACAGUGUGGACGCCUUGGCCUCGGCGCCUUUUAAGGGCCUACUUCUGAGUGGCUGACGCAUGGGCCCGAGCGAUCCUGUCAAAUCCCGCAACAGUCGCGCACCGGAUACGUGGUGAAAAAGGUUGCACGGGAAUCGAGGCGCCCCCGUCUAUCCAUCCCACUAGCUACAGAGCGCUCCGCCUGCGCUUCCCCAAAUUUUUGAAUCACAUGCGAUCCAGGAUCCAUAGUAACCAAUCGCGCCAAAUAUCUCAUGUCAUAACGACACUCAAAGAGUACCAGUAUAAGUUCACUCGACAACCUCUAAAUCGAUCAAGGCGACUGAAAUGAAGUUGAAAUUCCAACAUAGACCUCAAACCCGGCAUGAAUAUUUGUGAAGCACAAGAGUCAAGAAAGGACCAACCUCAACCUUCUUUUCCACUCGGACCUCGAUCCAUUCGGGGGCUAAUGACGAUACCAUAGACCUAGGGUAGGGUCAUAAACCUGACCUAUACGCCCUACCCAAGGUCACCACCCUAGAAUCAAGGACGUUCAAGAUAUAACAAGUAUCAACUAAAGCCACCGAGUGCGAUCCACUCGACCAGACACCUCACUCGGAUACCCCCCAUUUCACUCGACCUGGAUGGAGUCAUUCGACCAUAUAGGAAACCACUCGGAGUACAGAAGACCUAGAGUCACUCAGGACGGCAACAGUCAGGCUUUCACUCUGUAGUCUUAAAGAUCAUUGAAUACACUUUAUAGCUGGCGUUACCAGUAACGCCCUGUCUUAAUGUACAUUGAACCCCUGUAACAGAGGUUGGGUGGGGUCCUGGUGCACUCUAUAUAAGCCACCCCCCCCUCCUCUGGGACAAGGGAUCACACCCUUUGUAACACACACCCAUAUUCCAGUUGACCACCUCAGGGCACCAAGAUGUAGGGCUUUUACCUCCUCCGAGAGGGGCCUGAACUCGUAAACUCGUGUGUACAACCUCGCCAUAGCUAGGGUCUCGCCUCCUCAUAUGUACCCCCUAUUCUUACUGUCAGACUUAGUACCACGACAGCCUUCCCUGGCCUCUCGUGCCUCUUUCUUCUUCUUAUUUUCUUUCUUCUCUGGCACCUUGUACGGCGCCAUGGUCAGCAUCUCCUCCAGCUGAGCCGACCGGGGGUCUUCGGGCAGCGGGGCCGGACUGUCGAUCCGCGCAGCCUUUCUGAACCAACCCUGUGAAGGUAGGAAGAAAGAGUCAGAUCCCUUGAUAACACACGGAUAUCCGAAUACAAAAGGAUAAAAUAAAUUUUAUUACCUCCCUAGGGGAUGCACAACGUUGAGGUCGACCCCCCCCCCAUGGCCGGCCACUCCUUCUAAGGCUUGAACGGCACCUUCCAUAGUUUUUCAUGGGUGGUGUCGUAGAAGUUCAACACGGUGACGUGGUCUUCGGGCUUGUAAGCCCACAUUGGGGUGUCUUGUUGCUGGUAAGGGAGGAGGCGGUGGCAAAGCAUCACUUGGAUCACAUUGGUCAUCUUGGCGCCCGCCUUUUUCAUGCUAGCGACGCGCUUCUGCAGCAACUCCACCUCCUCGGGAGACCCCCAGUCAAGACCUUUCUUGGUCCAAGAAGUUAGCCUCGCUGGGGUUCCGAAUCUGAACACGAGAGAUGCUGCCCAAGCUACAUGGUUUUGUAAUGUAGAACCACUCCUUCUGCCAAACCUUGACAGUAUCUAUGAAUGUGCCCUCCGGCCACUCAACCCGGGCAAGCUUNNNNNNNNNNNNNNNNNNNNNNNNNNNNNNNNNNNNNNNNNNNNNNNNNNNNNNNNNNNNNNNNNNNNNNNNNNNNNNNNNNNNNNNNNNNNNNNNNNNNNNNNNNNNNNNNNNNNNNNNNNNNNNNNNNNNNNNNNNNNNNNNNNNNNNNNNNNNNNNNNNNNNNNNNNNNNNNNNNNNNNNNNNNNNNNNNNNNNNNNNNNNNNNNNNNNNNNNNNNNNNNNNNNNNNNNNNNNNNNNNNNNNNNNNNNNNNNNNNNNNNNNNNNNNNNNNNNNNNNNNNNNNNNNNNNNNNNNNNNNNNNNNNNNNNNNNNNNNNNNNNNNNNNNNNNNNNNNNNNNNNNNNNNNNUUCAUCUUGACAUUAAAGACUUUCAGCCAUAAGCCGAAGUGCGGUUGCACCCAAAGAAAGGCCUCUCAAACAAUGAUGAAGGCCGAGAUGUGAAGCAUAGAGUUUGGGGCUAGAUCGUGAAAAUCCAGCCCGUAGAAGAACAUCAGCCCUCGGACGAAGGCGUGGACCAGAAAGCCCAGUCCCCGAAUAAAGUGGGGGAUGAACACCACCCUCUCGCCCGGCUGCGGCGUGGGGAUGACCUGGCCCUCCUCUGGAGCAUGGUGAACAACAUUGGUCGGGAUGUAGCUAGCACGUUUCAGGUCUUUGAUGUCCUUGUUGGUGACGACGGAGGCCUCCACUUGCCUCCCGAGCCAGAUCCGGCCAUGACCGAAUUAAGGGAAGGGAUGGAGAGGAGUUCUCCAGGGUGAAUGGGACGGAGCGAUGGAGCUCUGUAGAUGGGGAAAGUGAUGGCUAGAGGAAGAGAAGGCGUGUGCAGAUGAGGAUAGUAAUUUCCCUUUUAUAAGCACCUCUUAUUGCACCGCGGGCUUCACCGCUUCCCAAUAUGAUCGCAGCGUUAUGCGCAAGUGGGAUAACCCAAAAUCAUUAAUUGUAUCCCUUAAAGGGAAGGCACGAUCUCUACCUUUAUGGAACGUGCCAAUGGAGGAGUUGCCUCGAACCACGAAUCGAGCUUUUAUGACGGUUUGAUGUUUUUGACCAAGUGUGAGCCUUUGCCGGAAGUUAUCAGGUCAACGCACUAUUCACACUUUGGCGGUUGGCCUUCGAGGCUAAGCAUUAUCAGCGGUUUGGAUUCCGAACAUUACCCAAUUAACAUAUGGCCGAACUCAAGUUUAGAAGCUCUUGGAACCUGAUGAACGGAAAUUAUGUUGAACAUGAAGGAGAGGAACUCACCCCGCAAGCCGGAUACAUCGAGCAUGUUAAGAUCUCAAGACAUGAUGAAGCACCGGCGUUGGAGGCCAGUUCGGGGGCUACUGAGGGAGUCCUGGAUUAGGGGUCCUCGGCCUGCCGGCCUAUCCCUCGUGGGCCGGAUAGUCGGCCGCGUUGCCAAUGCUAGUAGGCCGAACUAUGAGGAGACUUCAUGUCCGGACAUGAAGUCUUUGGUGCCUUGGUGAGUCCUCCAAGUCAAGAUGAGAAGAAUCGACAUGUUUAUCCCUUCCUUGUAACCGACCAUGUGUAACCCUAGUUCCCCUGGUGCCUAUAUAAACCAGAGAGUUUAGUCCGUAGAGGAUAGAACAACAACCAUCAUCCUACUCGACUAGGGUUUUAGUUCAUCUGAUCUCGUGGUAGAUCGACCCUGUAAUCCUCAAAUACACUUCAAUAUAACCAAGCAGGCUGUAGGGUUUACCUAUUAGAGAGGACCCGAACCUGGGUAAACAUCGUUUCCUUCGUCCGCUGUUCCCCAUUGAUCCGAUAUCCACAGCUCGGGACCCCCACCCGAGAUCCGCCGGUUUUGACACCAACACCGGCUGCUGCGGGGCGUCUGACUAGUGAGGAUCAUCUUCGGCCGGCUCGCCGUAUCAUUCGUCAUCAAUCGUCAGGGUCGGUUGUGCCAACCCUGGCUACCCCAGCGCCAACCGGAGUGGCUGGCGUCGGGGUGUGCGGAAGAGGCUUGCAGCAUAGGCCAGCGGCCGCCGUUCGGGUCCUCCGGGUCAUGUGAGGCGGAAGCCGUGCGCUGGACCGGAUCGGGGUGGUUUUGCUGCUCGUUCACCAUGGCAACAAGCUUGCAGACGCGUUGUUGCCGCUGGAGGCGCUCCUCACCCUCCAGGAACUCAAUAUCUGCCAUGGCAACCUCCACGGAACGCAUGUUCUUGACGGGGGUGUCCUAGACAGGCGGGUUCACGCCGAGCGCGCGGCCGAUGGUGUCGCCACGACGUCGCACCUCGGCCACCCGGCUAGGCUCAGGAUUGGUUGGUGUGAUGCCAUGGGCCACGUCGUGCUCGCAUGCGCAGACUCCACCUGGCACCACUCAGCAGCGAGCUUUGUGGCUUCGUCCAGCAGGCACUGGCGCUUCUCGUUGAGAUGUGCUGCAGCUGCGGCCGGAUCGGCAUCAGGGAUGAUGGGGGUGCACAUGCUAUGCACCGCCACUCGCAGGGGGGCGGACUAGCCCCAGGCGAGCAGGAGCCACAGCAGCCUGCGCCUUGGGAAGCAAGCCGGUGGCGCUCGAGCUGGUGACCAGCACCUCCAUGCGGGUGCAGAGGUCCACAACAUCGCUGGAGAUGGCGCCAUCAAUAGGGACGGGCGAGACGGUGACGUUGUACACCUUGCUCGGGAAGAUGUCGGGGACGAGCGCGACGGAGACGUGGAACGUGCCGAAGGGAACGAUGGAGCUAGCAGCAAGGCCGGUGGUGCCCGCACCAGAUGCGGGAACCAUGCCGUGCAUGUUGUGCUCGCCGGAGCUGGUGAAGGUCCUCGUCCGAAACUUGACUCCGGCUGAUGCCACAAGCAGCACCAUGGUGGGCGCCAACUAUCAUGGUGAUCUCACGGCAAAUGCCAUGGGAUGGCUUAAAGUGGGGGGCUACGUCACGCCGGUGGGUUCCGGAGGCAAGGUUGGCACGCGCUAGUGUGUGACACGAGACGUACAUAGGUUUGGGGCCCUCUGGGGAGGUAACACCCCUAGUCCUGAUGAAUGUGGUAUGAACAGGCGGAAGGGGCUACAAGGUUGCUCCUGGAGCUGUUUGGGGCGAGGAAGGGGGAACUGGUCCUCUGCCUUGCCUCUAGCCCGAGUGUGUGUGUUUUGGGUGGGUUGACUAAUGAGAGCUCAACCCUUUGCAUGGAGGGGCACAGGGGGGUCUUAUAGGCCGCCGCCCCGGGGUACAAUGGUAAGAUUACAUGGGCACAGGGCCCUGGUGUCAUCGCCUGCAGACCGGUAGUAGGGCCAGCCUGGUCGCGGGAUCCGCCGGGUCCCCGGGCACGGGCCCCGUCGGCUGCAUGGUACUGUGAUUCGUCUUGUCUGGCAUCAUGGAGUGGUUGGCGCUGUGUGGCCAUAGUGUCGCGUCACCCGGUCGUCGUCCGCCCUGAUCAGCGGUACGGGGGACGUUAUAGCCAUGCUCGCUCCGGUCAGCCUGGGUAGGUAGCACACUAUUGCCACGCUUGGCUCGUCAUGGGGAGUUGUCUUGUUGUAUACCCGGAUGGGACGGCCACUGACCCACGGCUAGUCGGCACAUGGCCAGCCGACCAGCCGGGAUGCCUCGCCUAGCCAGCUCGCGCUGGGGAGCCGGCCAGCGAUCUGCCGGGUUGAGGGGCGCAUGUUGCCCCGUGUUUUAAAAAGGGAUCUGGGUUCCGCUGCCUACCCAGGGGUCAUCCCCCCCCCCACACACACAAAUCUUGCUAUUUACCCUAGCUUAAAAGGGGCCUUCCUCCCAUGGGUUCGAUAACUUAGGGUGACCUCUGGGGAAAUAGGUGAGAAUACUUUCUGCUCUAUUUCCGGAUCACUAAAGGAAGUAAUCAGAGCCUUUUUGUGGCGUUGUUGCCUUGGAGAAGUUGAGUAUUCCUAGUUUUUGUGUUUAGACUUUUUGUUGAAUUUCUAGUUUUAGUUUUAGUUUUGUUUUAUUUUUGUUGCAAGUCUUGUUAGUUGAAAAACCCCAAACAGAUUAUCAUAGCUCAUAAUCUUGGAAGUUUUGUGCUCCUAGCAAUAACUUUAUGCGUGAACCCAUAGCACAAAACUUAAUUUCCAUAGUUCAACAGGACCAAUUUGGAGACCUUUUCUAAGGACUAUCAAAGCUGUGAUAAAUAUAUUUGAUGGAAAUGUUAGAUUUCACUUACCCGCUAAAGAUCCUUUGUGAGACAUUUCCGCAAGAAAAAGAAAUGAAGACAUGCACCAGAGAAGGCAUUGUUGUUAAUGCUAGAAGCUACGGUCUCUGUGUAUUUGCACCUACAUGAUCUUCACUAAGGUCGAGCUAACUGACCAAAAACAAGCGCGUUGUGGGAGGCAACCCAUGCGAAUAAAGUAGAAAAGUAAGUUUUUUUUGUUUCGGUAAAAAGAGUGUUGAAGUUCUAGUUAAAGAAGUUGAGUUUGGAAGAGUUGUUCUAAUGAAGACUUUGUCAUGUGCAAAUUAAUUAUGUGUUGUAUUAACGUUUAAAUGCCCGAAUAUAUGCUUAUUUAUUGUGUUGGAACUAACCCCAUAAGAAUAUAAAGAAAACAAUGAGUUUCAAAAGAAAUAACACAAAAUGGCCUAUCAUGCGACCAACAAGGUCGUAUGGGUGGUUGUAUGAUUUCCUGAUGGUUCCAGCAGAAAAUAGCAAAGCAAUAGAGCAGACGACAGUGUUUCAUACGUGCGCCACCGCUCACAUGGCCGGUCGCAUGAACUCUUUGAAGAAACGGAGAAGAAGUCCAUAGCAUUUGACGACGUUUCAUACUAGCGCCACUUCUCGUAUACGCGAUCGUAUGACGCCCUUGACUAGGAAAGAAAAAAGAACAGAACAUUUGACGGCGUUCCAUACAGACACUACGAGUCGCUUGAGCAGUCGCAUGAGGUAUGAACAGACACGAAUGAGCUAUCAGAAUGAACAAUGGCCUUCCAUACAGGCGCUCCAGUUGUAUGGACCUCUAGCAGCCACAAAUCACCCGAGGAAGAAGGUAUUUUGCCCCAUCUCUUUCAUUUCUUCUUAUUAUUCCACCUAACCUCUCCAAACCCUAGCACACCUUCGCAUGAUCUCCCUACUCAUCUGAUUAAGGUUCCAAUCCUUCUGUGUGAUCGAUCUAUGGUACGUUUAUCCUCCGAUCCCAAAAUUAUUUUUCAUGAAUCCAUGUUCUACAUGCGUAGCAUUGCCAUGUCUAGGAAAUGCAUACUUUUAUCCAAAUUUGAGUUUGGCUUGGAUUCAUUGAUGUUUUUAGGGGACUAUGAUGUUGUGACUACCAUAGGAUCAAUAUUGUUUCAUUGUAUUGGACUGAUAUUUAUUUUGUAUAUGUUUAUGAGGAAGUCCACUCGUGUUCGCAGUGCACCGAGUUCAUCCACGAACACCGCACAACAACAACAAGUUUUCACUCAGGGGGUCGUCUUCACCGACCGUGAAGCAAGGAAGAAAUACUAGAAGCUUCAUACAGGGAAGGUCAAAGAAACCAAAUGGGCAUGUGAGUCUACACUCGCCAAGCUAGGUAUUACUAAUGAUUUCGAUUUGAUUUUGAUAAUUCCGGGUUGCAUCAUUUUUUUUAUCAGAGAUGUGAGACAUAUGAACGCAUUACGCUUGCAUUUCUUAGUACUCUCUCACAUAAUGUUGGGAUUAUGCCAAAUGCAUAUGAGGAGGAGGGAUCACUUUCCAUCUAUUGGACCAGGACUUCAACAUCUCUCUCGAUGAGUGGUGUGGUCACUUUCGCUUCCCCAACAACCAUCAUGACAUCUGCUAUGUUUAUGAGUUCACUAACCCGCACUCGAGGCAAUCCUCUAUCAGAUGAGUUGCCAUGGCUCUAGGAAAAGACCUAGUUGCAUUGAAAGUCCUGCUAUACGUUAUUUCUAUUAUGUUAUCACUAACUCGUUGCAGGCAUGAGGAGAAGUGUCUAAGGUAAAUGACAAGAAUAUGCUAAUUCUUGGGAAAGCAGCAAACCUUGACGUCGGUUAUUCGCCCAACCUAGGGGCAAUAGGUUUGCUACACCUCGCACACCAAGCAAAUCAUGCACAAGGAGAUAUCAAGUGUGGAGCAAUGAUCACCAUGUUGGCAAACUCCUUUGGCCUCAACUACAAUCACCUUCGCCCCAUUUGAUGAGCACAUGGGAACAUCAUAAAUGACAUUUCAGAAAAGUGCAGAAUUUAGUUGGAAGGAAUUACUAAGCCGAAUCAAACAAAUAAGUGACUAGGUGAACCCUAACUUAAGUUUACCUUGUAACCUUGAUGACACAACUAUGCUUUCAUCCCCAUUGUUGUUGGUUGAACUUAGGUAUCACAUGGAAGAAAUCCAACAAACUAUGAGCUCUUGAAGCAACCGGUUUGGUGGAACAAGUUUGAAGAAAACAAGUUUCAAGUGAAGCUGAUGCUGUCAGAUUUUACCUCUGAUUUUUCGUUGUGUCACACCCAUGUGGUGGAGAUACGGGGCCAUAGGGGUACAUCACCAUAAGCUCCAUCAAAUUAUAUUUCCAAUGCAAAAAACCUCACGUCAUUUGGAGUUGUUAGUCAAAACUUCUAGCCAAUCUCGUGGAAUGUGUCCAGGCUGUCAAGACUUCGCGAAUUUCCGAAGAGCUCUCCAACAACUCCCUAAGUUGACUGCUUAUUCCCACAAGAAAGUCAUGCAAACCUAAUUACUUUUGAACCCAUUUUUACACCUAGCUAAGGGGGUUGUCCCUGUUAUAAAACCCCAUCUCCCCCAUCAUCUAGAGAACCUUUUGUCAAAAUCAUUCAGCUACAAGCUUUUGCAGCAAGACUGCUAGAGAGAUCCAAGAGACCUUGCUACCUUUGCUCUUGUGAAUUCAUUCAGAUUCGCGAGAAGGAGCCUCUGGUUCCCCCUAGUUUGUGCUCUACGGUUCCGGCCGUUUUGUGUGGAUUAGUCCCGGAUUGUGGUUUUGCGAUUGUUUGCACAGUGGGUUGGAGUUCUUGUAGCUUCGGUCAGCCAUCCCCAAUGUACAGGUUGCAUCCAACCUUGGUAUGUAUAAAUCUAGUUAUCCCCGGCUGCUUGCAGCUAGUUAUCCCUCCCGAAUCGAUCCUACAACGUGAAGAUCGGGCCACCCUUGGGCGUGAACUUGUUCAUCGGGUUCUCACCUAUCAUCUGGCAUCAGAACUUUCGUUGACACGGUAGGAUCUGUUAUCAAAGUUUAUCUUGCUAUCAUCCCUUUAGAUAUUUUUUGAUGCUGUAUUUUCUAUGCUAGAAGUCCAAAGCCCCACUGUCGGUGUCAAAACCGGCGGAUCUCGGGUAGGGGGUCUCGAACUGUGCGUCUAAGGCUAAUGGUAACAGGAGGCGGGGGACACGAUGUUUACCCAGGUUCGGGCCCUCUCUAUGGAGGUAAUACCCUACUUCCUGCUUCAUUGAUCUUGAUUAUAUGAAUAUUACAAGAGUGGAUCUACCACGAGAUCGUAGAGGCUAACCCUAGAAGUCAGCCUAUGAUUAUGAUUGUUCUUCUUGUCCUACGGACUAAACCCUCCGGUUUAUAUAGACACCGGAGGGGGUUAGGGUUACAUCAGUCGGUUACAGAGAAGGGAAUCUACAUAUCCAAAUCGCCAAGAUUGUCUUCCACGCAAAGGAGAGUCCCACCUAGACACGGGACAAAGUCUUCUAUCUUGUAUCUUCAUAGCCCAACAGUCCGGCCAAUGUAUAUAGUCUGGAUGUCCGAGGACCCCAUAAUCCAGGACUCCCUCAGUAGCCCCCGAACCAGGCUUCAAUGACAAUGAGUCCGGUGCGCAGAUUGUCUUCGGCAUUGCAAGACGGGUUCCUUCUCCGAACUCUCCAAAGUAGUAAAGUGCAGUGUCCGGCUUCCCAUUUAAUGCCAUGUUCCUCGGCUUCUGUACUCCAAUAAUUCUAGCUUCCAUGUGUCGAGCGAAUGCGAGAAGUCGGGGCAUUUUUACACUUGCCACCCUAACCAUGUAAGUAAAUUGUAUAUUUAAAGAAAUGGGGAUCUUCAGAUCCAAUCCACACCAUAUUCCCCAAGUGAGGAACCAUCAGAGCGCACCCGCAAAAACCAUUCCAACAUGACCAGCGUUCGCAGUUCCUCCUCCUGCCCUUGCAGCGUCAAGUCGGGCGAUUGGGAGAAGUGUACCAUAUCCCACGGUCAAUUGGUGAAGUUGCAGACUUAGGGGUUUCUCCCUCCUACAUAUCUAGUCCAUGUCUGAGCCGGAUUGACUUGUUUCGUCGGCGGGGAGCAAGCGGAGAAUUUUCCCAAUCCAUCCAUGGGGGAUCGAGUGUGUCUUGUCUCUUACUUGCUGAGGGGUGUCAGAUUUCCAAUCCAUCCAUUCCUCUGCGGGCUCUUGGAGUACUAUGGCCUCCAGCUGCACAACUUUAGCCCUACCUCCAUCCUGCACAUCGCAGGUUACAUUUCUCUUUGCGAGUUAUUUCUGGGAUGUGAAGCCCAUUUUGAGCUAUGGAAGAAGUUGUCCUGCCUCGUCCCUCGCAAUCAAGAGGGAUCAAUAUUCCAAGUGGGCGGAGCCGAGAUAUGGCGCAUCGCCGGGACCGGAUACCUAUCCGGCAUACCAAAGAAGGCAUCCGAAUAAUGGCCUUCCGAGUGGUUUUAUAUAGAGGACGUCUCCCUUCCUGACCAAAUCCGAAUGGGUCUUCCUGAGUUUACAAACGCUCCAUUAAAGAAACGCCUCAACUGGCGUCCCCGGAGCCUCAGGGAGGAAGAUAGCAGGGAGGUCCUUCAAUUGAUGAUCAAUAUAAAAAUGCUUGCUCAAUCCGGAUUAACAAUAAUUGAGGUUAUGGCAAUAUGCAUAAUGCGGUGGGUACAGCCACUCCAGUGCCGAGGGUGUCCCAUGUGUCACUUCAACAGAGAAGACGACGCCACCCACUGCGGUCGGAAAGGUCCGGACUCCACCAUCGCUCUAGUGAAAAUAUUGUCCGAUUUAUACAAAGGAGAAAAAGAGGAGUUCAUCCGCAUUAAGCCACGGGACAGAUUUUCCAUGUACAACCCUCCCAGCUGGGGAGCUGCUAUCCAUGACUCAACUCUAUUUAUUCCCCGAGUCCUUUUUAAUCCGUCCAUCCAUAACAGGAAUGGCGGAAAAUUACCAGGGAGAUCCACAGCCAGAGGAUCACAACCGGGCCCUUGACCCAGGAUUCGAAGAGGAUCCGGACAUAUUCGUGGAGCUUGGGGAAGGGGUGUUUUACAAGGCAAGCUAUGACAGCACCGAAGUGGCCAUCAUCGCCGACUAUCCCGGCCUCCUCCCUGUAUCACAUGUAAGUAAACAGGAGACUUAUCUUCCAAAAAGGAUUCAAUCUUUCUGCCUUACCCACCGCACAAUUCUUAUGCUUUCAAGGGGAGGCGAUCGGUGCGCCAUGCCGAACCCGAGGUGACUCACGAACAAGGGGCGCCCAAGACGGGUAGGCUUCCAAAAAGGAAGUCGAACAGAAACACGGCCGAGCCGUCAUCAAAGAGGUAUGGUUUUAAACAUGCUCCGUGGUUGUCAUCUUAAAGUAUGACACUAUCCGUUCUGUCUUGCCAGAAAGAACAUCCGCCGGACUAUGUCCGGGGAUCCUACCCGUCAUGCCUCUACAAGCCGGAUUCCGGAACCGGUCUCGAGGGCGGAGGCUAACACGGAGGCGAUACCAGACAGUCCUCAUAUAGAGGAUUAGGAUAGAAUAUCCGCUGCAAAUUCUGAAGUGGAGAGCGCCAUGAAUCAUCGGUGUCGGCGUGCCGCACUCCGCGACCCUGGUUUUUCCUAAGAGGCUUUCAAUGCCUUCAACUCGGGUGAUGCAUAUAUUCGAGCUGCUCGAGAUGGGCUUGCUAGAGCCAUAGACCAGUAUUUGAAAGAUAUACGGGUAAGUAAAAUCUGAUGAUUAUGUAUAUCAGUAGCCCCUGAGACUUAAAACAAUUGGAACAACUAAUUUAAGGAUCAUUGUAUGAAUAGGUUCUCACAGAGAAGAAUAACCUAUUGUCUCAAGAGCUGGAGAAGUGUCAAACCCAGCUAAGGGCCGCAAAUGCCGAGCUAGGGGAAUCCAAGAAGGCCUCGCCUGGUAAUGUUUCUCUCUAUUGACAAAAAAACGUAAUCACGUGUACCAGCAGUAUUGACACGUUUUAGAUCUGAUAACAGAUUCCGCAGAUAAUCCCGGAGUGAAUCCGGAGAUCCUACAAGAGGAUGAACAAAGAGCUCAAAGACAACUAAAUGCUGGAGAGCGUAUACUUACACGGGUCAGGCAGGAGAAAACAAUCUCCAAGAUGCCAAUACCCGGCUGGGCGUAGAAUUGAAAGAUGUUCGAGCCCAACUAGCUGACUCCGUGAAGGAAAAUGAAAGGCUUCAACGCGGCAUUUUUAGUAUGUGCUCAAACGAACCUUUAUAUAGUUUAGAGAAGAAACGGACUAACAAAGUUAUGUCUGUAGGUAUGCUGACUGGCCGUCCCGAAGAAGAGAUGCCCGGAUCCUCAGGUGAUCUACUACAAGAGCUUUCGCAACUGCACGAGCAAGUUCGGCAGGCGAUGCGGAGUGUGGCCAAGGCCUUGUGGCCAUCCGCAUCCCUACCAGGAAGUAUGGAGGAGCAUGUAUGGCUAUUCAAGGGAGCGCAGCAGCGGUUCCGACUAUGGAAGAUAUCAGCUUGUCGAGAAGGUGCGAGGGAGGCUUGGGCCAUGUGAAAACACGGUACACCAAGCUCGAUCCAAAUCAUAUGACCCAGGUCAGACCUAUAGGGUCAGAUGGGAAAGAAAUUCCAGUUAGUCUGGUAUAUGACCAGGUAGAAUUAGCGGCCAAGUAUUCCCAACAGGAUUGUAAGCUAGACAACCUGUUGGAUGGCAUAGAAGAGGAAGUUUUUAAGUCAAAAUGACUAUGUACUUCAAAGGACAAGUUUGUCCCUAGCCGGAUUGUAAAUCAUUUGUCAUGGUGGACCUUUUUGCUUCGGCCUCCGGACCUGACAGUCCAGAGUGUUUCCGAAUACCCGCUCAGUAAUGUAAAACCGGGGUACGCGUGGAAACCAGGCGUAGGGUUCAUAGUUGCUUGAACAGACAAGUAUCCAACUAGCUAUGUUAUAGUACAUCGAUAGUAAGAAACAUCUUCCAGAGAGAAUAGUUCCGUUAAGGGUUCCUUUCGCUGGGUGUGCAUGCAUUAACGUGCAUGUCUAAUCUGUGAUUAAAAAAUCGCAGUAUAUUUGAUAUUUAGGGGUUCAUAGUGUUAUAAAUAAGACACGUCUUUAGUCCACCGACCGAAUAUUCCCUUAAGAACGCUAGCUUUCGGCUUCACCCAGACUGAGGUACACAUCUGGAGUACCCGGCAGUAACAAUCGCCGAACUAACGGGGACGUAGGGCAUAAGCACAUGAGCCAGGCAACCCAGCUUGGCCAAAACUUAAGUCAUAUUGAUGCAUAUAAUGGCAGAGAAAAGGCACAUAUGAAAAAAAAGGACACAUAUGGGAUGAGUUUUAUGCUCGAAAAGUUAUUGCAAUAAGCUUCUGUAUAAGAAGCCCCCAGGUAUAAUGAUCGCACGUACUUGAAGAUUAGUGCGUUGCGAGUGUGUGGUCCAGCCACACUAAAGCUUUAAAGCUACGAAAGAAAGAGCAAAAGGAGAUCUAAAAAUAAAUAGAAAAGAACGAAGGGAAGGAGACGAACAAAGAGUUCGGCGCUAGGUGUAGAAUCUUCGGAGUCUGGCCGCGUUCCAUGGGUUCGGCUCGAGUCGAUUAUCUGAUGCAUCACGCAGACGAUACGCUCCUCCGGUGAGAACUUUGUCAAUAAUGAAGGGACCCUCCCACUUGGGCUUGAGCUUGUCCUUUUUCUUCUCCAAUAGACGUAGAACGAGUUCGCCAAUAUUAUAAGUUUUGGCUCGUACUUCUCUGCUUUGAUACAUGCGAGCCUGUUGUUGAUAAAAUGUAGAACGGGCUUUUGCGAUGUCGCGCUCCUCCUCCAGGGCAUCUAAACUGUCUUGUUGAUCAAGAUCGGCUUCUCUUUCUUCAUACAUGCGCACUCGAGGUGAGUCAUGAAUAAUAUCGCAGGGCAAUACAGCCUCUGCGCCGUACACAUGAAGAAGGGUGUAUAUCCGGUAGUGCGAUUCAGCGUGGUCCGUAGCCCCCAGAGUACGGAGUCAAGCUCCUCGACCCAGUGCGUGUCUCAUUCUUUUAGGGAUCGCACUAGUCUAGGUUUAAUGCCGCUCAUAAUAAGACCGUUGGCUCGUUCGACUUGACCGUUUGUUUGAGGGUGAUAGAAGGAGGCAUAAUCGAGCUUAAUGCUCAUGUUGCCGCACCAAGUUUUUACCUCAUCGGCUGUGAAAUUGGAGCCAUUAUCAGUGAUGAUGCUAUGGGAGACACCAUAACGGUGCACAACAUCCGAUAUGAAGUCUAUCACUGGUCCGGAUUCGGCCGUUUUAACUGGUUUGGCCUCUAUCCAUUUGGUGAAUUUAUCUACCAUGACCAACAGGUAUUUUUUUCUUAUGGCUUCCUCCUUUAAGGGUUCCGACCAUCUCGAGCCCCCAGACCGCAAAAGUCCAAGUUAUGGGGAUUGUUUGGAGAGUGGUGGGCGGCAUAUGGCUUUGGUUGGCGAAAAGCUGGCAUCCGAUGCAAUGUUGGACAAGGUCAUGUGCGUCUGCUCGGGUCGUCGGCCAGUAGAAACCUGUACGGAAGGCCUUGCUCACAAGGGCCCGAGCUACGGCAUGGUGACCGCCGAGUCCGGCGUGAAUUUAAACCAAGAGUUUCCGCCCCUCCUCCUCGGAGAUACAUCUUUGAAGUACUCCGGUAGCACUUUUCUUAUAAAGCUCUCCCUCAUGGACUUUGUAGGCUUUAGAGCGCUGCACUAUGCAGCGUGCCUCGUUUUGAUCCUCGGGGAGUUCUUGCCUAUUAAGGUGAUCAAGAAGGGUUCAAUCCAUGGGGUGAUAACGGCCAUGAUGAGAUGGGCCGAAGGUGUUAUUUCGGUGGCGGAGCCUCCGAUUAUAUCAGUGUGUUCGGAAUCUGGGGUUCUGGUCGGAUCCAGACUGGUGUUGCCGGUCUCCUCUUGCCACACCACGGAUGGCUUGAAAAGCCUUUCCAGAAAGAUGUUAGGUGGUACGGGGUCGCGUUUAGCACCGAUGCAGGCAAGAACAUCCGCCGCUUGAUUAUUUUCUCGAACCACAUGAUGGAAUUCAAGCCCCUCGAAUUGAGCUGACAUUUUAAGGACAGCGUUUCGAUAAGCCACCAUUUUUGGAUCCUUGGCAUCGAAGUCUCCAUUUAUUUGAGAUAUUGCGAGGUUUGAAUCCCCACGCACUUCCAGGCGCUGGAUGCCCAUGGAGACAGCCAUCCGAAGACCAUGCAACAGAGCCUCGUAUUCGGCUGCAUUAUUGGAGUCUGUAUAUAAUAUUUGGAGUACGUAUUGGACUGUAUCUCCAGUGGGGGAUUUAGGACAACACCUGCUCCUAGACCUGCCGGCAUUUUAGAGCAGUCGAAGUGCAUGAUCCAACUGGAGUAUGCGCCGUACUCUUUAGGGAGUUUGGCCUCUGUCCAUUCGGCGAUAAAGUCAGCCAGUACUUGCGAUUUAAUGGCCUGCCGUGGUUUGUAUGUAAUGUCAAAGGGAGGAGCUCGAUAGCCCACUUAGCAAUCCAGCCCGUUGCAUCGCGGUUGUUUAUUAUGUCAUGGAGUGGUACUUUGGAGGCCACCAUGAUUGAACACUCUUGAAAGUAGUGUCGUAGUUUUCGGGAUGCCAUGAAGACCGCGUAUGCUAUUUUUUGAUACUGGGGGUACCGAGAUUUGCAUGGUGUGAGGACAGUGGAUACGUAGUAUACUGACUUUUGAAGCGGGAACCUGUGUCCGUCCUCCUCUCGUUCGACGACGAACACCGCACUCACAACUUGGUGCGUUGCAGCUAUGUAUAACAACAUGGGUUCGCCAACGUUUGGUGCGGCCAGGAUUGGGUUGCUUGCUAAAAGAACCUUUAUUUCUUCCAGUCCGGCCGUCGCCGCGUCCGUCCACUCGAAGUGUUCGGUUCGUCGAAGAAGGCGAUAAAGUGGUAAUGCCUUUUCUCCCAAUCUGGAGGUAAAGCAGCUUAAAGCAGCCACGCAUCCAGUUAGUUUCUGGAUUAGUUUGAGAUCUGUUGGGGUAGCCAACUGUGACAAAGCUCGGAUUUUAGCUGGGUUUGCUUCAAUUCCUCGAUUGGAAAUGAUGAAGCCCAGCAGCUUUCCGACAGGAACGCCGAAAACACAUUUUUCCGGAUUAAGAUUGAUGUCAUAUGUUCGGAGGUUGUCGAAUGUGAGCCUCAGAUCGUCUAUUAAAGAUUCUACAUGUCUGGUCUUGAUGACCACGUCGUCCAUGUAUCCUUCAACUGUUUUGCCGAUUUGUUUCUCCAGGCAUGUUUGAAUCAUGCAUUGGUAGGUCGCACUGGCGUUUUUGAGCCUGAAAGGCAUAGUGUUGAAGCAGAAAGGCCCAUAUGGGGUAAUAAAUGUUGUUGCGGCUUGAUCGAACUCCGUCAUCUUGAUUUGAUGGUAUCCGAAGUAUGCGUCGAGGAAACACAAUGAUUCAUGCCCUGCGGUAGCAUCGAUAAUCUGAUCAAUGUGGGGGAGAGGGAAGGGAUCCUUGGGCAAGCCUUGUUGAGGUCCUUAAAAUCGACACAUAGGUGCCAGGAUUUAUCCUUCUUUGGUACCAUCACCGGGUUUGCUAGGCAAUCCGGGUGUUUUAUUUCUCUGAUGAAUCCGGCUUCAAGUAGCUUGGCUAACUCCUCUCCCAUAGCCUGUCGUUUGGGUUCUGAAAAGCGUCGUAGUGUCUACUUGACCGGCUUAUAUCCCUUCAAUAUGUUGAGGCUAUGCUCGGCCAGCCUGUGUGGGAUCCCUGGCAUGUCUGAAGGGUGCCAGGCGAAGAUAUCCCAAUUCUCACGUAAAAACGCCCGUAGUGUGACGUUGAUUGUGUGGUCCAGUUGUGCCCCGAUGGAUGCUGUUUUUGUGGAGUCCGUUGUGUGGACUUGGAAUUUGACUAUUCCGUCCGCUGGUUUGAAGGAGGUGGACUUGGAUCACUUAUCGAGUAUCACGUCGUCCCUAUCCACUGUGGAGCGUAAUGCAGUUAAUUCUUUGGCCGCGAGGGCUUCGGAUAAUGCCUCUAGGGCCAGGGCGGCGGUUUUAUUUUUGGCAUGGAGUGCUAUGUCCGGAUCACUGGCAAGAGUGAUGAUUCCAUUGGGCCCAGGCAUCUUGAGCUUCAUGUACCCAUAGUGGGGUAUAGCUUGGAAGCUCGCGAAUGUGUCCCGCCCAAACAAGGCGUGGUAUCCGCUAUUGAAGGGGGCCACUUGGAAUGUUAUCUCUUCGGACCUGUAAUUAUCCGGCGUGCCGAAUACCACAUCGAGUUUGAUUUUUCCCGCACAUCAUGCCUCUCGACUGGGAAUAAUUCCUCGGAAGGUCGUGGUGCUUUGCUCAAUGCGGCUCCUGUCUAUUUCCAUUUUGUUGAGAGUUUCCUCGUAAAUGAGGUUUAGUCCGCUGCCGCCGUCCAUGAGCACUUUGGUGAGCCCGAAGCCGUCCACAAUUGGACUGAGGACCAAAGCGGCUGGUUCCCAGACUGUUUUGAAUUGAGGUUCGUUGCUGGCAUUGAAAGUUAUAGCUGUGUCGUUCCAGGGGUUUAUUGCUGCAAUGUGGCAGACUUCGGCGAGGCUGUGGAGUGCUCUCUUGUGCUUGUUAUUCGAGGCGAAAGUCUCGAAGACUUUCAAUACUGUAGUACUGUUGUUUUCCAUGGGAUGAUGCUCUGCGGUGUUGUUGAUGAGGAGAUCACCGCCGCUCUUGGCCACCUGCCGAAGUAUCCAACAUGCUCUAAGGUUGUGUGUUGGUAUAGUAUCCGGUGUGGUGUGUAUUUUGCAUGGCCUAUCGAGACAUCCCUCCCACACAGUUCCGCGCCCUGUAGUGGGCUUCGGUUUCUUUGUGAUUGGAUCGGGUGACCUGCGAGGGUGCACCCUUUUUGUUCGGAUGAGGGGUUUAGUGAGAGCCAGUGGAUCCCAAAAGGUUGUCUGAGUUUUCCAAGUGCUUUCCAUCGCGCAAUACUUCUGUACUAUCGCUGCCAAGUCAGCAAAGUGCGAUAUGUGACAGCGAUUUAUGGCGUUAAGGAUUCCCUUGUCCGUGCAAUUUUUGCAAAAUGAUGAGAUUGUGUCUUCAUCACGACAGUCCUUAACCUUGUUCAUUACAAGGAGGAAUCUGGCCCAAAAGUGAUGUACUGUCUCUUGGGAUUGUUGUCUGAUGUGGGAAAGAUCGCUUGUAUCUAGGUGGGUGGGUGGAUUUAAGUCUGAACCCUAACCCAAUCUGGUACCCAGAGCUUGAGGAGCUUCCGAGCUUAAUAGUUCGAGUUCCGGGAUGUUAACCAAUUUUUCUGGCCCACAGUCCGAUUCUAAGUUCAGAGUUCAAGGCAUGUCCUCCCGCGAGCGGGUAUCCGGCUCAGUGAGCUCGGUAAUCCGGACAUAGUUCAUCCUCAAUAUAGUGGAAGAGUUGUUGCAUUGCUCCUCCACCACCGCUAUCUGAUGGGUGAUCGGCGGAGAGUUAAUGUCCCCUUGAUCGGGUUUAAGCCCAAUCCGAUCGUUGUCUGUAGUGACUCCCAAGGCGGCGAUACGAUCCAGGAGCUCGUUCAAGGGCGAUUACUCCGUCGGAUCCAUCUGCUCGACGUAUUCUGUGCUGACGUGGAGACGAUUUUCGAUGACCCGAGAAGUCAUCAUCGGCCCGACGGCCGAACGAGCGGUCAUAACGAAGCUGCCCAGCCGGAGGGUUUGGCUUGAGGCCAGGGCUCCCCCGGAGGUGACGUUGUCCUCGAUAACAAGGCGAGCCAUCAACCCUAUCUUCGACAUCACAAUAGAACUCUCAAUGAAAGCACCAAUGUCAGUGUCAAAACUGGCGGAUCUCGGGUAGGGGGUCCCGAACUGUGCGUCUAAGGCUAAUGGUAACAGGAGGCGGGGGACACGAUGUUUACCCAGGUUCGGGCCCUCUCUAUGGAGGUAAUACCCUACUUCCUGCUUGAUUGAUCUUGAUGAUAUGAGUAUUACAAGAGUGGAUCUACCACGAGAUCGUAGAGGCUAACCCUAGAAGCCAGCCUAUGAUUAUGAUUGUUCUUCUUGUCCUACGGACUAAACCUUCCGGUUUAUAUAGACACCGGAGGGGUUAGGGUUACAUCAGGUCGGUUACAGAGAAGGGAAUCUACAUAUCCGAAUCGCCAAGCCUGCCUUCCACGCAAAGGAGAGUCCCACCCGAAUACGGGACGAAGUCUUCUAUCUUGUAUCUUCAUAGCCCAACAGUCCGGCUAAUGUAUAUAGUCUGGCUGUCCGAGGACUCCAUAAUCCAAGACUACCUCACCCACCAAAAAUAAAUCCAAGCCUUUUUGGUGCCGAGAUCUUGUUGUUGCAUACCUUGCAUGUUCUUCAUCUUUUAGAUCUGCACCAAGUUCAUCUUCAUAAUUGCUUUCAGUUUUGGUUGUUGUGCUUUGGAAAAAGAGAGAGAAAAAGAGUGGCAAAAAAUCAAAGAAAGAAAAAAGGAGUGGCGAAAAAAAGUCAAGAUAGAAAAAGAAAGUGUUGUGUAAGAUCCAAAAGUUACAGCUUGGUAGAAAAAUUUCAGAAGCUUGUGUGUUGUGUGCUUUCACUCUUGGUGCAAAAGUGCAGCAGAUCUAUCCCCAUAUUUUCUUGGUUUGCAUCAACUUGAUUUCAGGAGAAGCCCCUUUUUGUUUAACCCACCGAGCUCCACCAAAAACCGAAGCUUGUUCUUUGAUCCCUGUCCUUCAAUCGCUUUAACACAUCCGGGAGAAGCACAAUCUGAUAUGAACUCAUAAGAACUUUGGUGAGUAAGAGGUGAGGUUGUGUGAUCCCACAAAAUUAUCCUAUUCCACUUUUGGCCUUACUAACAUGGUAGGAUCUAGAUCGAGUGUUCAUGGAGAAAACCAUGGGGAAGAAGAUGCCCCAUUCACACGUGCUGAGUUUCUGGAAUUACUGAACAUGGUUCGAGAAUUUCAUAGGAGGCUUAAUGAGCGUCUUCAAGCAGGUGGUGAUGGGGUUCGACAUCAACAUACCCUGUUGCUCAUGAAGUGCAACAAAGAAGACAUGCUCGAGAGUAUGGUGUUGCUACUCGUGGGCGUGUCUCUAGUACUCAUGAAGUGCAACAAAGAAGACAUGCUCGAGGGCUUGAUGUUGCCGCUUGUGGGCAUGUCACUGCUCCUCAAGAAGUGCGGCAAGGAGGACAUGCUCGAGGGCAUGGUGUUUAUUCUCAUGGGUGUGACAAUGCUGCUCCUAAAGUGCAACAAGGAUGUCAUGCUCGAGGGAGAAGUUGUGGCACCCAUCGGUACAACAACAACCCACCGCAAUGCAUGGUUGUGGUUGAUGGAACGGCUCCGGUGAUUCAGAUCCCAUGUUCACCUAAGAGGCUCACUCCUAAUGUUGGCAUCUCCAUCACCACUACUGUCCCAACAUCCAAGAAACAUGUCCCACAAAUUCCAUGUGAGGAAGAGAGUCCACAAUCCAAAAUCCCACAACAUGAGAGUGAUAAGAAAAGCAAGCUAAGUGACUCCACCAAAAGUGAGGAAGGGUGUCUACUUUCAAAAAUCCCACCACUUGAGAGUGAAAAGAAAAUUGAGUUGAGUGACCCCACCAAAAGUGAGGAAGAGUGUCCACUUUCAAAUAUCCCACAACUUGAGAAUGAAAAGAAGAAUGAGUUGAGUGACUCCACCAAAUGUGAGGAAGAUUUUUCACUUUCCACAAUUCCAUAUAUUGAGAGUAAGAAAAGUGAGGUGAGUGAGUCCACAAAAUGUGAGUAUCAGAUUGUUCAUCAUGAGAUUAGAGAAAUGAAAGAUCUCCACCUAGAUAUACCACACAUUGAGGGAGAGAAGAUAAAUGAGUUGUGUGAGUCCACAAAAUGUGAGAUUGAGACCAUUCCACACCUCAUUAGAGAGAUAAGUGAUCCAUGACCCAAUAUACCACACAAUAAGAGUGAGAGGAUAAGUGAGUUAUAUGAGUCCACUAAAUGUGAGGUUGAGAUUUUUCAACAAAAGAAUAGCGAGAUGAGUGAUCCACCGCCAUGUGAAAUUCCACCAAAUGAAAAGAGAGAGGAACAUUCAAUGACUAACCUUUCACAAAAUUCUCUUUCUUUGCAAUAUGUGCAGGUGCUAAAGGCAUAUCUAUCAUCUCUCUUGCAACGAUGGGAGGUUGAGAUCCAAGAACAAAUAUGGAGGACAUGCAGUACCACUACACAAGGUGCAUGUGUGAAGAUUGAUUUUCAGAAAGGCAUUCAAGUAAUCAAUGAGGUAAAACAAAAAGGAUUUUCCAUUUUGAUGAAGCCAGAGGUAUGCACUUAUGAGUUUUUUAAGCAAUGACGUGAAGAUUAGAGAAAUAUUGCUUGGUACAUCAUCCAUCCAGCAAUAUGAUUUUCCUAAUUUUGAAGAGGCAAUAAAAGAUCCAAUAAAGUUGAACGUUGCACAUGCUUAUUCAUCAUUUUCUUUCCCUAGUUAUUUUGUAUUGUCCUCGUGCUAUAAUUUUGCAGACCAAAUGAAGUUGAGGACAACUUUUCUCCUAGAGAGGAAGGCUGAUAAGAACAUGAUGAUGAUGGGUUACAAAUUUUCACUCCAUGGAAACGUUUGCUGGAAGGAACUCCUAAGUCGAACAAAGCAUCAUAUUGGCGUUGUCCAUAAGAUAGCAAAGUUGAAAAUUAAAAUUCUCUAUAUCAUGAAACAUUUGCAUUAUGAUUUGGUAUUGUCCUACUUUUUUUGUGUUAUGACCAGGUAGAGUCGAGGACGACUCCUUUUCAAGACAGGGGGGAUGAUGAGGACAUCUCAGUCAUUGAAACAACACCAAUCAUCCCUGGACAAACUCCAAGUUGUGACAAACAAAUAAAUGAUCAGAUGCAACCCAAUUCGAAGGUGAAAGCUACAAAUGAGGAUUGCAUUAUUCCUUUACAUGGAUAUGAUCUACUUCCCUUCUACUUAUCUUUUGUAGAUCAAAGAGAGUCGGGACAACUCUUCAUCAAGGGAGGAAGGAUGAUGAGCACAUGGGAACAUCAUACAUGACAUUUCAGAAAAGUGUAGAAUUUAGUUGGAAGGAAUUACUAAGCCGAAUCAACCAAAUAAGUGACCAGGUGAAUGCUAACUUAAGUUUACCUUGUAACCUUGAUGACACAACUAUGCUUUCAUCCCCAUUGUUGUUGGUUGAACUUAGGUAUCACAUGGAAGAAAUCCAACAACCUAUGAGCUCUUGAAGCAACCGGUUUGGAGGAACAAGUUUGAAGAAAACAAGUUUCAAGUGAAGCUGAUGCUGUCAGAUUUUAUUUCUGAUUUUUCGUUGUGUCACACCUAUGUGGUGAAGAGACGGGGCCAUAGGGGUACAUCGCUAGAAGCUCCAUCAAAUUAUCUUUCCAAUGCAAAAAACCUCACAUCAUUUGGAGUUGUGAGUCAAAACUUCUAGCCAAUCUUGUGGAAUGUGUCCAGGGUGUCAAGACUUCACGAAUUUUCGAGGAGCUCUCCAACAACUCCCAAAGUUGAUUGCUUAUUCCCCCAAGAAAACCAUGCAAACCUGCUUAAUUUUAAAACCAUUUUCACACCUAGCUAAAGGGGUUGUCCCUGCCAUAAAACCCCAUCUCCCCCAUCCUCUAGAGAACCUUUUGUCAAAACCAUUUAGCUACAAGCUUAUGCAGCAAGACUGCUAGAGAGAUCUGAGAGAUUUUGCUACCUUUGCUCUUGUGAGUUCAUUCGGAUUCGCGAGAAGGAGCCUCUGGUUCCCCCUAGUUCGUGCUCUACAGUUCCGGCCGUUUUGUGUGGAUUAGUCCUGGUUUGUGGUUAUGCGAUUGUUCGGACAGUGGGUUGGAGUUCUUGUAGCUUCGGUCAGCCAUCCCCAGCGUAUGGGUUGCAUCCAACCUUGGCAAGUAUAAAGCUAGUUAUCCCCGGCUGCUUGUAGCUAGUUAUCCCUCCCGAUUCGAUCCUACGAUGUGAAGAUCGGGCCACCCUCGGGCGUGAACUCGUUCAUCGGGUUCUCACCUAUCACCAUUGUUGGUAACAACCUUGUUAAUAUUCAGUUCUUACUAGCACUGGAAUGGUUGUAGCCAUGGUCAUCAUUGCAUCAAAAUUCCUGGAGUAGCAUACUUGUUUCCCACUCCUAUGUCUAACUGUUUCUCCAUAGAAAACGGACAACUACGUUAUGUGCCAUAGGAAGGAGAUGCAACUUUUGACCAAGAAGGCCCCGAACCUAAAUAAGUAGAUGAAGAACUCGCCACCAACAAGGAGGAGGAGUAGCCACAAUAAGAAGCCUACACCACCUACACAGACCUCUACAUUUUCCAGGGCUCCAAAUGAUAUGAGGAGCCUCUCCGCGUCCCUUCGAGACAUGUCCGCCUACAUGACUACUAGCUUCUCCAACUAGAGCCAAGGAUGGGCUCCUGACCAACCGCCACAAUGAUCCCGCUGGUUUGGGCUUGCUAAAGCUUAAGCUUGGGGGAUGUCACUACCACGUCUACAUCAAGAUGUGGUAGUAUUAUUUGAAUAAAUUUUAAUAAGGUUGUACUUCAGCUCAUUUAGCUUCGAAACACUCGUGUUGGUUUGUUCCAACACUUUGCUUUUUUAUUUUAUUUUUGCCCCUUGGAGUUUGUUUGCAUUCUUGUCUAUAUUUCAAAGGAGUUGAUAUACACCGGACAAUGAGGAACGCAAGCAUAAGGAAGAGAAGUGUCUAAAUUCAUGACCGUGAAGGUAUGUCCUAGGACUCCCGUCUUUUGCACUUGAAAUACUUAGAGAGUCCUGAUAAUUAAAACAAAGGUUUUGUUAUAGUAGGUGAAAUAAUUUUUGGACUUUGUUCUAUUUAAUCUAGAUGAUCGAUGCACAUGAGAAUAACUAAGAAUAACCAUGCAUAGGAGAAAGCCUUCAAAGACUUGGGUGUUGAGAAAACUUGUAGAGAAGAUGACGUUAUAAAUGCUCAACCCCAUAGUGUUAAUUUUAACAGACUUGAUAACACUACUGUAUUAAAUUGUCUAGAGGAACUUAGUUGAAGGGUGAACAAGGUUAUGCCAAAAAUAUGUGUUUAUCUCUUACAUGGUGCUUCAGCUUCUCACUGGUGCUAUGGCCCUGCUACUAUAUGCACGUGUACGUGUGUAAUUGUGGCUUCGUCACCUUUCUUGAUGUUAUGCUGAGAACUCCGCUAGCGAAUGAACGAUCCACCAGAGUUUCGGCUUGGAUUUCAGCUAUGAGUUUGUUACCGUGCAUAGUGGCAACACUACAAUCAAAUAUUAUUCAGCUUUCUCUUGAAUGUGUGUAUGUGGUAAAUACCAAGAACUGAUCACAAGAGCUCGAAAGAGACAUAUACCAAGAUCCUUAGUUCACAAAAUUAAGCCACAAUGAAAUUCUAUGCAUGAUCAUUUAUUUGGCAUAAUCCCUUCAUGUGACAACCAAAGUUUCAGCAAACAGUUAUUUAAACAAAGUGCUUGAGAGCCUUGAGGAUGAGACAUUUGCGGGUAUGUUUAUGAGCAAUCUAGCAUCAUGUUUAUCUUUACAUACCUUUCACUCCCUAAUUUAUGUUUUGAUGGCUCUAUCUAAAGAAAAACUCUUCUGCGCAUUCCCGGCAAGCAAGUGUUGCCUAGAGGAAAUAGAAUUGAGUGUUGCAAAGUUGUUUUAUCUAGUACAUCAAAAACUUGAGUUGAUUAUAUUUGCUUAACUAACACUUGUAUAAUAACCAUGCCACCUCUACAGCUAUGCUAAGUUUUCAUGUCAAGAAGCAGAGGGCUAUCUAGGCGUACCGAUCGUAAGUGAACCAAAAUCUUCUCGUUAUUUUGGUUUAAACAACUGAGUUCCUUAUGAUUCGGAUUUCUCUCUAUGUUGCUCGAGGACAAUCAAGUUUAAGCUUGGGGGAUUUGAUGAGUGAUAUUUUUACACUCCUCUACACUUUGUUUAAAUUGAGAUAUUUGAAUUAAACCAAGAUAUUUGCUCCGAUAUUGCCAAAAAUGACUAAUGAAUGCAUAGGAUUCCAAAAAUCCUCUCUUUAUUGUGUUUCUAUAGGAAAUGGGCUAAAUAUGGAUGAAACCAAGUGGGAAAAUGGAAAGGAGUGAAGGAUGAGAUAGAAGAAAUCAGGAGGAGGCGCACGUAAAGCCACCGAGCAAAAGACGGUGUUCCAUGCGCCUGCGACCACUCGCAUCAGCGGUCGUAUGGCAUGGAAACCGAGGCCUCUCGUCCACCUGAACAAGUUCUACUAAGGGGUCGAGGCCGAAAUGUCAACGAAACAUCUGCUAGCGAAGCUAGAACAGAGUCAUCCUCAUCCAUCUCCAUCAACCCUAGGCGCCGCUAUUUCCAUCUCCAUAGCCACCAUCACCACCAUACACUAUUAGGGAAAACCUUAUACACAGAACUUUAGCAGUAGCGCGUGUUAAAAAAGCACGCUAGUGCUAAGUAGCAGUAGCGCGUUGGCGUAAACAGCGCUACAGAUAAAUUUGUAGCAGUAGCGCGCCUGAAGAUAAAAGCGCUACUACUAAAAUUCCCAUUGUUUAGCCGAUAGGAUACACAUAAUAGUAGCGAUCUACGGCGAACAGCGCUACCGCUACUUGCUUUGUACCAGCGCGUUUACGCAGAAAGGCGCUACUUCUAAAGGAAAUAAAAUUAAAUGGAAAGCAAAUAGAAAAAGUAAAUGAAAAUGAAAGAAAUAGAAAAAGGAGAAAGGAAAAAAAUAAAAUGUAAAGAAAAAAUGAAAAGGGGGGGAAAGGAGAAAGGAAUAGCAGUAGCGCAUAUCCAGGAACGCGCUAUAGCUAACUUAGCAGCAACGCACUUCCUUGAACGCGCUACCGCUACUUUUGAGUUAACCGCGUGGUUCAUUCUUCCCCACGGCAACUUCCCCCAAAUCCCAACUCCUCCGUUGUCGCCGCCGCCAUCGCCCGUCGGCCGCCGCAUGCUCUCCCAUCGCUCUCGGCACACCCUCGACGCCGCCCCCGACCCCGACCUCGACGCCGCAUGCCCCUCCCUCGCCGCAAGCACCCGAGGUGAGCACGCCUACUCCUCCCCCUCCGCUACCUCUGCCUAGGGUUCUUCAAAUUUUAAUUGCAUCAAAUUAGUUAUGGUUUAUCUUAUGGGUGGAAACGAAUCGGGUGCGGAUCGGAUAGUGCACUUAGCACUUCCGUUUUCAUAUUUACAAAACAAAUAUGAAUGCGAAUACAGAUGUUAUCGGAUACGGAUGCGGAACGGAUGGAUACGAAUAAUAGCGACAUAUUGCUUAAAUGUAUUAGUCAAUAGUUAUGUGACAUGAAGUAUUCAACUUGUGACAUACAAUAAGUCAAUGAUAAAUAGGUUUAUGAAUAAACACUAUUGUAAUGCAUAAUAAUUUCCAAGAUUAAUCAUAAAAUGAGUAAAAUUUGACCACUUGUUUGACUUUUAAGUUGGAUAAUUGGAAUACCCGAUCGAAUACGAAUAUCGGAUAUUUUGGAUUAUCCGCUACCACUUUCGACCCCUAGAUUCAUCAAAUUAGAUGGUAAUUAGGGCAGUAGUUCCUAGGUACUUAUUAGUUAGUAAGAGCUAGGUACUAAUUAGGUACUAGUUUAUUUUUAUUUGUAGUAAGUUUAUUUUUAGCAAGAACUAGUUGAAUUAAUAGAACUAGUUGAACAUGUCACAUUUGUUGUUAUUUUUAGUUAAAGCAAUUAUUCUCGCAUCGACGUCGACGAUGCCUAUACCGCAUCCUCGUCCUCGACUCGGCGGAGGACACCUGCUUGACCAGAUGGGACAUGUUCGGGACUGGGCUCCGUCAGGCUGGUACUGGGAGGCGCUACCUACCGGGGAGCGCAGCUUGGUGAGGAGUCAGCCCAUCGUUGACCCGAACCUUCUUUGGUGGGCCAGUGACGGUCCAGAGGCUUGAGGACCCCACAGAGGUGGUACGUCACCGUGUCAGCGAGGAGGAUGCGCACGUCCGUCGCUACUUGGUUGUGUUGGAGCACAGGUUCUCCGGGGAUUUCACUGGAGCUAUGAUCCUGUGAUGGUUCCUUCUCUUUGGGUGUCCACCGCCCGCGCCGAUACCCGUCGUUUGCUAGGGUUUUAGUUGUAUUAGUGAUGUUAUAUGUAUGAUAUUAUUCGAGAUGUAUUAGUGAUAAUAUUCGACGAUGUACAGAUGCAAGAGAUGAUUUACUUUUGCUUAUUGAAUGCAUGCUAAUUUGAAUACUUAUUUAUUUUACGAUUUUGUUUUGCUUAUUGAAUGCUCAUGUCAAUAUGAGUCCUAUAAGAUAUUUUGAAAUGUAUAUCUUGUGUUGCUCAAAUAGGAUAUGUGCUUGCCCAAGUGGCCGGUCAUGUUUGCAGGUUACACCUUCGAGUGGCCUAUGUUUUGUCGAAGUGUUGAUUCAUUUCCGUUCCGGCAAAUUUCAGACGCUUGAUAUGUCCUAUUUUAGCAAAGGUCAUGCCAGAUUUUUCUGUGAAUUUUGGCAUGACUUGUGCCAGAAUAUGUAGGAAAUAUCGAGUGCCCUGGAUUUGUGUGUUGAGUAUCUUGGUAGUUGCCUUCGAUCGAUUUUCAAUUAAUAUUUCAACUACGAACAUAGGAAAUGUCUGACGAUGAAAAGGAUUCCGUAUUUGUGAAUACUACAAAGACGAGCGCAGCCUGCGUGACAUAAUCUUCAUAGAUGAUGAUAGGCGCUUCAGCAUCAAGCUGGACGAUAACUUCGAAGUGGACACAGUAAGUCACAACGAUAAGUCUUUUUUCAUAAUUAAGCAUGACAUCUGCUUCAUUUGCUUCAACUUAUAAUUUAAAUUUUUUACUAAUCUACUAGUGUAUCCCCUGCCAUUCAAGAGUUUUUGUCUUGGAUAAGAUAGGUUUCAGUCCUAUGAAAAAUAUUAUGGAGGUAAAGAGAGUUUACUUGAAGACCGAGCAUGGUUAUACUUUCGACGCAAAAUUAUACAACGCAGACACCUACACCUAUUUUGAAUGCAAAAGUUGGCCAGCACUAUGCAAGACUUAUGCAUUUGAGCCUGAUAUGGUAUCACCUUUGAUAUUCGUCCGAAAGAUGAUAUUGAAGGUAAUAUCGACAUCUGGGUCGAUGUGCAGAUGCCUCCAGUUAUACCAUUAUGUGAGUUUCUCAACCAUAUUUAUGUCUUCGAUAUUGUUUAUUCAAAAAUAGUUGACAACUAAUUUCUAUUGACAGCUUAUUUCCAUUCAAGAAAACAUGUCCGGCGCUUGGUAGACAUGACCGUACACUGUCCCGGGGCUGAACUAAACUGCGAGGAGAUAGAUCAUUAUGUUUCAUGGCUUGAGGAUCUUCGUACUGUCAAGACAAAUUAUUUUCCUGGACUUAAAAAUCAUAGUACUCAAAACGUGCGACCAAUAGUGUUCGUAUUGAACUACGGUCACAUCUAUUUAGGAAAGAUGGUAAAAAAUUACUAUUUGCCCUUAGUGCAUCUUUUGCAUACAUUAUUUUUUAAGCUAAACUUCAUUGCUAAGUAUGUUACUAUACAUGUUCUUCAACAGGGACUCCCGAUGAAUGUUGUGCCUCAUUGGAUCGAGACUAAAGAUCACAUGAGAAUGGUUAGCUUGCGGCCAAGACAUCCUACAAUGCACUUUAGUGCAUUCAGGAUUUCUAAAAGCAAGGAAUGCUUAAAAGUAAAAGACUGGAGCAAAAUUGUGAACGAUCGCAGAGAAGUACUAGGGGGCAGCAAUCAGAAGCGCAGUCCAUGAUUAGGAGACAGGUUCAUCUGCAUGCUCCAACAUGAUGAAGCAGGAGUGCUACACAUGUUUUAUGCUAUUUUACCCGAGAGAGAGCAGUAGGAGUGAUUAGCUAGCUAGAAAUGAGUUUGAAGCUGAUGAUGUGCUACACUAUGACUAUGAUGAUUAAAUAGCUAGUGUUGGUGGUAAUGACUAUGAUGAUUAUUAUUAGCUAGUGUUGGUGGUGAUUAGAUAGCUAGCACAGCUAGUGUCGGUGGUGAUUAGCUAGCUAGAAUGAGUUUGAAGAUGAUGAUGUACUACACUAUGACUAUGAUGAUUAAAUAGCUAUUGUUGGUGGUAGUGACUAUGAUGAUGAUUAAAUAGCUUGUGUUGGUGGAUUAGAUUCAAGUGAAGGCAACAUGUGGUGCACAUUGAAAGUACUACUAGUCCAAAUUAGAUCAAGUUUGGAUUAGUAGUAUACUUUUGACAUGCACCACAUGUUGCCUCCACUUGAACCUAAUCCACCUUCAUUUGACACACUGUUAUGGACAUAAUGAUAUAAACCUCAUAAUUGGUAUUGUACCAAAAUUUAUAUAACGGCGUAUAAAUACACUAAAAUAAAAAAAUAAAAAAAUACUAGUAGCGAUGGGGAGUAAACAUGCUGCUGCUAGCUAGAUUAGCAGUAGCGUGGGAGUGAACACUCGCUGUGGCUAUAUGUCUUAGCAGUAGCGUGUGUCGAGCGCGCUACUGCUAAGUAAUAGUUGUAGCGCCUUACUGGUAGCGCGAUAUCCCGCGCUACUACUAGGGCUUUCCCUAGUAGUGAUAGUUCUUCUACUAGAUCAUACCUGCAAUCGUGCCUCGCACAAGACAUUCAUUGUAAGAUAUAUUAUCAAUCAAUCUCCAUGAUGUAUUCUUUGUGUGAUCUGAUCUCCAUGUUUUAGUAGUUUGGUAAGGUAUGGGUUGAGGCAAGAGCCUUGCAACCCUCUGUAUUGUUGUGGGGAUCAAUGAAAGUGCUUUGAAUUAACGCCCCGUAUGUGUGAAAUAAAAUUGUUCCAUAGAUAUCUCUUGUCUCAUCUGCGUUCUUCAUCCCUGCAGGUACCCAGGAUCAUGGAGAGUGAGCCAUGGAGAGACUAAGGGCAAGGAGACCGUGAAGUGUUAUUCUGAAUGCCAGUGACAGAAGGGUUUAGUACGGUAACACGGAUCCUAUCUCUGGGGCUUCAAGAGGUGUAGUCAUUAAACGCCCAAAGCUCUUUUCUCAUUAUUGCCAUCUUAAUUACCGAGGCAACCCCGCAAGAUAGAUAUGGCCUUCGGUUGGAUAAAUGAUUCUUGAUGUAGGGCGCGUGUCGUUCAAUAUAUUAUUGGGACACAUCCCCCACUUUGGUUCGUAACAAGCAUAUCUUGAUGGGUGACUUCCAAUGCACAAAUUAAGAUCAUAUUUAGUCCUAGCACAAAUACAUGGUUGUAAGCAUUAAGAUCUCAUACCCGUACCUAUUUUUAUUAUAAUUGUUCAACUCAAGGUUGUUUGAUUUUGAUCCGGUCAAAAGCUAGAAUUAUUUCUUUAACAAAAUCUUGCUAGAGACCCUGGCUUAAAGGGGGGCCUUCCUCCCGUGGGUUCGAUAACUCAGGGUCACCUCUGGGGAAAUAGGUGAGAAUACUUUCUGCUCCAUUUUCGGAUCAGUAAAGAAAGUAAUCAAUAUGAAGUAGAGUCGUUCACACAUCACCACUAGAUAAUCACAUCAUAUCACAAUAUUAAUAGCAUUAAGGUUGAUCCCAUGUCCUCAAGAACAUAACGGACUACUCCAAACACAUCAUAUGGAUCAUGAUUAGUGGAGUAUGAAUAACAAUCUGAACAUAUGAAUCUUUCACCAAUAAAACUUCUAAGCAUCAACUACAAGGAGUAAUCAAUAGCAAAAACUAUACACAAAAAAGGAUCUCAGAUAAAAGUUCAUACAAUAGAAGCUAGGAUUGAGGGAGUUGAUGGACAUGUCGGUGUUAAUGAAGGCGUUGAUGAAGAUGAUGAUCCCAAUGAUGAUCAGUGUGUUGGUGAUGACAAUGACUUUGAAUUUCCUCUCCCAUAGGGAUGGAUCUUCGGCAAAAUCAGCUUGUCGAAGGGCAAAAGCGCUCUGCUUUGUAGCGAAGGUGGAAAAAUCCUAUAAAAUCCCCGAGCAGUUUUUAGGUCAAGGGAAAAAUAUAGGCAGAACGGCGUCAAGAGGCGGUGGCCAAGGCUCCCACACAACCUAGGGGCGCAUGGACAGGACGCUUGGCCCCCCUACGACCCUCUCUAGCCCAUCUUCUAGCUCCAGGCUUCUUUCGGCCAAAAAGAAUUUCUAUAAUUUUCUUCAAAAUUUAGUGGCUCCAUAAAAUUACUUUUCUUCUAAUAUUUUUUGGGCUCUGUUUCAUGUUGUCUGGUAAUUUUCCUGAUAAUUUUCAUCUCUGUGUGCUGCAUGCAAUAUGAAGGGAAAAAGGCAUUGCAAUUGAGCAAUAAUGUGAAAAAUAUCAUUUGUAAAGAGUGAACUUACAAAAAGUGUUGAUGCAAGAUGGACUUAUGAAGCCCCUAGGGCUGACUGCACCAAGGAGGAGGAUCCUCUCAGGAUCCUUUCCUUCCCCACACUCCAAGUUCGUUGCAACCCAAGUAAUAAAGGGGGCACAACAUUAUGGGGCAAUGUGGUCGUUGCGCCUUGGUCCAACCAAGAAGGCAACCCAUUAGGACCACCUCCAAAACUUUCCAGAACCUUCACAGACCUUCCAGGACAUUCCCGGUAUUGCUGAAACUCUUCUGGGACCUCCAGAACAUUCUGGUUCCAUCCAAAACAUUUCCAAUGCAUUUCUCUCUUACUCCUAACACCUCCUAGUCCUCUAUCAACCCGUUAACCGUGUACCCUGAAGGUGCGUUAAUAUGUGGACAGACCCGAAACACCUUCCGGUCAAUAAUCAACUCUGGAAUCUGGACGCCCAUAAUGAUUCCCAUAUACACACGAAGAUAUUUAUCGAGCAAAUAAUUUUUGCAUACACAAUUCCCUUUGCUUUGCAAUUCAUAACAAAAUCCGAGGCGAGACUUUUGUCGUUAUCCUUGUGAAGCAACAACUUGAUCUCAAUACCAAAUUAUCCUUGUUAUCAUUUUUUUUCUUUUCCGUAUUCUGGUAUCCCCGUGAUCAUAUCACACUCGUGUCUUGCCACGCUAUGAUCGAUACCAUAAUACUGAGUCCAUCAUCCCAUUCUUGAACUAUCGAGUCCCUUGAAAUACUUUUUUUAUGUACCUGAAAAUUACCGUUGUAAUCACCUAGUAUGAGUAACGUUUGAGAACCACAAAGUAACCAUUCGGCAUGAAGGUCCACACCAUUCUCAUGGUCUAAAUAUAUGGAUAUACAUUAACACUUGAUAUGGUAAUAAUGAUAACGAAGUGACGAUGAGAUCUCAUAAUAUUAUCAUAAGUUGGGUCUGUCCUACACCAUUCUUCUGUUAACAAUCUUCUUCCAUUGUUUCUAGCAUCCUUGUUACUUUGCAAUACCCUGUGAUAAGGAAAAGAGGAUCAGCAUGCAACACACGAUCUAGUCUUAGAGGCGAGACGAGGGAACUAUCCGGUGUUUAUGUUUCCACACAUGCAACUGAGUUUUCCUCCCAACUCAUAUUCAAGAGCCAUUGCAAUUAUAACACAAAAAUAUAAACAUUAAUUACAAAUGUGGAAAUAAUAAUACUUUAUUAUUGCACCUAGGGAAUAUCUCCAAAAAGUAACUUGAUAGGGUGUAGCAAUCGCGACGUACACGUGUAAGAAAGGAGUUGCGGAGGUAGGCAAAAUUUGUCCUCCACGAACCAUGGUUUGGGAAAUUCUUUGACUGAAUGGGUUAUUGUACUCUUCAUCUCCUGGUGGCACGUUGAUGUGCUCUAGGACAUGCCGAUUCGCCGAAAUCGGCGACGGCACCCCUUCUCCAGAUUGUUCUGUUCAUCGAGCUACAACUGCUCUUGUUGGGCAGGCUGACUCCGUGUGCGACACAGUAGUUCUUCGUCCCAUUUGAGAGCACACAACUACACCCACAACAGGGAAAAUGAGUCGGAGAGAGUCCCAUUAGUGUAUCCACAAUUCCUCCCGAUCGGUAGAUUCGGCGAGGCCGUGAUGGUCGAUGGGAAGGGUGGUGGUGGUAGUGGUUGAUGGCAGUGGUGGAGAGGGGCCUGGACAUCCAUUCUGAAUGGUGGGUUCUAGAGAGAGUAAAUGCAUAAGUUUGCUCGGUUCCUCAAAUUUAUGCAGAAGUUAGUUAUUUUGGGGGGAGGAAGAAUCUUUUGAGUAGUUAUCGGAAUUUAAGGAAAGGGCUAGAGAUGUUUUAAGUUUGCCUUGUGAGCAUCCUAUAGUUCUAGGCCACACAACAAAUAUAUGUGAUUUCAAGUAAAUGAACAACCAUGGCAUGACAUAACUUUAAAAACGCCCUCAAUCCAAACUGAAUCUUAAUGUGUAGGGUGUACCAACUUCUCUUUUUUUGCAGGAGGAAAUGAGUUUUAUUCCACAGUGAUAGAGUUACAGUCAAGAGGCAAUAGUUUCUCAGUAAAAGGUGCAUGAAUCUAUGCUCCUCAUCCAUAUAAUGUAAAAAAAAACAUGAACUCCUUGGUGAUUAUUACUAAGGGAAAAAGUUACCAUGUGCUUAUUUCUAAUGCCAACCCAACUCAUCUGCUAAAAGCUUGAAAAGGAGUCUUUUCAACAUAUUCGGACCGUUGGCACACACAAAUUUCAAAACCCAUUUCAAACAAGAAACGUACCUCAUACCAAACCUCCCAUAACGGUCGAUCUAUGCGCGAGCCUAAACCGUUUCGAAGCGCGCUCCGUAUGGGGGGAAAUGGCACGCCGAUGCUGCCCAAAGAGGAGAGACCGAGGAAGAAGAAGAGACAGGUCAUGUUUCACCCAGCAACAAGCAAGCACCAAGGCAGCCGAGGAGGGAUGGAAAACAAGACGAAUGCAGAGUGUGUUGUGCAUGCAGCCUCAGCCAAGCGUUGGGUUGCCACGCAAGGGGUUGAGGGUGACGCCGGGGCAAAAGCGAGAUGGUGGAGCGAAUCAAAAACCGCACCCCUGAGGCCACAAACCCAACUUGUGGCUCUCUGCCCGCGCCCGUGGGCCCCACCCCCCUUUCUUCCUCCUUAAAACUGGACUAUCCCCAAUCCCAUCCACCCUCAGCAGCUCCAGCAACCCGCGAGCCAAAAAUCUCUCCUCCGAUCGCGCCAUACCUCGCCGCCUACUGCUCGUUGUCCGCGAGCGAGCGUAGCACGGUAGGGAGUAGCUGGCCUGGUCCAAGAAAAAUCCAAACACAGAGCAGAGGAGCACACAGCCUCGAGGAAGGAAGAAACAGAGCGGCUUUGCUGCUUGGGAGGUGGCCGGCGAGAGAGAUGGGGCAGCUCAGGGCGGCAGCGGGAGCCGGCGGAGACUGCCUGAUCAAGCUGUUCGGGAAGACCAUCCCCGUGCCGGACGCCGGCGCCGGAGACGUCCACAAGGUUGGUGCUCGUCCACUCCUCCUCCUCCUCCUCCUCCUCCUUUGUGUUCUUGUGUGUCGCUUGGAGGUCAGGUGAUCUGGUCUGCCUAUAGAAUCUCGGGAUUGGGAAUUUUGAUUGGUUUACUGAGCCUAGGAAAAAGAAGAAGUCAUUUUUGAAGCCUGUUUUCUUUGGCUUUGGAGUUGAUCAUGGCGAGGAGUCGUAUUUGGUUUACUCAUCAGGUGUUAAAGCACGGAGUUCCCUGCCUAUUUUGGGAGGUAGCAUCAUCUGUUAAGCGUUAGGGAGGCAGGUUUAGCUCCCAUUAGCAAGAGAAUUUCGCCUUUGCUGCUCUCUAAUAGCAGCAGUUUUUAGUACUACAUACAUGAUCUAGUUGUCUGAACAUCUGGACUUUAGAAAGAAAGGCCUUUGCCUCUUUUAAUAGGUCGUUUUCGCGUGCUUCCAAGGAUUUUGCUGAAAGCAGCUACUACUAUGUGGUGCCGUAACCUACAAGAGCAUCAGAUGCAUCCGACUCUGGUGUAGAUCAUCCACUGCAAAUUAAAGCACCAUAGCUUCUUUUCACUAACGGAUGAGAAUCGAAACAUGAAUAAACUUUGUCAAAUUUUACACUUGGGCAUGGGGGAAAGCAUGUGCAGUCACAGGUCAAUGACCCGGAUAUUACACCGUGUGUGUGGACCUCUAAUUCACGACAAAAUUAUUGCAAAGUUAGACUACAUGUAUACAAAGAAACUCAUCAGAUGUUCUGAAUGUUUACAGGACCUUCAGCACAGAGGCAGCACCACGGCUGAACCAAAGGUGCAAGAAAUCGCCCCUCAGGACUCCAUGGGCUCGCCUCAGCAGCCGGAGGUUGUGGACGUCGAGGAUCCAUCUGCUGCCAAGAACUCAGCAGCAGAUCAACAAGACGAAGAACAGGGGGACACGGCCAACCAGAAGGAGAAGCUCAAGAAGCCUGACAAGAUCCUGCCCUGCCCACGCUGUAGCAGCAUGGACACCAAGUUCUGCUACUACAACAACUACAACAUCAACCAGCCGCGCCACUUCUGCAAGAACUGCCAGAGGUACUGGACGGCCGGAGGCGCCAUGCGCAACGUGCCCGUCGGCGCAGGCCGCCGCAAGAGCAAGAGCAUAUCGGCCGCCUCCCACUUCCUUCAGAGGAUAAGGGCCGCUCUGCCCGGUGAUCCUCUCUGCACCCCAGUCAACACCAAUGGCACGGUGCUCAGCUUCGGCUCCAAUGCGUCCACCUUAGACGUCUCAGAACAGAUGAAGCACAUAAAGGAGCUCAACUCAGUAACCCGGACCGAGAACACCGAUGCCCCGUCAGUAGGGUCUUCUGCUGAAGGAUGGGCAAAGGGAGAAGAGUCGAGCCAAAUGAACUCGAGGGAGAGAGUUGCAGCAGAGAGAUCCGCAAAUUGUGCGCAGCAUCCAUGCAUGAACGGGGCAGCCAUGUGGCCAUUCAGUUGUGCACCGUCACCUGCCUAUUUCGCCUCAAACGUAGCAAUUCCAUUCUAUCCAGCUGCUGCUGCUGCCUACUGGGGCUGCAUGGUUCCGGGAGCCUGGAACACUCCAUGGCAGCCACAGCCACAGCCGCAGCCGCAGCCGCAGUGUCAAUCUAGCUCACUACCUAGUGCUGCUUCUCCGGUAUCGACAAUGUCCAGUUGCUUCCAAUCCCGAAAGCAUCCUAGAGAUGGUGACGAGGAAAGAGAUACCAAGGGUAAUGGCAAGGUGUGGGUGCCCAAGACGAUCCGGAUCGAUGACGUAGAUGAGGUAGCCAGGAGUUCUAUCUGGUCACUUAUUGGGAUCAAGGGUGACAAGGUGGAGAAGGAUGAUGGCAAAGGGUGUAAGCUUGCAAGGGUUUUUGAUCCAAAGGAUGAGGCAAAGAUGUCAAGCCACAGAGGUAACAAUAGCCUGCCAUUCUUGAAGGGGAACCCAGCUGCACUGUCGCGCUCAGUGAACUUCCAAGAGAGAUCUUGAGCACCAUCUGGAAAUUCUUCAUGCUGCCUUCUGCUACUAUAAAACCAUGUAGCAUGAUACAGCUGAAAUUUUGUACAUUAGAUAAUUGCAUACUAGAUAAGAGACAUGGAGUGUUCAACAUAGCUAUAAGCAGAUCCUGUAACUGUAGCUGUACUAGGUAACUUGUAGAUAGCUAUUUGGGUUGGGGAAGAUUGGGAGCAGAAGUUCCUGUAUCUGUAGAUAAAUAUGAUAUAUUGAUUGGAAUGUUUGGCAGGGCUACCUUUGCACGAUAGCACCGAAACAAUUGGUAGCUGUCUGAUCCCAUUGUAUAACAAAGAUGAGUCCACUGCAUCCUUAGAAAUGUGAUACUAUGUGCAUAUCUCCAGCUUGUUUCCAUUUGUCUAUUUCUUUCUAAUGUAACAAUUUGCACAGACAGCAGAAACAGUAUCUGAUGUAUUUGUUCGUUUCUCCCUUUCUUUUUCUUUGUUUUCUCAUCCUUAUAGUUGAGAUAAUUGGGUUAUGAAAGUGAUGCAAAAAGUGGAGGAAGGCAUGGAAGAAGGAAAGAAAGUGAUAGACAACUACUGGAUGACCCACUAACCUUAAAUGUGACACCUAAUAUAUUAUCUCCUUCACACAUACUGCAAGCUGUCCUGCAUAAAGAAAACCAAUAAGUAAAGAUGAGCACAAAGAAAAUCUUCAAGUCCAUGCAUGGUCUCAUAUGAAUAUCGUGUUUUUUUCAUGGUCAUAUGAAUAUCUCAGAGGCGUACUUCAGUAGAUCAACAUUUUAUCAUGUGAUAAGUAACAUCAGGAGCUGACAAAAAAGUAAUGUCUGAAAGUUGUGCCAUCGUAUCAACAAAGAUACCAGUAGUCCUACAAAUAAACAGAGUGUGGGCGGCGGGUAUAGUCGUAUAGACUGGUAGAUACCACUAAACAGAAUUUUCUAUCUGUUAGGUAACAUCCUACCUUUCAAUGUCUCAACAACAUGCAUUAUUGCCCCCAUUCAUUCUGCUUUUCAGUCAUUGGCAUCUGGCAGUGCCACUUCCACUUACACCAUCGUCAACCAGUUUGACCUUUAAUAGGCCACAUGUUUGACCUUCUAUGAUCUAUCAAACUUCCAAUAUAAUGGUCAUCUGAUUGCUGGUCAAUGGUUAUCAGAACACACACAAAAUGUGCAGCCCCCUCCCUCCUCUAAGGCAAAGACACACCCAAAAUAAAACAUACUACGGUAAGAAGAGAAGCAUAAAGCUUUUCCAACAAAGCAUGCCUCUGAUUAUCAAUAUUAUUGACUCCUUUUUUGCUCUUUCAGCAGUCUUCUGAUGAUGAGAACACAGGUUUAGUAUGAUGUGCUAAAAAUAAGUCUAUUUUGCUGCAUACUUAACAGGAAAUCAACCGUAUUUCCUCAAGUAUGGGGGCGCAGUGGCCACCAUGUCUAUCCUUGGGACUUUCGGCCACGUUAUGAAAGAAGUGAUGCAAUACUUUAAAUAAAAGAGUUAAAGGUCAAACACAACAAGCAGUAGUCACUUUUUUAUAGCACCAGUUGCCUUUUGGUGUCUUCACAUAAUUGGCAGCUAAAACCUUAAGGAUGCAAACUUUACCAAACUUUUGUAGCGCACUUUCCCAUCAAAGGCGCAUAACAGAAAAGCUGCACUAGAGUGCUAAAGUGGACAACACUGUUCACUAGGAGAAUAACUACUUUCAAGUCCUCAGUCCACACUAAGUAUUUAACAAAUUCAUCAUACUUGCUUUGAACACUAUUUGUAUGUGAAGACAAGCUUAAUACCAAAAUAAAAUAAAAUGGAAAGAUAUACGAUAGUGGGAUUUCAAACAUACCCACCAUAGACACGGUUACAGCACUGAGCAUGUCAUGCACAGAGCAUGAAAGAAAGUAAGCAUACAAGCAAGCUGAUCUCUCGAGUGUUUGACUACCACGGAACACCUAGAACAUGCAAUUUGUAAAUAUUUAAAUUUCAGGCCUAUCUAUGCAUGAAUAAGAAAAGAGAAAUGAACAGAAACAGUAAGGUUUGGCUUACUAUUACUCUAUUAGUAUGUAUCAUCACUCCUAUAGUUCCUCUAGAUCUGGAGCAUCAGACGGUCUGUAUCCUUAUGCUAUCAAUUUAGCAAGCUACAGGUGAAACUUUUGGGGAUAAUCUGGCAGCAUACUUCUUUCCAAAUAUAAACAAAAACUAGCAAGAUUCGGAUGUAAUAAAUUUUAAACAGUGAAAUACAGUAUGCAUGUGGCAUGGUGCUCUUAAAAGAAGAUACACGUAUCAAGGAUGGUGGGUUGGUGACUUCUGAUGAAGUGAUUUAGCAUAUCAACAACAAUCAAUAAACCUACGAACAUAAAUAUGCCAUGAUCACUGGACAAUCUUAACAUGUGAAGCGCAGAUCUAUUUACAGUUUUAGACUACUAAAAAAUUCACGUUAACGCAACAUUUUGUCUAUUUCGAACUGUAGAAAACAUGCAGGGAAUUGCACUAAAAUUCCAACUCAGACACUGAAGUUAAUUAUACUCAGGUUUGAGAUUUCAGAAGCAGUAUAAGAAUGUAGAAAAAAGUUUCAGGAAGUACUGCAAAAAAUCCCAAGACAGCCAGUCAUUGUCGCUUCAGUGGCAUCACCAUGCCUUGGAUCUGGAUAUUGCAUCAUUCGUGGGUUGCGAACCAAGAUCAUACAUCUGCAUGUCUCCACAUCCACUCAUAUAUCUGUGGAUACAAAUGUCAGAUCAAUCAAUUCACAUGGAAAGAUUGCAUUAUCUGUGCAAAAUCCUGUAUACGGUGACCACACUUUCGAACUGGGGCAUUCAACACAAAAAAGUAAAAGCCCUGAAUCAGGAUUCAGUAUCUUUGCCCAUCAUCCUGGCGUCCCUGCCAAGUGCAGCUAAGAUGACACAGCUCACGUAAGUCACACAGCUCAUCCUGAUAGUCAAUCCUCUAGAUUGUGGACAAAAGAAUGCACAAAGCUUCUCAAUACAUGAUAACCUUAAUUCGGUAUUUUACAAAAACAAGUCACCAUAAGUCUAUAAGUAUAUACAAUAGCGUAUGGGUUGGUUGUAUCAGUUUUCGCCCUGUUUUCCUUAAAUUAACCGGGCAACUCUCUUCUUCUUAAUUAAUAGACGAGGCAAAUAUUUUGCCUCCAUUUCAACAAUAAAAUAAAAUAGAACAAACAAAAUUCAGGUCAGUCAGUAGAUUAUCUGGAUCACAACAAUAAAUCAAAUUGAACAUUCUUCCUAUGGCUUUUACUUGCAUUACUAUUUCCAGAUAAAUUGUAUGAUUGUAAAAUUGCCAUGAUAAAGAAAUGGAGUAACAAAAGAUAUACUCCGUAUUGAACACAACAGAUAUCGGGCUGCAAAAUAGCAGAUUCUUUUUCCUCAGAUAAUUCACGCAAAGUGUCAAAUUACAGACAAAUAACUGAUAAUAUUUGACACAGCCGUCAACCAAGCUUCCUCUUCACAGAUUCGAGACAAAUGCUCAAAGCUGGUUAACAUCACAUCAGAUAUGUUCAUUUCUUCAUUGGAUUUUGCAGCCCCCUGAAUCUGGCCCUCGUCGAACAUUCCCAAAGGCAGAGAGUUCAAAAAGAUCCAUAUCACGUCCUGAGGAAAUCAGACAGAGUUACUUGGCAAGUUGGGUGUCUGAAUAAAUUUUGUGCUCAGUGACUGCUUCACUAAAGGCAGCAGGCUCAUUCAAGGUAGACAUUACUUACCUGAAACCCGACAAUAUGCGCUUCUCUGUGCUAGUUCAGACUUGGAUAUCUCAGUAUUGUUCCCUUUAGAUCGAUUCACAGUAGCCUGCAAGUACGAAUUGAUAUAUCAGUUAUGCUCUAUAGAAUAAACUGAUUCGCAUCACAGUAAUGACUAAUAUACUGGUGACUACUUCAGCGGAUCUGUGGCUGAAGAAAGUAGCACCCAUGCACAAACAAUGUGCGAGAAGGUAGGCAUAAAAUAUGAAGUUUGGUUCUCUCACUUGCCUAUGAGGAUAAACAGAAUAGCCAGCUGGACCACUGGACCAUGGUAGUAUCCACUAUCUUGCUCUAGACAUAGCACAUUUUCAGGAAAACAACAGACUGGAGUGGCCAAACAGGGAUCUGUGGCUACUAGCGACUACUUUGAAAGAUCUGUGUCUGAAGAAAGUAGCACGCAUGCACAAACAAUAUGCAAACAGGUAGGCAUAAAAUAGGAAGUUUGAUUCUCUCGGUUGCCUAUAAGCAUAAACAGAAACAGUCUGCUGGACCAUAGUGGUAUCCAUUAUCUUUCUCUAGACAUAACCAGCAUGAGAGUAUCCAUUAUCUUGCUCGAGGCAUAGUACAUUUUCGGGUAGACAACAGAGACUGGAGUGAUCAAACAUGGAAUCUGUACCUGCAAAACCUGGCAGUUCUCCAAUGUGCUCUUCCCGCCCUGUCAAUUGAAAAGCGUCAGUGAUACAACAAGUUCAGGAAACAAAAACGUGCGAGUGGGCAAAAGCACUACGGAAAUUCAUCAGAUGUAUCAAGCAAAUAGCAAGCGAAGCUUCUUAAUUGGGACCUUGGAAUAGGGCACGAUGUGGUCGUAGUCGUGGCAGAGGCAGCCGGGGCAGCCAACGAGCUUGCGGAAGACGAUGUUGCCGAGCGCGUCGCGGCGCCACCUCUCGGGGUCGCGCCCAGGCACCUUCUCGGCCUUCUCCCAGCACUGCUGCUUCACCGCGUGCGGGAAGCUCCGGGGCUCCGACGCGGACGGCGUGUAGAGCAGCUCGUCCAGGUUGGCGACGGCGGAGGCGGAGGUGGAGGAGCGGGGGGAAGUCGGCCGGGCCGUGGCACCGAAGGACUGCGGCGGCGGCGGAGACGGGUGGUCGGCGCGGCGCCGGCGCAUCGGCUUCCGGCCCACCAUUAUCUUCCUAUCUGGAGGAGGAUUCGGUUUCCGGGGUUUAUUUUGAGCCGUUCAUUUCCGAGAUACUUCGAGGCAGGGCCUCUCCUGAAAAGAUGGGAACAGCUCGAGCAAAGGGUCUGCUCGCACUAUCCAGAUUUUUAUUCGGAGAUUUUUCUAUAGUGCUAUUUUGUGUAGGGCGGUCACAUGAAACUGAAAACACAUUGUCCGGAAUGCAAUACGGGGACCGGAUAGCAUCAAAUACUUUCUUUUUGAGUGCCUAAGAUCAAAAGAGGUAUGGCGACAUUGGAGCUGAUUGAUGUUGUCAAGAGAAGAUGUACACAAUUCAAAUCAAGUGAAGAAGUGGCGUAUGAACUAUUAAGCUUUUCCUAGAGAAAACUGAUGUCCAGAUCUUAGGCCUUCCCAAAUUAAAGGAGGUUGUGGCCACUGUGGCAUGGUACCUAUGGUUUGAACACCGGAAAAAUUACCAUGGAGAGGACAUCCAAAAACCCGCACAAAUUGCUCUCGCUAUCCAAGGACUCUCAACUAACUUUAGUAUUGCUUGUUCCACUAAGGCAAAGGUACGUCUUGAAUCAUGGGAGAAGCCAAAUGCAUGGUGUAUAUGAAAUUAAAAUGUAGACGCUGGCCUUGACCAUGAUCUUCUUGAGCGAUCGGUGGGGCAGUAAUCCGAGAUUACAGCGGAAAAUUUAUUGUGGCAGCUAAUGAACGAGUGGACAUAUGCUAUGAUUCGUUCACUUCAAAGGCAUUGGCGGUCAUAUUUGGCUUGAAUCUAGCCAGAACCACUGGAUGCAGCAAGAUCGUGAUCAACUCGGAUAGCAUGGAGGUUGUGGAAGCUUUGAGAGUAGGCAACUCCUCUUCGGUGGCAAGUGCAAUUAUUGAUGAUUGCUAUACGAUGUCGUCAGAUUUUAAUCAUGUAAUUUAUGAUCAUUGUAAUAGAGAGAGUAAUAAAGUAGCUCAUGAACUCGCUAGGAUAGUUAAGUUUUCUCCUCUUCUAUCUGGAUGGAUUCGGCACCGGAUGUACUGCUUCCAUUACUCCACUAAUGCUAGGAGUAAUAAACUUGUAUGCGGCCAUCGCGCCAUCGACGGCCCCGGAACCAUUUAAUCUGAUAUGGGACAUCCGCCUCCCUCUGAAGAUCCGGAUCUUUCUACGGCAAUGGAUCCGCGGAUGCCUCCCCUCUGGGGUCGAAGUCCUCAAGUGUAGUGUCCCGGGCGAUGGAUAUGUCCCAUCUGUGGCACGAUCGAGGAUGCUAACCACAUCUUCUUCUCGUACUCUACUGCCCAGUUCAUGUGGGCCUGCUUCCGCGAAACGGCCGGUGGCCAGUGGUGCAAUACCAACUUCCCCGACUUACUUGCGGAGCUGAAUGCCUCCCCUCCCUGCUACCGCCAUAUUAGAUGGUUGUGCGUUGGGAUCCUCGCCUGGACGCUUUGGAACAUUCGCAACAAGCUUGUCAUUCAGAAGGUUCCUCUUUGACGUGCAACUGACGCUAUCUUCAAAAUGUGUGGCAACUUGCAGCUUUGGCGGUCGCUUAGCCGCCCCCGAGACCGGGACGUCAUCACCAACCUCCUCGCUAAUCUUCGCUCGAUGGCGCUCCGUGUGGCUCCCCCGCUCCCGCCCCCUCCUCUUGAGCCCGACUAGGCUGUCGGUCUGCUGUGCACCUUGCACCUUGUGAAGGAAAUAUGCCCUAGAGGCAAUAAUAAAGUUAUUAUUUAUUUCCUUAUUUCAUGAUAAAUGUUUAUUAUUCAUACUAGAAUUGUAUUAACCGGAAACAUGAUACAUGUGCGAAUACAUAGACAAACUGAGUGUCACUAGUAUGCCUCUACUUGACUAGCUCAUUAAUCAAAGAUGGUUAUGUUUCCUAGCCAUGGACAAAGAGUUGUCAUUUGAUUAACGGCAUCACAUCAUUAGGAGAAUGAUGUGAUUGACUUGACCCAUUUCGUUAGCUUAGCACUUGAUCGUUUAGUAUGUUGCAAUUGCUUUCUUCAUGACUUAUACAUGUUCCUGUGACUAUGAGAUUAUGCAACUCCCGUUUACCGGAGGAACACUUUGUGUGCUACCAAACGUCAUAACGUAAUUGGGUGAUUAUAAAGAUGCUCUACAGGUGUCUCCAAAGGUACUUGUUGGGUUGGCGUAUUUCGAGAUUAGGAUUUGUCACUCCGAUUGUCAGAGAGGUAUCUCUGGGCCCACUCGGUAAUGCACAUCAAUAUAAGCCUUGAAAGCAUUGCAACUAAUGAGUUACUUGCGGGAUGAUGUAUUAAGGAACGAGUAAACAGACUUGCCGGUAACGAGAUUGAACUAGGUAUUGAGAUACCGACGAUCGAAUCUCGGGCAAGUAACAUAUCGAUGACAAAGGGAACAACGUAUGUUGUUAUGCGGUUUGACCGAUAAAGAUCUUCGUAGAAUAUGUAGGAGCCAAUAUGAGCAUCCAGGUUCCGCUAUUGGUUAUUGACCGGAGAUGUGUCUCGGUCAUGUCUACAUAGUUCUCGAACCCGUAGGGUCCGCACGCUUAAAGUUAGAUGACAGUUAUAUUAUGAGUUUAUGUGUUUUGAUGUACCGAAGGUUGUUUGGAGUCCCGGAUGUGAUCACGUACAUGACGAGGAGUCUCGAAAUGGUCGAGACAUGAAGAUUGAUAUAUUGGACGACUAUGUUCGGACACCGGAAUAGUUCCGGGAGGUUUCGGGCAUAUACCAGAGUACCGGGGGUUNNNNNNNNNNNNNNNNNNNNNNNNNNNNNNNNNNNNNNNNNNNNNNNNNNNNNNNNNNNNNNNNNNNNNNNNNNNNNNNNNNNNNNNNNNNNNNNNNNNNNNNNNNNNNNNNNNNNNNNNNNNNNNNNNNNNNNNNNNNNNNNNNNNNNNNNNNNNNNNNNNNNNNNNNNNNNNNNNNNNNNNNNNNNNNNNNNNNNNNNNNNNNNNNNNNNNNNNNNNNNNNNNNNNNNNNNNNNNNNNNNNNNNNNNNNNNNNNNNNNNNNNNNNNNNNNNNNNNNNNNNNNNNNNNNNNNNNNNNNNNNNNNNNNNNNNNNNNNNNNNNNNNNNNNNNNNNNNNNNAAGCUAUUGGGCCUUAUGGGCCUUAGUGGAAAGGAGAGAGGGAGGCCAGGAGGUGGCGCGCGUCCCCCCUUGCCCCAAUCCGAAUUGGGAAAGGGAAGGGGGCGGCGGCCCCCCUUCUCCUUCCUUCUCUCCACCUCCUCCUUCCCCCUUCUCCUACUUGGAAUAGGAAGGGGGGCAAACCUACUUGGAGUAGGAUUGCCCCCCCUUGGGCGCACCUCUACCCUCGGUCGGCCCUCUCCUCCUCCCCCCUUUAUAUACGGAGGAAGGGGACACCCCAUAGACAUAACAAUUGAUCAUUGAUCUCUUAAGCGUGUGCGGUGCCCCCCUCCACCAUAUUCCACCUCGGUAAUAUUGUAGCGGUGCUUAGGUGAAGCCCUGCGUCGGUAGCAUCAUCAACACCAUCAUCACGCCGUCGUGCUGACGGAACUCUCCCGCAAAGCUCUGCUGGAUCAGAGUUCAUGGGACGUUAUCGAGCUGAACGUGUGCUGAACUCGGAGGUGCCGUACGUUCGGUACUUGGAUCGGUCGGAUCGUGAAGACGUACGACUACAUCAACCGUGUUAUGCUAACGCUUCCGCUUUCGGUCUACGAGGGUACGUGGACAACACUCUCCCCUCUUGUUGCUAUGCAUCACCAUGAUCUUGCGUGUGCGUAGGAAAUUUUUUUAAAUUACUACGUUCCCCAACAGUGGUAUCAGAGCCAGGUUUUAUGCGUAGAUGUUAUAUGCACGAGUAGAACACAAGUGAGUUGUGGGCGAUACAAGCCAUAUGCUUACCAGCAUGUCAUACUUUGGUUCGGCGGUAUUGUUGGAUGAAGUGGCCCGGACCGACAUUACGCGUACACUUACGCGAGACUGGUUCUACCGACGUGCUUUGCACAUAGGUGACUGGCAGGUGUCAGUUUCUCCAACUUUAGUUGAACCGAGUGUGGCUACGCCCGGUCCUUGAGAAGGUUAAAACAACAUUAACUUGACGAACUAUCGUUGUGGUUUUGAUGCGUAGGUAAGAACGGUUCUUGCUCAGCCCGUAGCAGCCACGUAAAACUUGCAACAACAAAGUAGAGGACGUCUAACUUGUCUUUGCAGGGCAUGUUGUGAUGUGAUAUGGUCAAGGCAUGAUGCUAUAUUUUAUUGUAUGAGAUGAUCAUGUUUUGUAACCGAGUUAUCGGCAACUGGCAGGAGCCACAUGGUUGUCGCUUUAUUGUAUGCAAUGCAAUCGCCCUAUAAUUGCUUUACUUUAUCACUACGAUGCUACGAUGGAGAUCAAGGUGUCGUGCCGGUGACGAUGGUGAUCAUGACGGGGCUCCGGAGAUGGAGAUCACAAGCACAAGAUGAUGAUGGCCAUAUCAUAUCACUUAUAUUGAUUGCAUGUUAUGUUUAUCCUUUAUGCAUCUUAUCUUGCUUUGAUUGAUGGUAGCACUAUAAGAUGAUCUCUCACUAAAUUUCAAGAUAAAAGUGUUCUCCCUGAGUAUUCACCAUUGCCAAAGUUCAUCGUGCCCAGACACCACGUGAUGAUCGGGUGUGAUAAGCUCUACGUCCAUCUACAACGGGUGCAAGCCAGUUUUGCACACGCAGAAUACUCAGGUUAAACUUGACGAGCCUAGCAUAUGCAGAUAUGGCCUCGGAACACUGAGACCGAAAGGUCGAGCGUGAAUCAUAUAGUAGAUAUGAUCAACAUAGUGAUGUUCACCAUUGAAAACUACUCCAUUUCACGUGAUGAUCGGUUAUGGUUUAGUUGAUUUGGAUCACGUGAUCACUUAGAUGAUUAGAGAGAUGUCUAUCUAAGUGGGAGUUCUUAAGUAAUAUGAUUAAUUGAACUUUAAUUUAUCAUGAACUUAGUCCUGGUAGUAUUUUGCAAAUUAUGUUGUAGAUCAAUAGCUCGCGUUAUAGCUUCCCUAUGUUUUUAUAUGUUCCUAGAGAAAAACUAUGUUGAAAGAUGUUAGUAGCAAUGAUGCGGACUUAGUCCGUGAUUUGAGGUUUAUCCUCAUUGCUGCACAGAAGAAUUAUGUCAUUGAUGCACCGCUAGGUGACGGACCUAUUGCAGGAGCAGAUGCAGACGUUAUGAACGUUUGGCUAGCUCAAUAUGAUGACUACUUGAUAGUUUUGUGCACCAUGCUUUAUGGCUUAGAACCGGGACUACAAAAAUGUUUUUGAAACGUCACGGAACAUAUGAGAUGUUCCAUGAGAUGAAAUUGGUAUUUCAGACUCAUGCCCGUGUCAAGAGGUAUGAGACCUCUGAUAAAUACUUUGCCUAAAAGAUGGAGGAGAAUUGCUCAACUAGUGAGCAAGUGCUUAGAUUGUCUGAGUACUACAAUCGCUUGAAUCAAGUGAGAGUUAAUCUUCUAGAUAAGAUAGUGAUUGACAGAGUUCUCUAGUCACCAUCACCAAGUUACUGGAACUUCGUGAUGAACUAUAGUAUUCAAGGGAUGACGAAAACGAUUCCUGAGCUCUUCGUGAUGCUGAAAUCGACAAAGGUAGAAAUCAAGAAAGAGCAUCAAGUGUUGAUGAUUGACAAGACCACUAGUUUCAACAAAAGGGCAAAGGGAAAGAAAGGGAACUUCAAGCAGAAUGACAAGCAAGUUGUCACUCCCAUGAAGAAGCCCAAAAGCUGGACCAAAGCCUGAAACUAAGUGCUUCUACUACAAAGGAAAUGGUCACUCGAAGCGUAAAUGCCCUGAAUAUUUGGUGGAUAAGAAGAACGGCAAAGUGAACAAGGGUAUAUUUGAUAUACAGGUUAUUGAUGUAUACCUUACUAGUGUUUAUAGUAGCCCCUGAGUAUUUGAUACUUGUUUGGUUGCUAAGAUUAGUAACUCGAAACAGGAGUUACAGAAUAAACAGAGACUAGUUGAGGGUGAAGUAACGAUGUGUGUUGGAAGUGGUUCCAAGAUUGAUAUGAUCAUCAUCGUACACUCCCUAUAUUUUCGAGAUUAGUGUUGAACCUAAAUAAAUGUUAUUUGGUGUUUGCGUUGAGCAUAAAUAUGAUUAGAUCAUGUUUAUUGUGAUACAAUUAUUCAUCUAAGACAAGAGAAUAAAUUGUUAUUCUGUUUACAUGAAUAAAACCUUCUAUGGUCAUACACCCAAUGUUGAUGGUUUAUUAAAUCUUGAUCGCAGUGAUACACAUAUGCAUAAUAUUGAUGCCAAAAGAUGAAAAUUUGAUAAUGAUAGUGCAACUUAUUUGUGGCACUGCCGUUUGGGUCAUAUUGGUGUAAAGCGCAUGAAGAAACUCCAUGCUGGUGGAUUUUUGGAAUCACUUGAUUAUGAAUCAUUUGAUGCUUGCAAACCAUGCCUUAUGGGCAAGAUGACUAAAACUCCGUUCUUCGGAACAAGGAACGAGCUAGUGACUUAUUGAAAAUAAUACAUACUAAUGUAUGCGGUCCAAUGAGUGUUGAUGCUCGUGGCGGGUAUCGUUAUUUUCUGACCUUCACAAGAUGAUUUGAGCAGAUAUGAGUAUAUCUACUUAAUGAAGCACAAGUCUGAAACAUUUGAAAAGUUCAAAGAAUUUCAGAGUGAAGUGGAGAAUCAUCAUAACAAGAAAAUAAAGUUUCUACGAUCUGAUCGUGGAGGAGAAUAUUUGAGUUACAAGUUUGGCCUUCAUAUAAAACAAUGUGGAAUAGUUUCACAGUUCACACCACCUGGAACACCACAGCUUUAUGGUGUGUCCGAACAUCGUAACCACACUUUAUUGGAUAUUGUGCGAUCCAUGAUGUCUCUUAUAGGUUUACCACUAUCGUUUUGGGGUUAUGCAUUAGAGACAGUUGCAUUCACUUUAAAAAGGGCGCCAUCAAAAUCCGUUGAGACGACGCCUUAUGAAGUGUGUUUUGGCAAGAAACCAAAGUUGUCGUUUCUUAAAGUUUGGGGCUGCGAUGCUUAUGUGAAAAAAUUUCAACUUGAUAAGCUCAAACCCAAAUCGGAGAAGUGCGUCUUCAUAGAAUACCCAAAGGAAAUUGUUGGGUACACCUUCUAUCACAGAUCCGAAGGCAAGAUAUUCGUUGCUAAGAUGGAUCCUUUCUAGAGAAGGAGUUUCUCUCGAAAGAAGUGAGUGGGAGGAAAGUAGAACUUGAUGAGGUAAUUAUACCUUCUCCCUUAUUGGAAAGUAGUUCAUCACAGAAGACAGUUCUAGUGAUUCCUACACCAAUUAGUGAGGAAGUUAAUGAUGAUGAUCAUGAAACUUCAGAUCAAGUUGCUACCGAACCUCGUAGGUCUUCCAGAAUAAGAUCUGCACCAGAGUGGUACAGUAAUCCUUUUCUAGAAGUCAUGUUACUAGACCAUGAUGAACCUACGAACUAUGAGGAAGCAAUGAUGAGCCCAGAUUCCGCGAAAUGGCUUGAGGCCAUAAAAUCUGAGAUAGGAUCCAUGUAUGAGAACAAAGUAUGGACUUUGGUUGACUUGCUUGAUGAUCAGCAAGCUAUGUUAAAUAAUUGGAUCUUCAAGAGGAAGAUGGACACUGAUAGUAGUGUUACUAUCUACAAAGCUCGACUUGUUGCGAAAGGUUUUCGACAAGUUCAAGAUGUUGAAUACGAUGAGAUUUUCUCACUCGUAAUGAUGCUUAAGUCUGUCCGAAUCAUGUUAGCAAUUACCGCAUUUUAUGAAGUCUGGCAAAUGGAUGUCAAAACUGCAUUCCUUGAAUGGAUAUUUCUUAAAAGAAGUGUUGUAUAUGAUACAACGAGAAGGUUUUGUCAAUCCUAAAGGUGUUAACAAAAUGUGCAACCUCCAGCGAUCCAUCAAUGGACUGGUGCAAGCAUCUCGGAGUUGGAAUAUACGCUUUGAUGAGUUGAUCAAAGCAUAUGGUUUUAUGCAGACUUUUGGAAAGGCCUGUAUUUACAAGAAAGUGAGUGGGAGCACUACAUCCUUUCUGAUAAGUAUAUGUGAAUGACAUAUUGUUGAUCGGAAAUAAUGUAGAAUUUUCUGGUAAGCAUAAAGGAGUGUUUGAAAGGAGUUUUUCAAAGAAAGACCUUAGUAAAGCUACUUACAUAUUGAGCAUCAAGAUUUAUUGAGAUAGAUCAAGACGCUUGAUAAGAUUUUCAAUUAGUACAUACCUUGACAAGAUUUUGAAGUAGUUCAAAAUGGAACAGUCAAAGAAAGAGUUGUUGCCUGUGAUGCAAAGGUGUGAAGUUCAGUAAGACUCAAAACCCGACCAUGGCAGAAAAUAGAAAGAGAAUGAAAAGUCAUUCCCUAUGCCUCAGUCAUAGGUUCUAUAAAGUAUGCUAUGCUGUGUACCAGACCUAUUGUAUACCUUGCUGUGAGUUUGGCAAAGGAAUACAAUUUUGAUCUAAGAGUAGAUCACUGGACAGCGGUCAAGCAUAUCCUUAGGGAGGACUAAGGAUAUGUUUCUCGAUUAUGGAGGUGAUAAAAGAGUUCAUCGUAAAGAGUUACAUCGAUGCAAGCUUUUACACCGAUCCAGAUGACUCUAAGUCUCAAUCUGGAUACGUAUUGAAAGUGGGAGCAAUUAGCUAGAGUAGCUCCGUGCAGAGCAUUCUAGACAUAGAAUAUUUGCAAAAUACAUACGGCUCUGAAUGUGACAGACCCGUUGACUAAACUUCUCUCACGAGCAAAACAUGAUCAUACCUUAGUACUCUUUGGGUGUUAAUCACAUAACGAUGUGAACUAGAUUAUUGACUCUAGUAAACCCUUCGGGUGUUGGUCACAUGACGAUGUGAACUAUGGGUGUUAAUCACAUACAGAUGUGAAUAUUGGUGUUGAAUCACAUGAUGAUGUGAACUAGAUUAUUGACUCUAGUGCAAGUGGGAGACUGAAGGAAAUAUGCCCUAGAGGCAAUAAUAAAGUUAUUAUUUAUUUCCUUAUUUCAUGAUAAAUGUUUAUUAUUCAUACUAGAAUUGUAUUAACCGGAAACAUGAUACAUGUGUGAAUACAUAGACAAACUGAGUGUCACUAGUAUGCCUCUACUUGACUAGCUCAUUAAUCAAAUAUGGUUAUGUUUCCUAGCCAUGGACAAAGAGUUGUCAUUUGAUUAACGGCAUCACAUCAUUAGGAGAAUGAUGUGAUUGACUUGACCCAUUCCGUUAGCUUAGCACUUGAUCGUUUAUGUUGCAAUUGCUUUCUUCAUGACUUAUACAUGUUCCUGUGACUAUGAGAUUAUGCAACUCCAGUUUACCGUAGGAACACUUUGUGUGCUACCAAACGUCACAACGUAACUGGGUGAUUAUAAAGGUGCUCUACAGGUGUCUCCAAAGGUACUUGUUGGGUUGGCGUAUUUCGAGAUUAGGAUUUGUCACUCCGAUUGUCGGAGAGGUAUCUCUGGGCCCACUCGGUAAUGCACAUCAAUAUAAGCCUUGCAAGCAUUGCAACUAAUGAGUUAGUUGCGGGAUGAUUUAUUACGGAACGAGUAAAGAGACUUGCCGGUAACGAGAUUGAACUAGGUAUUGAGAUACCGACGAUCGAAUCUCGGGCAAGUAACAUACCGAUGACAAAGGGAACAAUGUAUGUUGUUAUGCGGUUUGACUGAUAAAGAUCUUCGUAGAAUAUGUAGGAUCCAAUAUGAGCAUCCAGGUUUCGUUAUUGGUUAUUGACCGGAGAUGUGUCUCGGUCAUGUCUACAUAGUUCUCGAACCCGUAGGGUCCGCGCGCUUAAAGUUAGAUGACAAUUAUAUUAUGAGUUUAUGUGUUUUGAUGUACCGAAGGUUGUUCGGAGUCCCGGAUGUGAUCACGGACAUGACGAGGAGUCUCGAAAUGGUCGAGACAUGAAUAUUUAUAUAUUGGACGACUAUGUUCAGACACCGGAAUGGUUCCGGGAGGUUUCGGGCAUAUACCGGAGUACCUGGGGUUACCAGAACCCCCCNNNNNNNNNNNNNNNNNNNNNNNNNNNNNNNNNNNNNNNNNNNNNNNNNNNNNNNNNNNNNNNNNNNNNNNNNNNNNNNNNNNNNNNNNNNNNNNNNNNNNNNNNNNNNNNNNNNNNNNNNNNNNNNNNNNNNNNNNNNNNNNNNNNNNNNNNNNNNNNNNNNNNNNNNNNNNNNNNNNNNNNNNNNNNNNNNNNNNNNNNNUGGGCCUUAGUGGAAAGGAGAGAGGGAGGCCAGGAGGUGGAGCACGGCCCCCCUUGCCCCAAUCUGAAUUGGGAAAGGGAAGGGGGCAGCGGCCCCCCUUCUCCUUCCUUCUCUUCACCUCCUCCUUCCCCCUUCUCCUACUUGGAAUAGGAAAGGGGGGGCCAAACCUACUUGGAGUAGGAUUUCCCCCCCCCUUGGGCGCGCCUCUCCCCUUGUCCGGCCCUCUCCUCCUCCCCUCCUUUAUAUACGGAGGAAGGGGGCACCCCAUAGACACAACAAUUGAUCAUUGAUCUCUUAGCCGUGUGCGGUGCCCCCCUCCAUCAUAUUCCACCUCGGUAAUAUCGUAGCGGUGCUUAGGCGAAGCCCUGCGUUGGUAGCAUCAUCAACAUCGUCAUCAUGCCGUCGUGCUGACGGAACUCUCCCGCAAAGCUCUGCUGGAUUGGAGUUCGUGGGACGUCAUCGAGCUGAACGUGUGCUGAACUCGGAGGUGCCGUACGUUCGGUACUUGGAUCGAUCGGAUCGUGAAGACGUACGACUACAUCAACCGCGUUGUGCUAACACUUCCGCUUUCGGUCUACGAGGGUACAUGGAUAACACUCUCCCUUCUCAUUGCUAUGCAUCACCAUGAUCUUGCGUGUGCGUAGGAAUUUUUUUGAAAUUACUACGUUCCCCAACAUCUUGCGUUGUGCGCUGUGCGUUGUGUUGUGUGUGUUUAGGGCUUGUUGUGAUGUGCCUUCAGCUCGGACCCUCUUGUCUUUGUGUUUGCUUGUGAACCUCCAUGUGUGUGUUUGUGUUUGGACUUGUGUGGAUCCUUGUGGGAUGCUUGUUGUGAGCGGUUACUUUAUAAUAUAAAGCGGGGCGAAAGCCUUUUUCGGUAAACGAUGCCACUAUUUUGCUAAGUGAAUAAAGGAGGAGAAGUUCUGUCAAAAAAUGGAUAAGACAAAUGUAAGGUUAAAAUAUCAUGCUAUGCUUUUAUUUUUAAAAAUCCUGAUCUAUUUUUUUCACAAAACACCCAAAACCUUAUUCAUUGGAAAUAACAGUACACCGUUUAUGAGGAAGGGUACAAUUUCAAUCAGAGGUUCCUCAAACCAAUCCAACGUCAAAGAAAAUCUAGCCAACCUAGCAAGCUCAUGAGCAUCUUUAUUUUCUUCCUUAUUACGUACAAUGUUCGAACCUAGCUAUAGUAAAAUUAUAAACAAAAUGAUAACAAUCAUCGAAAAUCGCCGCCACCCACGCCCCCAAAGAGUGACCACUCUUCUUCAUCGUUGAUACAAAUCAGAACAUGUCUCUACCAUGUUGACGGUAGGACAAUCCGUGGCACCAUGGCAGGUCCAAGUUUUUUGGUAAGCGGUUGCUAUGGUGACAUGUAAUGAGAGAGAGAGAGGGAGGGAGGGAGAGAGAGAGAGAGAGAAGUUGGUUCUUUUAUUGCUUUUUCUAGAGCGGAUAUUAUAACGUUUAGAUUGGUCUCUAAAAUGGGUAAAACUAACUAGCAACAUUUCUAGGUUGACAAAACGAGUUGGACAUAGCACCUUGUUCUUUCUUUUCUCAUUUGACAUUGCUUUGUACUCAUUGAGUUGCCAUAUUCACACCCUAGUUGUUGUAAGCACACCAGGAGGAGAAAAUGGCAACUCAGUGAGUACAAAGACUACUGCACACUAUUAACAAGCUUGAUUAUUGGAACUUUGGAAGCUUAAUAUACGAGAAACUAUUGCACACACUAAAUGAAAAGGUAGGUUGACCCUGUAGAGUAUAACACUAUGCGGGCCACACGGAUCGAUUCCACGAUGUAACUUGAUCAUGUACAGUGGCAAGACAAUUAAAAAAAUGCGCACAUCAUUCACUCGCUAUAAGUAUGCAAACAUGUGACUUAAACCGUUGUUACAACUUACAAUUACCUUAAUCAGUAUCUUUUUGAACAAGUUAAAGUUUUUGUUAGUGAGACCAACUUCAGUUCAGACGCACACAAAUGAACUUCACUUCAAGUUAAGAAACAAUCAGGCAAUUUAACUGACUUGCAAGCAUACUGUAGACGUUCCAGAACCGUUCUAAGUAGAAAGGACAACUAAGCGAAAGACCUUAGAAAGGCAGAGUGACAAGUAAUGCCCUAUUUUCUAAAGUCUAAAACCAUUUGGUGUAGUUCAGUUAACUGAGUAAACUCAAGUUCAGGUUUAGCAUGGCACCAGAUUUCACAGAACUUGCCGACACGCAGGAACCGAUCCAGUUAUCAACAAGAGCAUAAAGAAUGAACAAAUUAAAAAUCAUAGCAUCGAGUAUACCUAUGCAUAUCUCUGGCCGGGCCGGGCCAAAGAAAGCCCAGUACUAAAAACCCAGGCCCAAACUCGGCCUGACCGUCGGGCUACUAAAUCGGGCCUGAACCUGGCUGAAAGGAUCGAUAUAGUUGACUAGAGGGGGGUGAAUAGGCAACUAACACUUUUUAAUCUUUUCUUUACCAAUUUAAACUUUGCAUCAAAGUAGGUUGUCUAGAUAUGCAACUAUGUGAGCAACCUAUAUGAUGCAAUAACAACUAGCACAUAAGCUAGCAAGGGAUACAACACAAAUAAGCUUGCACAAGUAAAGGCACGAGAUAACCAAGAGUGGAGCCGGUGGAGACGAGGAUGUGUUACCGAAGUUCCUUCCUUUUAAGGGGAAGUACGUCUCCGUUAGAGCAGUGUGGAGGCACAAUGCUCCCCAAGAAGCCACUAGGGCCACCGUAUUCUCCUCACGCCCUCACACAAUGCCAGAUGUCGUGAUUCCACUAUUGGUGCCCUUGAAGGCGGCGACCGAACCUUUACAAACAAGGUUGGGGCAAUCUCCACAACUUAAUUGGAGGCUCCCAACGAUACCAUGAAGCUUCACCACAAUGGACUAUGGCUCCGAGGUGACCUCAACCGUCUAGGGUGCUCAAACACCCAAGAGUAACAAGAUCCGCUAGGGAUUAGUGGAGGGAAUCAAAUUUCUCUUGGUGGAAGUGUAGAUCGGGGCCUUCUCAACCAAUCCCGAGCAAAUCAACAAGUUUGAUUGGCUAGGGAGAGAGAUCGGGUGAAAAUGGAGCUUGGAGCAACAAUGGAGCUUAGGGAUGGAAGAGUGUGCCUUCUUGGAGAAGAAGACCCCCUUAUAUAGUGAGGGGACAAUUCCAACCGUUACCCACCACUCAGCCCGUGACCCGCGGUACUACCGCACCACAGGAGCGGUACUACCGCACGGGCCUACGGUACUACCGCGGCAGACUGCGGUACUACCGUGGGUGUGGCAGAGCCUGGACCUGAACAGAAGAGCACAGACAGGGCACGGUAGAACCGCAGGUGCGGUACUACCGCGGCCCUAUGCGGUACUACCAUAGGGCAACCACAGGCCAUGCACGGUAGGAACAGAUGUAAAAAAAUUACACCCGUGACUACCUCCGCUGAGAUUUUAUCGAGCGAAAAUCCGACACUGUACUACCACGAACCAGGGGUGCGGUACUACCGUGAAGGGUGUGGAUGUAAAAAAUUACAUCCGCCCCUACCUCCACUCCUGCUGUUGUACUUGGCUAGGCGACACGGUACUACCGCAUAGGGCGCAGAUGUAAAAAAUUACAUCCGCCCCUACUACCGCUUGAGCAGCAGCGCCAGGCCAGAACUCACGGUACUAUCGCUUAGGAGGAGCGGUACUACCGUGGAAGCCCAUGGUACUACCGUGCCGGAGCCCGGUACUACCGCUGGCUCCUGCGGUAGUACCGCUCAGAGGAGCAGUACUACGCCAGCCUGAGAAAAGCAACUCGGAGUCCUUCAUUUCGCAAAGACAAGGUGAGAUGGAGGAAACUCUAAAGAACCAAAGGAAAGGCGGUGCAAAAGGGACAUGUACGUGAGAUUCCACCCAAACCUUUCCAAAGCGGACCCCCUCUUAAUAGUACGACUUUCGUACAACUCAACUCCACCGAAAAGAACCAUAGAGAAACGUCGUCUUCAAUAAUCUUUGAGGGGCAUCAAAUCGUCUUGUGUUUAGUCAUGAUAUAUCUAAAAAUCUCAAUACACACGAUUAGUCCGCAAAAGCAUUGUCAUCAAUCACCAAAACUACUAAGGGACAAGAAUGCCCUUACAAUCUCCCCCUUUUUGGUGGAUUGAUGAAAAUACGGGAUUUGCACAAAGGGAAAGAAUAUAGCACAAGCAAACCCCACAUAUCCAGAAUAUAGACGAGCUCCCCCUAGAUUCGUGCUAGAGAGUAAAGUGCUUUGGACUGCACAGCACGAAUACUAGGAUCACCACUCCCCCUAUAUUUUAGAAACGAAGCAUAUCUUGCAAUGGUAAGGCAAACACUAAACAAGAUAGUAAAUAUGAGCAAAACAUAAAUAGCACGACAUAGCAUAAGCUCAAUAAGGUAAUAAGGUAAUAAGGUAUGAUAGAGUGCAUAUGUCUUACACCAUAUGAUAAACUUAGUCUCACAAGCACAACCAAACCAAAGCAAACAAGUUCAAUCGACGGAAAGCAAAGCGAACGGCGAAACACACGACACGCAAAUCCUACACUCUCUCCCCCUUUGGCAUCCAGACACCAAAAAGGCAGAGAGGGCACCUACAACAAAGGUGGUAGCUCAGGCGGAAAACGACUCCUCGUCGCCAGACUCCGCAGCAGGAAUGUACUCCUUCUCAGAAUCAGUCCACUGGUAGCCCUGCUUAGCCAUCCAGGCAGCCUCAAGGGUGAUGUGCUUCUCAGAGCCGCUGGCCACGUCCUCGCCGCACGCCCUCAAGAUCUUGUUGUCGCGAUGGCGACCCUCUUUCUGAGCAACAUGGGCCUUGUACUGACCCUGGACCUGCAUGCAGAAAAGCCUCUUCAUCUUGAUCUUCAGCUUCUUCGCAGAAGAGGGCUCAGCAAAUGGAGUAGUGAAAGCAGAACGACCUCAGUAGCCUCUUCCUCCUCAUCCACAGCCAUCCUGGCAGCCUCAGCAGAAGUGGUGGUGUUAGCCCAUUGGGGCUUGAUGCGGAGCCUGAUGGGCUCAUGACGAAUCCAGCCUGGAGCUUCAAACUCCUCAUUGGGAAAGAGCUUCUCCCAAGUCUUGGAGAUAAGGUGAAACAAGUAAGGCCCAUAGAUGGGGACCUUACGGUUGAACAUAGCGAACUGAAGCUCACACCACAUGAUAUGUGAGACAUCAAGUGGCUGAGUCUGAGCCUGACGGGCCUCCUCACAAAGGAGCAUCAUGUCAACGAGGAAAGCAUGCACCUGUCCCAUGUCACCAAUGCGCGGGAAGAGGGUGUUCCGGAAGAGCCGAUGCAUGAUGUCAAGGAAGGGGUUAAGCACCCACACCUUCUUAUUGCUUGGAAGUGUCUUCUGAACAAGGAAUGACAUGAUCUUGUUCUUGUUGGCAGACUCAGAGUUGGCAUGAGGGCGAACUCCAACUGGCGUGUCGAGCCCUUCAUCUGGAACGUGAAGCAAAUCCAUUAACUCCUUCCAUGUAGCAGACAUCUGUCGACCAUUGGUCAUCCAAGUCAUGGUCCUUGCUUCAUCAACGCCGAAGUAGACCGAAGCAAAGAACUGUGCUAUGAUCUCUGGAUCAAAAUCCUUGUGGAAGGUGAGCAUGUGUUCAAUGCCGAACUGCUCCACUAGAUCCAAGGCCUCUCCAAAGUACCCACUGUUCUUGUCCUGCCUCAUAUGAUGCAUGUCAAUCCAGUGAACUUCGACGUAGAGGUUCUGCUUGGCCUUGAUCACAUCCAGAUAGAUCAGAUUUUGCUGCUUGGUCCAGAAGAGAUCAUUGCCUUUCAAGUUAGUCCGGGGAGUCACAUAGGGAUUGAGCUUCCUUCGAAUGAAAAACUCGGCCUGGGGCAUCUCAUCCAUGCCCAUGACGGGAUCCUUUUGCUUGUUGGCGGCGUGCUUGGUCCUGAGUUGGGAAGCAGAUGACCCCUCUGGAGCUUCAUCUGGGUUGCGCAGCCGCUUUAACCCUGUGUCAUGGCUGGGAUUUGAGCGACGAGCAAAAGAACCGGAGCCACCACCUAGACACAAAACACAAGAACACGCACGAGAAACAAGACGGAUCAAUGCAAAAGACAGAGGCCAAAACCGAAGGAAACAAAAAGCAUGAGAUCUGGACAACAAAAAGAGCGCUGGAUAAAUCUACGGUAGUACCGGUGUACGGAUGUAAAAAAUUACAUCCGCUCCAGCCGCGGUAGUACCGUGCCGGGGUGGCACGGUAGUACCGCGCCCGGGGCGGAAGUAAUUUUUUACUUCCGAGCGCCAAGCGGUAGUACCACACCAAGGUGCGGAAGUGCCGCAUGGCGUCAGAUACAGGCGAGGCUGCGGUAGUACCGCUCCAAGAGGAGCGGUAGUAUCGCGCGGAUCGAAAACCGCGACAAGAGUCACGGAUCUGGAUCUAGAACCUCCGCACGACAACAUCGGUACUACCGUUGAUCAACCGGAACUAUUUUGACUAUCCAAAGAGCAUGCUUACUACACUACCACGCUCCUACGAAUCCCACUUGCACAGAUUUAGCCAAAAAUCUCAAGAACACCACAUGCAUCUCCCCAAGACCUUAAAGCACAAGGACGGGAGAAAAAGGAGAGGAACUUGGGGAAAAACCUUGGUCCAUGGCAAGAGGGCGAGGUGGGAAACGAUCCCACCGAUCGGAAUCCGAGGAGAGCGGCCGGAGACGGAGAUCCGGCAAAGGCCUCCGGUGCCGUUCUUGGGCAGGAGAGAGAGAGACGGGGUGGGGAAUAGAGAUGAAUGGGUAUGGGGAAGUUAGAACUUCCCCUGUCCCGCUCUUAACCCCCACCCGCUUGCGCGGGCGCGGAAGUACCGCGGGUCAUCGCGGUAGUACCACCCCGGCGGAAGUACCGCGCGCUGGGCGGUAGUACCGCUCUUUCAGUGGCUGUAAAAAAUUACUACAGCGAUGGUAGCGGUAGUACCGUGCCCCUGGAAGGCAACUGAGCAAGCGCAGAGCCACCAACUCCUGCGGUAGUACCGUGGCUCACCACGGUAGUACCGUAAUCCAAGAAAGUGCAAGAAACACACGAGAGAAAGAGAGCAAAUGCAAUACAACCUUCAGAAACACCGAACAACUAAGAAGCAAACACAAACGACGACACAAACACAACACAGAGAAGAGGAAGGCACACGACAGCGAAGAGCAACCACGAGACACAACCUCUCCAAGGAGAGGGCGAUGGCCAAAGCCACCUAUGUUUGAGUCAAUUGGUAUGGCACCACUAAGAAUUAUCCUUGGGCCCAUGAACAAAACUCGUCUUAUAAGCACAAGUACCAUCAAAAAUGGCUAAUGUGAAAGAGUUGAUCAAUUUAUGCAUAAUGGGGGGAGGGAGAGUUCAUUGAGAGAACAACACUCCCCCUAUGUCCAUGCCUACACCUAAACUAGACAACAAGUUGAGUGAGGUGGGGUGUGCAAGGGUUCAAGUCACAUUGCUCGAAUCAAUGAUAUUUAGCUCAUGCCUUAACUCGCGAAAUCUUGCUUCAUCCAAGGGCUUCGUGAAAAUAUCUGCAAGGUUAUCAUGAGUGUUGACAUACUUGAGCUCGAUCUCCCCUCGCCUAAUAUGAUCCCGGAUGAAGUGAUACCGAAUCUCAAUAUGCUUCGUCUUGAAGUGUUGCACCGGGUUGAGAGAAAUCUUGAUGGCACUUUCAUUGUCACACCAAAGAGGCACUUUGUCCCAAAUGACACCGUACUCCUUUAAAGUUUGCCUCAUCCAUAGGAGUUGUGCACAACAACUACCGGCUGCCACAUACUCCGCUUCGGUAGACGAGAGAGACACACAACUUUGCUUCUUAGAAGACCAACUCACCAAAGAGCAACCAAGAAAUUGGCACCCUCCGGAAGUCGACUUCCUAUCCACUUUGUCUCCCGCUCAGUCGGAAUCCGUAUAUCCUUCAAGCUUGAAGUUUUCUCCUCUUGGGUACCAUAAGACAAAGUUUGGGGUAUGAGCCAAAUAUCGAAAGAUUCACUUGACCGCCACAUAGUGGCUUUCCUUCGGUGCGGCUUGAAACCGUGCACACAUUCCCACACUCAACAUGAUAUCCGGUCUAGAUGCACAAAGGUAAAGCAAGGAGCCAAUCAUGGAGAAAUAUACCUUUGGAUCCACUGCUUUACCAUUGGGAUCAAUGUCAAGUUGGCACUUGGUGGGCAUUGGAGUAGUAGCCAGCUUGACAUCACUUAGCUUGAAUCUUUUUAGCAUGUCUUGAGUGUAUUUGGCUUGGUUGAUGAAAGUUCCUUCUCUUCUUUGCUUGAUAUCGAACCCGAGGAAGAACUUCAACUCUCCCAUCGAAGACAUCUCGAACUUAGAGGUCAUGAGAGCGGCAAAUUCCUCAUUGAAAGCUUUGUUAGGGGAACCAAAGAUAAUAUCACCAACAUAUAUUUGGCAUACAAACAACUCCCCUUUGACUUUCUUAGUAAAAAGAGUGGGAUCGAUUUGCCCAACCUCAAACCCACGAUCUUGUAGCAACUCGGUAAGGAGGUCAUACCACGCACGUGGGGCUUGCUUAAGGCCAUAGAGUGCCUUAUCGAGUUGAUACACAUGAUUCGGGAAGUAGGGAUCCUCGAACCCGGGGGGUUGCUUGACAUAAACCAACUCAUUAAUAGGACCAUUAAGAAAAGCACUCUUCACAUCCAUUUGUUGUAACUUAAAGUUGUGAUGGGAAGCAUAAGCAAUCAACAAACAAAUGGAUUCGAGGCGAGCAAUGGGGGCAAAGAUUUCACCAUAGUCGAUACCCUCAACUUGGGAGUAGCCUUGUGCUGCCAAUCUUGCCUUGUUGCGAAUGAUGUUCCCAUGAGCAUCUUGCUUGUUCUUGAAUAUCCACUUGGUUCCAAUGACGUUGUGGUUCCCCGACGGCCUUGGCACCAAUUUCCACACCUUGUUGUACUCGAAGUUGUUGAGUUCUUCAUGCAUGGCAUUGAGCCAAUCCGAAUCUUCGAGCGCCUCAUAGACCUUUUGGGGUUCAACACAAGAGACAAAAGCGUGAUGUUCACAAUAGUUUGCUAAUUGUCUACGAGUGCUUACCCCCUUUCUUAGGCUUCCAACCACAUUUUCCAUGAGAUGACCUUUGCUGGUGAGCUUGGAAGCAAUCUUCGCGGCACGACACUCUAACUCCUCCUCGGAUGUGGAAGGAGGAGGGGUAACUUGAUCAUCUUGAGCGCCGUCUUGAGCUUGUUCUUGGACUUGAACUUGCUCGAGGGGGAGAACUUGACCUUGGGCAUCAUUUGGUGGUUCACCACCAUUUUGAGGUUGAUCUUGCCCUUGGUUUUGUUCGAGAGGUUGAGGGCCUUCACUUUGUUCUUUGGAAGCGUGUGGGUCUUGGGAAGGUGAUGGCUCCACUUGAGUGGAGAAUUGUCCUUCUCCUUCGGCCACAAGGGGUUCCUCAAUGGGUAGGAUAUGACCAAUACCCAUUCUUCUUAUGGCUUGGGGAGGAAUUUCAUCACCUACAUCACAAGUACCACUUUGCUCCACUUGGGAGCCGUUAUUCUCGUCAAACUCCACGUUACACGUCUCCUCAAUGAGUCCGGUGGACUUGUUGAGGACACGGUAAGCAUGAGAGUUUAUAGCAUAACCAACAAAUAUGCCCUCAUAAGCUCUAGCCUCGAAUUUAGACAAAUGAACACCUUUCUUGAGAAUGAAACACUUACACCCGAACACCCGGAAGUACUUGAGGUUGGGCUUGUUGCCGGUAAGUAUUUCAUAAGGAGUCUUGUUCAAGCCUUUGCGGAGAUAUAGCCGAUUGGAUGCAUGGCAUGCUGUGUUGAUGGCUUCAGCCCAAAAGUUGUAUGGAGACUUGAACUCCGCCAUCAUGGUCCUUGCCGCAUCCAUCAACGCCUGGUUCUUCCUCUCCGCGACACCAUUUUGUUGAGGGGUAUACGGAGCAGCAUAUUGAUGCUUGAUCCCCUCAUCACUAAGAAACUCAUCCAAGGUGUAGUUCUUGAACUUGGUGCCAUUGUCACUUCUUAUUGUCAAGAUCUUCGCAUCAUGUUGACGUUGAGCUUCAUUUGCAAAGUCGAAGACGGUUUGUUGAGUCUCACUCUUCCUCUUGAAGAAGAAUACCCAAGUGUAUCUUGAAUAAUCAUCCACAAUCACUAAGCAAUAUUUUCUACCUCCAAGACUAUCAAAGGAUGGGGCCCCAAAGAGAUCCAUGUGAAGGAGCUCCAAGGGUCUCUUCGAAUAAAUGAUAGUCGUGGGAAGGUGAGCCUUUUCAUGAAGCUUUCCUUCGAUACAAGCACUGCAAGCACAAUCUUUGGCAAAACUAACAUUUGUUAGAUCACGAACAUGGUCCCUCUUGAGAAGACUUUGCAAAGAUCUCAUAUUGACGUGGGCUAGACGGUGGUGCUAAAGCCAUCCCACAUCAACUUUAGCCAUUAGGCAUGUCACGGUCUUAGUGGGUCGCUCCGAAAAGUUAAUCACAUAGAGACCGUUCUCGACAUGCCCAACAAAGGCUACUUUAAGAGUCUUGAUCCACAAGAGGGCCACAGUAUCAAUAUCAAAGAAGGUGGCAAAACCAUGAGUGCAAGUUGACGAACAGAAAGAAGAUUGAAUGCAAGGGACUCGACAAGCAUGACUUUCUCGAUCGUUAGAUCAUGAGAAAUGACAACCUUUCCAAGACCCAAUAACUUAGAAGACGAGGCAUCACCCCCACUCGACGUUGGUGGGAAUAGAUGGGAUCUUGUGCACGUCCAGCACCAACUCCUUGCUUCCGGUCAUAUGAUUUGUUGCUCCACUAUCAAGCAACCAUGAUCCUCCACCGGAAGCAAACCCCUACAUGAAAUUAAUGCUUGGUUUUAGGUACCCAUUGAGUAAUGGAUCCUUUGAUGUUAGCAACAAGGGUCUUGGGAACCCAAAUAGACCAUUCAAUGUACUCAUAAGGAGAACCAACAAAUUUAGCAUAAACAUGUCCAUCACUAGCACGGCAUAACACAUAAGAGGGGUUAAAGUCGCGGGCUUUGUUGGAAGGGGUGGCAUUGCCCUUCUUGACAUCACCACCCUUCACAUUGUUCUUCUUCUCCUUAGGAGCACCCUCUCCCUCCUUCACAAAUGUUUGCUUGAGAGGAGGAGGUCGUUUGGUCUUGUCAUUCUUCUUCUUGUUCUUGGACUUGGGGGUAAACCCAACUCCCUCCUUGGCCACAACUUCCUUUUGAUUGAGGUUUUUAUCACCUUGAAUGCAUGUCACAAGACCUUUCUUCAAUUGCUCUUUCAACUGGGCAUUCUCCUCCACAAGAUGCACAUGCUCACAACAUGGGUUAGUAGCAUUUGCGUUAUCAAUUAAGACCAUAUGAGGAAAAGUGGCUUUCUCCUCGGUUAACUUCACUUGGAGUUGAGCAUGAGACUCCUUGAGGCUAGCAUGAGCACCCUUCAAGGCCUUGUGAGCCUUGUCAAGUACAUCAAACUCCUCUUUGAGUCUAGCAAGAUCAACCCCAAGUUUAGCCUUCUCGGAGUUUGCCACACAAGAGACAACAAUAGCAUGAUCAAGAUCUUUCUUUAAUUUAGCAUGAUCAUCGUUGUGUGACUCCUCAAGAGUCAAACGAUGCCCACGCUCUUCCUCAAGAGCAUUAUAGAGAUCCGAUAUCUCAUCGACAUAGUCACUGACUAUGUUCUUCCAUCUUAGAGAUGGUUUCUUCAUGAGCCUCGAUCAUGUCAUUGGCUUCACCAAGUUGUUCCAAGAGAGCAACAAAGUGCUUCUUGGAUUUGCCCUUGAGUUUACUCAUAAAAGACUCAAAUUCAUUCAUCUCUUCAUUAGACCCCUCAUUUUCAUCAAUGCAAUCCAUCAAGGAAGGAUUAGUAAUGAUGGUGGUUUUGAUGUUGGGGGUUACCUUGUUAGUGGCUUUAGCCAUGAGGCACUUGGCGGUGAUGUUCUCGUUGGGUGAAUCAAAUAGAGACACCCGGGGAGUUGUAGCAAUGGCAACAGAGGCCAUGGCCAUUGUUUCUCCAUCUUCAUCAUCAUCAUCAUCCUCAUGGUAUUAUUCUUGAACCACUAACCCUCGAGUAGGAGUCUUCUUGGUGAAGUUGUUCUUGUUGGGGAAGGACUUGGCUUUGUCUUUUCGAAUUAGCUUGCCACCAUUGUCUUCCCACUUCUCGUAAGGACAAUCCACAACAAAGUGACUCACAUUGCCAAAAUUGUAACAAGUUCUCACUCGUUGCUUGCCCUUGAACCCACUUGAAUUGUUCUUGUUGAAAUUGGGCCUUGUGUUCUUCUUGCUCCAAAAUUUCCUUGAAGCAAGAGCCAUGUGCUCAUGAUAAUCAUAUUUUGUAUCCUCGAGAUUGCCCUCCUCAUCUUCCUCUUCGUCCUCUUCUUCCACAACGACCUUGGCCUUCAAGGAAAGAUUGGACUUCUUUGUUCUUUGAGACCGGAGCACCGCAUUGUCGGCGGUCUUGUCCAAGAUGCUCGUAGCAACGAACUCAUCCAACACUUCACUCGAGGUCAUGGAGUGGAAGUCCGAUCUUUGAUGGAUGACGGAGGACAUGGCCUUAUUGUAGGGCAUCAUGGCCUUUAGGAACUUGCCUUGAUCCAAUUGUCAUCUGUGUCCUUACUUUCAUGAUCUCGGAGUGAGACCGCGAGUUUGGUUACUCUCCGAAAGAGAUCACGAGGUUCUUCAUCUUCCUUCAUUGCAAACUCAUCGGCUUCAUCUUGCACCACUUCAUAGUUGGAGCGUUGAAUGCUUGCGCUUCCCCGAUAGAGAGACACAACGCAAUGCCAUGCGUCUUUGGCCAUGGCGUAGGGUCGAAGAUGAGGAAGAUCUUCGGGGAGAAUUGCAUCUUGGAUGAUGAAGAGAGCAUUCUCAUUGAAUUGAUUAUCCACGGAUUCUCUAGGGGUGAAGUUGCUUCGGUCAUGUGGAUAGAAACCUUCUUCAAUGAUUCUCCAAAGAUUAGUAUUCACAUGAUUUAAGUGAAGCUUGAAGCGAUACACCCAAGAAUCAAAAUCCUCAUUUUUCACAAUCUUAGGAGGAGGACCGACGUGAUUUAAAUGAGUAGAGGGAAUCGGUCCUCCAUAAGUUGGAGGUUCCACAUGGGCAUAGAUGCCGGUGCCAUUUCUACCACUAGUAGAAGGACCCUUUUCACUAUUAGCUUCCCCCUUGUCGGAGUUAGCAUCCGUCACCUUGUUAGUGGGAUCACCCACUUUCAUCGGCGAGGUAGAUAGUUUAAGUCCUUCUAGGAAUUUAGUAAACAUGCUUUCAACCUCGGUCGUCAUGGAGUUUUUCAAUGUGUCCAAAGCCACAUUGAAUUCCUCACGAGAUACCGCGGUUCCUCCAUCGGCCGUAGAUGAGGUAGGGUUCACACCGGAGUGCUCCUCCACACCAUCUGCAGUGUCAACCAUACUCUUCGGACAGCAAAGUCCUUAAUAAAGAGACGAGGCUCUGAUACCAAUUGAAAGGAUCGAUAUAGUUGAGUAGAGGGGGGGUGAAUAGGCAACUAACACUUUUUAAUCUUUUCUUUACCAAUUUAAGCUUUGCAUCAAAGUAGGUUGUCUAGAUAUGCAACUAUGUGAGCAACCUAUAUGAUGCAAUAACAACUAGCACAUAAGCAAGCAAGGGAUACAACACAAAUAAGCUUGCACAAGUAAAGGCACGAGAUAACCAAGAGUGGAGCCGGUGGAGACGAGGAUGUGUUACCGAAGUUCCUUCCUUUUGAGGGGAAGUACGUCUCCGUUAGAGCGGUGUAGAGGCACAAUGCUCCCCAAGAAGCCACUAGGGCCACCGUAUUCUCCUCACGCCCUCACACAAUGCCAGAUGCCGUGAUUCCACUAUUGGUGCCCUUGAAGGCGGCGACCGAACCUUUACAAACAAGGUUGGGGCAAUCUUCACAACUUAAUUGGAGGCUCCCAACGACACCACGAAGCUUCACCGCAAUGGACUAUGGCUCCGAGGUGACCUCAACCGUCUAGGGUGCUCAAACACCCAAGAGUAACAAGAUCCGCUAGGGAUUAGUGGGGGGAAUCAAAUUUCUCUUGGUGGAAGUGUAGAUCGGGGCCUUCUCAACCAAUCCCGAGCAAAUCAACAAGUUUGAUUGGCUAGGGAGAGAGAUCGGGUGAAAAUGGAGCUUGGAGCAACAAUGGAGCUUAGGGAUGGAAGAGGUGGGUCUUCUUGGAGAAGAAACCCCCUUAUAUAGUGGGGGGACAAUUCCAACCGUUACCCACCACUCAGCCCGCGACCCGCGAUACUACCGCACCACAGGAGCGGUACUACCGCACGGGCCUGCGGUACUGCGGUAGUACCGUGGGUGCGGCAGAGCUUGGACCUGAACAGAAGAGCACAGACAGGGCACGGUAGAACCGCAGGCGCGGUACUACCGCGGCCCUAUGCGGUACUACCGCAGGGCAACCACAGGCCAGGCACGGUAGGCAUAGAUGUAAAAAAAUUACAUCCGUGACUACCUCCGCUGAGAUUUUAUCGAGCGAAAAUCCGACACGGUACUACCGCGAACCAGGGGUGCGGUACUACCGUGAAGGGUGCAGAUGUAAAAAAUUACAUCCGCCUCUACCUCCGCUCCUGCUGCUGUACUUGGCCAGGCGACAUGGUACUACCGCAUCGCAGCAUGGUACUACCGCAUAGGGCGCGGAUGUAAAAAAUUACAUCCACCCCUACUACCGCUUGAGCAGCAGCGCCAGGCCAGAACUCACGAUAGUACCGCUUAGGAGGAGCGGUACUACCGUGGAAGCCCAUGGUACUACCGUGCCGGAGCCCGGUACUACCGCUGGCUCCUGCGGUAGUACCGCUCAGAGGAGCAGUACUACCGCCAGCCUGAGAAAAGCAACUCGGAGUCCUUCAUUUCGCAGAGACAAGGUGAGACGGAGGAAACUCCAAAGAGCCAAAGGAAAGGCGGGGCAAAAGGGACGUGUACGUGAGAUUCCACCCAAACCUUUCCAAAGCGGACCCCCUCUUAAUAGUACGACUUUCCUACGACUCAACUCCACCGAAAAGAACCGUAGAGAAACACCAUCUUCAAUAAUCUUCGAGGGGCAUCAAAUCGUCUUGUGUUUAGUCAUGAUAUAUCUGAAAAGCUCAAUACACACGAUUAGUCCGCAAAAGCAUUGUCAUCAAUCACCGAAACUACUAAGGGACAAGAAUGCCCUUACACCGGCCCGAGCUGAAAAAGCAUGCCACGGCCCGGUUGGCCUAUCUUGACUAUGACUAAAAUCUUGUUUUCCGCAAGCCCAAGCCUAGCCGAUCUGCCCAUUGGGCUCAAUUUUCAGUCCCGAGCCCAGCCCGAUUGCACGCUUAGGUUCGGCCCGGCCUAGGAUUUUCGGGCCAUCCGGGUCGAGCCGCCCAUGGCCAAGUAUAGCGUCGAUGAACUAAUUUGAUGUAAUCUUUUACCCAAUCCAACGCACCAUCGCUAACUCAUUCACUACUGCGCGCGCCGCAUUGCGGAGAAGUGAAAGUCAUACACACGCACCCCUUAGGGCAUCUGUAGCCGUUUCCCUAAAUAUUAGAGGAGUAAACUGAGGAGUAAAUCUUAUUGAGGUAUAUAUAUUUAUUUAUUACGGGAAAACUUUUGAUCUAUUCAUCUUUGAUGAUAGUACAACGAAUACUAAAAGAAAUAAAAAUUACAUCCAGAUCCGUAGACCAUCUAGCGACGACUACAAACACUGAAGCGAGCCGAAGGCGCGUCGCUGUCAUCGCCCCUCCCUCGCCGGAGUCUGGCAAAACUUGUUGUAGUAGACAGUCAGAAAGUCGUCGUGCUAAGGUCCCACAGGAGUAACACAACAGAACAACAACCGUCACCGAUGAAGAGUAACGUAGAUCGAAAGAAUCUAGCCUGAAGACAGAAGAACAAAGUCGGACGACGACCACAUCCGAGCAAACCCACCAAAGACAGAUCUGCUGGAGACACACCUCCACACAAAGCCGAUCAGUGAAGUAUAUUUAUUCAUCUAUAGAAAAAACAUUUCUAGCCGAACUCGCAAAUUUACUUGAGUAAAACAUAAACGAUGCAAAUCCGGUGCAAAUUAAACAGCAUUCAUUGCAAAUUUGGUGUAGAUUUAACACAUUACAUAGAACUAACUAAAAUUAGAUUUGACAUGUUUAGAUAAAUUUGACCUAAUCUGAUUCAUCGGAUUCCUCCUCGAGCUGCUUUUAUUCCCUUCAAGACAUGCCACUGAUCAUCGGGUUUGGCCCAUCGCUGCCGCUACCGCAAUCGUUGGAGCCGUCGUCGUGGCCGUUGUUCUCACCUUCGCCCUCGCCGUCUUCAUUGCUGCAUAGGUCGAUGACCUCGGUCCUUCCCACCGCUUACUCCGCGUAGAGCCGUCGUUUGGCCUCUCUAUGCGCUCUGGGAAGCGGUGGCAGAGCUCGACCAUGUAUGCCUCACUGGUAGCCUCCGCCACGGGCAGCUAGCGGGCCACCCGAUCCUCCCGUCUCUCCCCUGUGCGUUGGCCACCCGGUUGUCCAUUGGCGGAUCCACAGGCGGAAAAUAUCGAUCAGGCAAAUUGUCGUGGAUGGCAGCGCUGUAGAGGUGAACCAACUUGAUGUCGUAUGCACGUGCAUCAAUGCCUUCGCCGAGUGGAAGGAGCCCAGCCAGUGAGUUUUCCAGGUGUUGCGGUCGCAUAUUUUCGUGACCCAAGUCCCUCACUAGCGUUGUCGCACACUAUGAUACCUUGACACCAGCGGCAAGGGCGGUGGGAUCUCAAGGAAGCCGCUGGAGGAGGAGGCGGCGCCGACAAGGAGGAGGAAUGGGAGGAGGAGGUGGAGCCGCCAGCCACACGCCGCAGAUGGGCAGUGUGGAGCGGUGGCGACCUCCGGAUCCAACCAUGUCACCUGGAUGGGCGGCGUUUUGUGGCAGGGGCAUGGAGACGGCGGCGCGUGGGAGAGGAAGAGAGGGGGAAAGUUUUACUCCUCGACCGGGCGGGCGAGUAUAUUUACUCCUCGGCCGCCGCUCGGAGUAAACAUUUUAGUCCUCUAUGGGUUUUAGGAAAUCGGCUAUGUCCGGCUUAGAGGAGCAUCGGCUAAAGAUGCCCUUAGCAUCUGGGAUUUACUCAUGCUCCACUGUACGUGCGCUUAGAGCAUCUCCAACAGGCGCCCAAUGCGCCGCGCGGUAAAAACGGAUUUGGCGCGCACCCGUCGCCUGGUUUGGCGCAGCGCGCAGCGUUUGCUCCAGCAGCCGCGCUGAAAAGCCGCGUGCGUGCGCAACUCCAGCAGGCGCAGUAAAAUGCAGCGCGCGCGUUCAUUCUACAAUACUUCUUAAAUUAAAAUUGCAUAGAUAAAAAAACGAUACAAAGAUAUUUUACAUCGGUGCAACUACUACGGCAUAGAUAGAUAGAUAGUUCGACAUACAUAGAUAGAUAGAUACUACGGCAUACAUAGAUAGAAAACUACUCCAAGUCUACCAUCACCAUCAUCAUCCUCGUCGGUGUCGUCCGAGGUUGAGAGCCAUAUGUCGUCCCAACGUUCAUUGUCCGGGGUGAAGAACGACCUCCCACCUGCUCCAACGAUGUCGCACUGCUCGUUCGCCAGUGCCUUCCGCUGACGCCGGUCAGCCCGCUCCGAGCGGCGCCUUGCCGUCCUCUUCGCCCAGUAGGCACGCUCGGCGUCGACGUCCUCCGGGUGGCGACGGCACCACUCCGCCAUGGCUCGCUUGUCCUCCUCGGCGACGAGGAGACGGCGCUGCCGUCGAGCGUGGUCGGCACGGUCCAUGUCCGUGAUGAGACGCGGCGGAGGGGCGACGCGCUGCGCCUGCUCGCGUGUGAAGACGUCCCGAAAGUUCAUCUGCGACCGGGGCCUCUCCAAGCGCCACGCCGCCGCGUCGUACGUGCGGGCCGCCUCGUGCACGCUUCGGAACGUCCCGAGGCCGAGCCGGACGUCACCGGCCCGUAUCUCGGCGGAGUACAAGCCGUUGGGGCGCUCGCAGACGCCCCGAAAGCCCGAAGCACCCCGGCGGCGCGACGGCAUGGUGGCGCGGUGGUUGCGCGGAAAGCGGCGAAGCGGUGAGUCAGCGAAGCGGCGAGGUUGCGAGGAGGAGGGCGCGUGGCGAGCGCGGGACUUUAUAGGCGUGCGCGAAGCGGCGCGUCAAAUCUACCGCGCCGUGUGCCGCUUUCUCCCGCGCGCGCAAACGCUUCCCGCGCGCGGUAACUUCCCACCACCGCUGGAGUGCGCGGAACCAACCGGCGCGUGCGAAAAACUGCUUUUACCGUCCGGGUGCGCGUUUUGCCGCGCCUGCUGGAGUUGCUCUUAUUGGCAUGUACACAAGCAUAUAUUCAAUCUCAAGGUAAUGUCAGCCCAGUAGUUUGGAUAAGGCGUGCAAUUAAUUGGAUAAAAUUUGGACCGUGCUGUAAUUUUGCUCCGUUUGCUUAACCUUUUUUUGGGAUUAAAAGCAACAAGAUCUCCGCCGGCAGCCAUCCCGUGAUCGUACGUAACCGUGGACAUGGAUAGAUCGUCCGACGCCUCCUGCUUCCAUCCCGUAGAUGCCGCCGCCGCCGGUCACCAGUCCUGGGUUCUCCUCGAUAAGAAUGGCGGCUACGCCGACUGCGAGAACGAGACCACCGCUGAAGCCAAGAUGAGCACCGGCGGCAGCAUCAAGGUCAGCUUCUGCCUCGACCCGCCGCCGCACGUCUCCUGCCUCUUCGUCCACGAGACCGUCUCCCGGCGCGAGGAGGAACGAGCCGGAAACUCAGCGCGAGUCGAGGUCAUCUCAAAGGCCAAGGACCUCAUCCUCCUCCGCCGAUGGGGUCAUCCAGAAGAGUCUGCGCCCUACGACGAGCAAUUUCUCUUUUUUGUCUACCAGGUUGCAGCAGGCCGCAGAAGCAAGCCCUCGCUCACACCGAUCCCGCUACUCCGACUCCUUUGUCUUCCUGCGUCGCUGUCUUGCCCUUUGACGAUGACUGCGGGCAGUUCCUCCUCGCCGAUCUCAGCGUGGGCAAGUACCACUACCCGAUGACCUAUCAACUCCACCUCUUCUCCUCCAAGACGUGCGUGUGGAGCACCAGGCCGCUCACGCCUCUCGUCGACUUCAGGCAGGCCGACAUGCAUUGGCGGUGGCAGGUGUAUGCCGGUGUAUGCACGGGAAUACCCAAGAUUUAGAAAAAAAAUUAUAUACAUGUCAGCGGUCAGCCCAAAACAAACGCAGCCCACGAAAUCUCUCGUUCGCUCCAGUUCGCAGUUCGCACCGACGCCUCCAGCCUUCCGUGGACGUCUCGACCCCUCCUCGCAGCGUUCCCGCACGCAGCGCCGCCGCCCGCCAGAGGUAGAUUUCGACUAGCGGCGGCGCCCUGCCCCCUGCACCGGCGGCGCCCAGCCCCACGCCCCCCCCCCUCCUCUUCGGCUCGGAGGGAGCAGCAGCAGCCGAGCAGGGACGGGCAACCCUGGCGGCGCCGCCCCUCCCCUCGCGGCAAAGAAACAAAAGGUGCGACGACCUCUGCCCUCGCGGCCUCGCCCCCAAUUUGUGAUUUCUUGAUUUGCUGAAAUUACUAGAUGGAGGCAGUCGAUCUAUUUAACAGAUGCAAGUAUCUAAAUUUAUGUUCCCUUUGUUUGGCCAAACGUAGAUGAAGAUGAAGAGGAGUGGAAUUGUUGGCAGUAGCAUAUUUGCAAUGUGGGAAAAGGCUUCAAAAGCAAGGAAAAUAGGUGAAGUAUCCACACCGAAUCAGACCGUAGCUGCAUCUAGUACUUGUACUUCUCCUGUUCAUUUGGAGAGCAAUUUGCAAUUGGUGUUAUGGCAAGAACCGGAGAGUAGAGGAGAAACCUCAAUGCCUCAUGUAGAAGAUGAUGAAUUUAUUGAUGAAGAUGAUGAACCGAUGCAAGCAGAUUUGGAGGCACUCGAACAUGAUCCUGGAAAGCGGAUUCCCAUCUCAAUGUAUGCUGUCAAUGACCAAGAUAGAGUAAGAAGGAGAUAUAUUGAGAUGGGGUGAUGUCAACCAAAGAAUCAUGAGUUCAAGUUUACAAAUAAAAGUGGGAAAGAUCGUCGCUUUUGUCGUGCUUGGUUUAAAGAAUUUCCAUGGAUUGAGUAUAGUGUGGAAAAACAUAGAGCUUUCUGCUUCGUUUGCUAUUUGUUCAAGGAUAAAACAAGAUGUCCCGGUGGAGAUGCUUUUGUGAAUAAAGGAUUUAAUAACUGAAACAUGAAGUCGAGAUUGAAGAAACAUGAAGGUGAGGUUAGUAGUGCUCAUGCUGAAGCUCAAGAGAAGUAUGAUAGGUUCACUACACCACAAACAUCAAUUCAGGAGUCUAUUGCUUCAAACACCUCACAAUACAAGGCUUUGUGUAAACAGCGUUUGACAUGGACACUCAAGUGUGUGAGAUUUCUGUUGUGCCAAGGCUUUGCAUUUAGAGGACAUGAUGAAAGUGAAGACUCGCUAAAUAAAGGAAAUUUUCUUGAGCUUCUAAAUUGGCUAGCUGGAAAUUUUGAAAAGAUUGACAGGGUUGUUCUCAAGAAUGCUCCACGGAACUGCAAGAUGACUCACCAUGAUAUACAACAAGAGGUGAUAAAAUGUUGUGCACAAGAGACUACUAAAUUAGUCAUUGAAGAACUUGAUGGUGGUCAUUUUUGCAAUACUUGCAUAUGAGUCUAGUGAUGUGUAUCAGAAUGAACAAUUGGCUGUUUGCUUGCGUUUUGUUGAUAAGAAAGGAAGGGCGGUUGUUAGAUUUCUUGGUAUUGCUCAUGUUGAAGAUACUACCUCUUUGACACUAAAAGCUGCAAUUCAGAAAAUGCUUAUGGACUACAAUCUGACCUUUUCGAUGGUUCGUGGGCAAGGAUAUGAUGGAGCUAGUAACAUGAGAGGUAAUGUUAAUGGCCUGAAAAAACUGAUUAUGGAUGAGUCCCCUUCUGCCUACUAUGUUCAUUGUUUUGCCCAUCAACUACAGUUAACUCUUGUUGCUGUUGCUAAGGAGAGUGGUGAUUGUACUUGGUUCUUUCAGCAUCUUGCACACUUGUUAAAUGCUCUUGGCAUGUCUUGUAAAAAGAUGAGAAUGCUUCAGAUAGCUCAGGCUGAAGAACUCAUUGAUGCAUUGGAAUUGGAAGAAGUAGAAACAGGGAGUGGGCUGAAUCAGGAAAUGGGUUUGGGAAGGCCAUGUGAUACACGUUGGGGCUCUCACUUCAAAACUGUGAACCAUGUCAUCUCUAUAUAUGGUGCACUACGACGAGUCAUUCGCAAGAUUGGAGACGAGUACCAUGGUGCGGAGGCACAAGCGGCUCUAUCCAUAGAGACAAUAUUUCGAUCAUUUGAGUUUGUUUUCAUGGCACACUUGAUGCAAGAAAUAUUUGGAUACACAGAUGAGUUGUGUAGAGCUUUGCAAAAGCAAGACGAAGAUAUUGUUCAUGCUAUUGAGCUUGUUCGUGACACAAAGUAUUACUUGGAGACUUUGAGGACCGAUGCUGGAUGGGAUGAUUUUCUCAUAAAGGUCACAUCUUUUUGUACAAAGCAUAAGAUCAAAGUUGUUGAUAUGGAGGGUCCUUACUUUCCCGUUGGCCAGCCUAGAAGGGGUUUAUGUAAUGGUGUGAUCAAUUACCACCGCUUCAAGGUUGAUAUGUUUGUGGGUGUCAUUGAUAGGCAAAUCAGUGAGCUGAAUGGCAGAUUUGAUGAGGUAAACACAAAGCUACUUUCUUGCAUGGCAACAUUCUGUCCACUUCAUCUAUUUGCUGCUUAUGACCAAGAGAAGUUGGUUAGGCUUGCUACAAAGUUUUAUGCUUCUGAUUUUACAAGUGAUGAACUGGCAAGACUUCCAUGGCAACUAAACAUGUAUGUUACUAAUGUGCGUAGAGAUGAAAGGUUUCAAAACCUGAAAAAUCUGUGUCAACUUUCAGUUGUGCUUGUGGAGACGAACAAGCAUGAACAAUAUCAUAUUGUUUACAAGCUUCUUAAGUUGGUAUUGAUUCUGCCAGUAGCUACGGCUAGUGUUGAAAGGGUAUUCUCUUCCAUGAGCCAUGUGAAGAAUAAGCUAAGGAGCAAAAUGGGUGAUGAAUAUUUGAACAAUUGUUUGGUUACAUUUGUUGAGAGAGAACUUUUCAAUCAAGUGAAGGAUGAAGAUGUCAUCAAUCUCUUCCAAAAAGGUGACCGCAAAGUUAUAUUGUAAGAAGGAUAUCAUCACUUUAUCAAUCAAAAGGUACUUAUGUAUUCAUGUCGUUAUGGUCUGGUACAUUGAAAUAUUGCUAUUAUGGUUAUGCUAGUGUUGUUUUGUUCAUAUAUUGCUAGUGUUGUGUUAUUUGGUUCAUAUACUACAUUUAGAGCAAAAAAUAUUUGAAUGAAUACCCAGCCUUCAUUUCCUGGAGCCGCCACUGCCGACAUGCCCUGCCAACCCACCAAGGUGAUCGCGCUCGGAGGAACCCUGCUGGGCUGGGUGGACCUCUGGCAGGGCAUCGUCGUCCUCGACGUGCUCGACGACGACCCCAUGCACGUUCGGUUCAUCCCGCUGCCCAAGCCCGAUUUCUGCCGGUCCGAGUAUCACGCGCCCUGGGAUCGAGCUCCCCCCAACGCGGUCCACCGGGACAUCGCCUACUGCACCGACGGUUUCAUCAAGUUUGUCGACAUGGAUCUCCGGUUCCGCCACGUUGCCAUGAUCAAGGAAAGGCCCGUGAUCAAGACGACCACGGAUCUCGAUCACGCAGACACCAUCCUCGACUCCAAGCUCCUCCGCCGCGAAUGCGAAGAUAACAACAUACAUUUCGUCCGCGUCCCUAAUGGUUGGAAGAUCCGAACAUGUUACAGGCAUGUUUCGUGGGACUACUGGCGCAAGGACUGUCGGUGUCAAAACCGGCGGAUCUUGGAUAGAAACUCUUGAACCACAUUGUGAGGAUCAUGCCCAUGUCCGAGCUUUUACAUUCUCUCAACAUAUGAAUACACCUCCUCCACCCCACCAAAACACGUGGAACGACGACAUGGAUGGCUACUACUACAAUGGAAGCUUCUAUGGACAUGAUCGAGGUACGACAAUAUCAACUACCAGCUGCAUCCACCCGCCGGAUGGUCGUCUAAUCUGCCACAAUCUCACCAUGCCAGCUUGAAAUCAUUCGGAUCAGGUAAUAACACUCACAAACCUUGUCAUAUGAAAUUGCCCCCCUUUUUCCAAGAAUUUAAAAGUUCCCAAACUUUAAGGUCUUCGAAAUCAAUUUAAGAAAAUAACAAUAUGCAUACAGUUCUUUUCCUGACAUGAAUAUAGUUUUGUGCUACCUCUUACUACUUUUUUUAUAAAGACCUCUUACUAUUUUUUGCUUUUGCUAAAGGUUCCAUCUAUCCAGUGAACCCCCAAUUGAUGUAUCCAGUGUCAACGGUGAACUCUGCAGCCCAUGGCGAACAAUGCUUAUCACUAUCGUUGUUGCCAAUGUGGCCGGAAUCCUCAUAGCCCCCGGCUUAUUCUUCAACAGGCAUGGUUCAAUUUAGUUUCAAUAAUACCUUUAUAACUGUUACAGACCCACAAGGUAUGCAGCGGGCAAAAAUUAUGGUAAAGGGCUGGUGGUGGAAGAGAUGUUUUUGUUCUUGUUUCUGGAAGUUCUGGGGUGUUGAGGACUGUAGGAAGUUUACAUGAACUUUUUUUAGCAGUUUUGGUGUGAAGUGCGCUGAAACGAAUUUCAGUGCAUUCCUACUGUUUGGUAGUACUUCUUUUAUUUCGGUUAGUGUGUCAGUUUUUAGUAUAUUUUCAGUUCGCUGUGUUUAUAUUUCAGUUCCUCGGAAUGGGCACCAUAAGUGUUUGUUUUAGUCUUUCAGCUAUUAGUCUCAGUUUUUUAGUAGAUUCGGUUUUAGCUGUUUUGGUAGAUCAUUUUCUUAGCUUUAUUGUUGAUUCAUUUUUAGUUCUUUUAGUAUAUCAUUUUCUCAGCUCUAAUGUAUUUGUUUGAAUCAUCAUUUAGUUUUCAGUUUUUAGUCACCAGUAUUCCUAAGGAUCAGUACCUUAAGUGUUUCAUUUGACGAAAAAGGGUUUCCCCCGCUUUGUAUUACAAAGCAACCACCGAUACAUCCAACGAUAGGUGCUGGGGCCGCAGCACAG